rnacentral:lncRNA from 1 species
UUCUUUGGCGAGCAUAUUUGGUCAGGUAUUCAGGAACAAGUACUCGGUGCGUUGUGGGUUUGAUAAGUUUCAAAGGACUGACUGCUGUUGUAUAUCAUUCAGACUUUCAUGGCUAUAAAAUUGGGAGCGGUCCUCCCACAUUUACAUUUGAAAAUAAAUGACUGCUAUUACUACAAACAUUAAACAUAGCCGAGCUACGUUCAGUUGGCAAGCUCCAGGAUCAUAUACAAAUUUUUCUCGGAGAUCCAUCACUCAUGCACAGAGAUACAACAUACUUCCUCCGUCCGAAAAUACUUGUCAUCAAAACGGACAAAAAGGGAUGUAUCUAGAUACAUCCCCUUUUAUUUAUUUUGAUGACAAGUAUUUCCGGACGGAGGGAGUACUACUACAUCACGGAGAAAAACCAGCCUCUUCUCGUUGCUCCGCUGCUUCAAAUACCCCCUCAUCCUCUGUUAACACGCUAACCAGCCACAUCUCCAUGCUAUCCUGCGACCCCAACUGCAUGUCCUGCCGCAAACACGCAGAGACAAGGUGAUGAGCCAAUGAGCCAUGAGAAAUAUAUAUACACCGGGAAACGAAAUGUGGCGGCAAUCGGUGCACUUACGGUGAGAAGGGAGACAUCCGGAGGCAUUCCGAGGUCGGGGAACCCCAGGAGCGCCUCCUCCGGGAUUCUGCCGUGUGACAGGUGUUCAUCCAGGCCAGACACCGCUGCGUCAUCCAUGGCAUGCGACGAGCUUCCAGCGAGCCAUUCCCCCGCUUCCCGAACUGUAGACACGCGGGACUCUCCCUCCUCCUAUCACAGUGGCAGCGGUAACAUGAAUAACAGUGAGAUGCAGGAGCUGUGCCAAUUUACAAGGUGACAUUGUACUCUGCUAAGUGCUGACUGCUGAAUGUAUGCACAGUGUUAAUUUAGGAGGAAGAAUGCAUAAUGUGAGACUGUUGAUGAUAUGCUGCUCUUAUGUUGCUAAGCAUGAAUCUUUACAUAGAGGACUUGAAAGCUUGUGAUAUAGUAUUUGUGAGACUGUUGGAUGCACUCUUGCAAGCAGAGGAAAUUCUCCUCUGUAGUAGGGGCAUCUUAUAAAUUUUUGUGCAGUAUACAGCUGAGAAGGAAUUGCAACAGUGGGAUUCUAGUAUUGCAAGGCCUUGUUUCAGGAAUCCCAGUAAUUCACCAACAGAUCAGUACUAUUAAUCCAAUACUCUGAGAAGGAAUCCUACAAACAGAGUUCAUUGGAUGUACAUAGGAUUUAUUUCAUGAACUGUAUAUAGGAAAACUGAAGCUUCAUAUGAUCCAUAAAGUUAGACAGAAGUUUUCACAUAGGCAAAGAAGAUGUACCUGAUUCUGCUCGGUUCCGGAUGGGCUGCCGUUUGGGCAACGAGUCUGCAGAGGGUAUGUCAUUGGGGUUGUAGGAUCGUCUUCCCCAGCAAAUGAAUCGAAUUCUUCAUUAACACCGCACACUAGAGACUGCCCAGCAUUCAUUGACUGCACCUGAUAAAAGACUUUGGAAACAACAAGCUCCUCCUGCUUUUCAUCUUGAUCUACCCCAAGGUGGUACUGAUGCAUUCUCCAAUUAGUUUUCUCUGUCUUGCCACCUCCUUUCCGAUAACCUAUGUAAAGAACCAAUAUUUUCUUCCACCCUUUUAUGACACCGUUAUUAUCUAAGAUAGAUCUGGAUUUUCCAGUCUUGUGCCAUCUGAGAUUCUCAUCACAAACAGUGUGGUCACUGUUGCUAAUCUUGCGACGCUUACGCUUGCCAACAACGUAUGCAUUGGAUACUUUGUGGAAGAAGUGACCGGUGCUCCCGUCCAUCUUGAUACCUACAGGGGUACAUGAGUUAACUACCAAGAAUUACUCUUCAUGGUAUAAGUAUUUAAUUCAGAAGGCCCUGAUAGCAAGUCCAAGUAAGAAUCAUGUACCAGGGAGAUUUUCCGGAUGUGUAUAGCAGAUUCCUUGGGCCUCCUUUAUGGUUGGAAUAAAAUCAUCUAUUAGUACAUGGGACGCUACCCUGCCAACCUUUCCUUCUAAAUGUUCAAGCAGUUCGAGAUCAGUUGGAUCGAAUUUAACACCAGCAGGGAGGCCUGGCCACUGUGAUAAAACCUGCAACACAAAGCAUGAAGUGCAACCACAAGAUGCCCAGAAAUCAGGAACGGAGGGAGUACAAGAUGCACCNNNNNNNNNNNNNNNNNNNNNNNNNNNNNNNNNNNNNNNNNNNNNNNNNNNNNNNNNNNNNNNNNNNNNNNNNNNNNNNNNNNNNNNNNNNNNNNNNNNNNNNNNNNNNNNNNNNNNNNNNNNNNNNNNNNNNNNNNNNNNNNNNNNNNNNNNNNNNNNNNNNNNNNNNNNNNNNNNNNNNNNNNNNNNNNNNNNNNNNNNNNNNNNNNNNNNNNNNNNNNNNNNNNNNNNNNNNNNNNNNNNNNNNNNNNNNNNNNNNNNNNNNNNNNNNNNNNNNNNNNNNNNNNNNNNNNNNNNNNNNNNNNNNNNNNNNNNNNNNNNNNNNNNNNNNNNNNNNNNNNNNNNNNNNNNNNNNNNNNNNNNNNNNNNNNNNNNNNNNNNNNNNNNNNNNNNNNNNNNNNNNNNNNNNNNNNNNNNNNNNNNNCAAAGAGUGGAUGGUACUUACAUCAGUAUUAUCAAUGCGGUAUUUGCAAUUUGGGCACUCCAUCCAUGCAAGCAAUUCCUCAAUCUUGCAAAGCGAGGGAUGAAUUAUCAUGGUAGCAAUUGUCUUGGCAGUAACGAUCAAUGACCUGAAGAAUCUGUGAGAUAACAAAUUCAAUUAAUUAUACAUGAUACAGAUCCCAUUUGUUUCAACAAAACACUAUCUAUCUUUUUCUAGAUUCACAAAUGUAGCAACUAAGCUAAAUGGAAAUGUAUGAAAGAAUUUUUACACAGACAGUCAUCUAUAUGAAUUCUAGGUUCAGUCAGAGGAUAUUAACUGCCAUGAACUUAAAGCCAACUAUUCAAGAACAGUCACUGCUCACUAACUCGGAAAAAUCGUAGGAAUGCAGAUAAUUAAUUAUGUACUAGUAAAUAGUAAUUCUCAAUAAAUUUGAGAGAUAAAUGAUUAUUUCCAGACUUGCAUUGCUAUUUUCAACGUAUAUUAAGCCAAAGACAGAUAUAGAUUACUGAACUCUGUUUCAGAAGAAAGAUGAGACUAAUGCAGAUUGCAGAGCAUGCCCAGGCGCAGAAACCAAUGAUUUAAACAACAUGUGGAAUCAUGGUCAGGCGCAGAAAGCCACGAACAGUUUCCAGCAAGAAGCACUGGAAGCUGGAAUUUUACCACGGCGCUCUGUUCUUAAACCUGCAGCUGUCAUUUGUGUGCCACUACAAGCAAGCUGAGGCUAAACUGAAGGAGUUUCCAACGAGGUGUGAUGCAACUCGACGAUCCACAGCACAAAAUCUGCGAUCUCUGCUCUGCUCUGUCACAGUCUGACAGACAGCUGCGACCGCGAGAUGAGAGCAGUCUCCACUAAACAGAACAGAGCAAAACGGAACGGAACCCUUCUCUGCUUCCUCCUCCACCACCACCUCAAGCAGAUCGAUCGUGAAACCCCUGCUCCACCGCCGCUGCAACGACGAGCAGAACCGGGCCGGGUUCGCGACGGCGGCGCGGAGGCGCUACCCUUCUCUGCUUCUCUGCCUCCUCCAGGGCUCCACCAUCACCUCAGCAGACCACGAAACCCCUGCACUGCCGCUGCAACAACGAGUAAAGCCGGGCCGGAUUCACGCCGGCGGUGCGAAGCCUCACACUCCUCUCUUUUUUCGGGAACUCCUCUGCUUCCUUCGGGGGGAAGGCUCUGAAUCACGUCAGCGGCGCCCUCGCACCGAUCUUGCUCCCCGACGAUCUCGCACUCAUCGCCCCGUCAGACCGACAUCUCCUCUCCCACGUCAUCACCAUCCGAUCUUCUCCAAAAACCACCUACCGGAAUCCACCGCUCGCUGAUCAAUCGCGACGCCCCUCCGGAUCAAACCGAAACCCAGACCCCAGAAGCAGAAAAUGCCACCAGACCAGAGCACGUGAGAAAAUAAAACAAAAAGGAUCCCGAGCAGCAGAAAAGUAGGAGAGAGACCGAGUCAGAGAGUAAAAACAGAGCACAAGCGCGGGUCACUUACUCUGCCAUGGCCGGCCGCCGCGGCUGCGCUGCGACGGGAGGGUUCGGAGGGACCGAGAGCGGAGUGUGGAGCGCAAGGGCAUCCGAGGGGAGGGGGGUCGAGGAGGGGGCGGGGCAACUUCUGGGCAAGUGAGGUGGGUGUGUCCCGCCUUAAAUAGGCGAGGGGUGAGAAGACGCGGACCCUGCCCACUGGGGCCUGUCCAAAAUGUUUUGCCCACCGGAACAAGCAAGCAACGCCCCUGCUGGACGUGUUUCGCUAGGCUUGGGAGCGUUGGGUUGUCUUGUGUCGCUCGGCGGGGUGCAGCCUCGGCUUGCCAUGGGUGGUGGGUAUCUGCUUACUCUCAGAUUCUUUUCUAGGAGAGGUAACACUCUGAGAUGUCUUUUGCGCUCGGUACUUUGCAGUAUGCACACACCCUAAGAAGAGUUUUAUCUCCUGACAAGCAAGGGAAAAUAGUUGCACCAUGAAAAAAAGAGACUUUGUACAACUCUCUCUCAAAAAAAAAAUGCUUGUGCAUUAGUAUCUGUUUUUUUUAACACCAGCGCAUCAUUAUCUGAUGUACAACUCCCUCCAUUAAAAAAGGGUGUAAUUUUUUUCUCUUGUAGACCGAGGGAGCCGUGGGAAGGGAAGACUUACCCUUUACCCAUGUUUAACUGGACGCAAUUAACUGUUCUCCUUUGUUCCAGCAAUUUUGCCUCACGCAUUUCAGUAACCGUCGCUACACGUGGAGGGUAAAGGGGCGGUGGGCGGCGCGGCUGGGUAGUAACAUGCGAGUCGUCGCUAGGGGGUAACGUUCGAAUUUUUAGGACUGGGGAGUGGGGGCUAUUUUCAGCAGUACAUAAUGAUGGGUUGUAACGUGCGAAUUUUCAGGAUCGGUGAGCGGGAAUCAAGAGAGUGGUUAUUUUUAGCAACACACAAAUGUAAUCCUGAAACGGACUCCUAGUGCCAUCUUCUUUUGCGUAAUUCGUGUGAAAUGUUUCCGAGAUGCCUCCGCGAUUAGUACUUUGUACAACACCGUAAAGAAGAAUAGUUUCGAAAUGUUUCUAAAAUGUUUCAGGACAAGAUAGAUGAUCCUUGGAUUUAUCCAUGGGCCGUGACAACUGACAGUUGUCCAAAGUAUUUUUCCCACAACUACAAGCCCCCCCCCCCCUCACUGAGUCUUUCGAGAUGUCCAUCUUACCAAGGCCUAAUACAUCCCCUUUGGAUCUAUCUCCGAACGUGACACUUCGCUUGGGGACGCCAUGUUUCUCAAAGUCGUGGAACAUAUCUCUAUGUCCAGUCAUGUGGUCGGUAGACCCACUAUCGAAUACCCAUUCUUUUCGACUGAAAAAAUGGCUUUUAUGUCCUCUUCACAUAUUUCACAUGGGAUUGUCGUCUUCAUUUUCAUCUUUUGUCUCCUUCAAAAUGUUACCUUUAGUAACACAAGAUAGAAUAGUCAUUAUGUUCUUAACAGAUGGCGCCAUACAAGUCAUCAACUUGUUGCCUAAGGAUGGGAUAAUCGGCAUCAAAAUUAUUAAUGAUUGACAUGGCAUGAGGAAAAAUGGCCCUCCAUUCAUCCAAGGAGUGAGGUUCGUCAUCCUUUACCUUAGAUUUACCUUUGAUUUGAGGAUGAGAAGGAGGAACAACUUUCUUGUCAUAAAGCUCUUCAAGUUGCUUCCACGCUCCAUAAGCAUUGUCAAAUGAGUAGAUUCUCUCCAACACAUCGUAACUUAUACCUCUCAAUAUAGCAUUGGUAGUUUGGGCAUUAAGGUAUAACUCAUGUUCUUCCCGGGGAGUUAGGUAAAGAGGAUCCGACGGAGGCACAUAGUCAUUCUCAACUAGUUCAUUAUGUUCAGUCCUUGUUGAGGAAACUUCUCAAUCAUCAUGCAUUUCACUAGCAUUUCUAUUCCUUCAAAGUAAGCACCAACCUAGUGAUAUCUUCCCUUACUGGACAUACUACUCUCCUUAAAUUGUGAAUCCAAUGCAACGGUCAACUAAUGAAAGACCUUGUUAAGGAGACCAAAUCUCUACCUCAUGUAGGGCCACUUAGUAUAGUCUAGAUGGGAUGAAUAGACUACAAGCAAAUCAAAGGGACUAUUUUCUAAAUUUUAAGUUUCCUACGCAAUUUUAUGAUUUUCUAUUGGUAGCCUAUCAAUAACCCUACACAUGCAAGUCUAAUAGAGUAUAACAAUGGAAGCCAAACACUUUGACAAGUAUAAGUAAGAGUAGUUGGAGGAGUGCAACGGUUUGGUAGAAACACUAGUAGAAAUUGUAUAGGGUAAUUGAUGACUUUUAGCUCUUUGACAUGAAUGAAAAAUUGUUUCAACAUCAUGCUCUCCAACACAUGGGAGCUUAUUUUUCCUAAGAAAUCGUUCAACUAAAGAAAAAGUUGCAUGUCCUAGUCGAUCAUGCCAACGUGUCGGAUAUAAUUUGGUGGCACCAAAAGCUUGUCUAUUGAAUCUUCUAAUCUUCAAAAUCAAUGGGUAAAGCCCGCAAAGACAUCUACCUCGCCAUAGGACUUUCUUCGUUACCCGGCCCUUUGUAAAAAAUAGAAAGGGCAAAACUGAAGGAAGACAUGACUAUUAAUGGAAAUACGAUGAAUGGAAAGAAGAUUUUUGGAGACACUAGGAAUAUGCAAGAUUUUUCUACGAUCAAUUUUUCGACGAUGGUUUUUUUACAAUUGAGUGACCAACGUGACAAAUCUUCAUACCUUCUCCACUAGCACUGUUGAUGUGGUCUUGGCCAUGGUACUUUCCCUGCAUGGUCACCUUCUCGACCUCGCUGGUGAUGCGGUUUAUAGCACCACUAUGAACGUACUAGUUCGUGUCCAUUCCGUACGAUCCUUUAGCUGCUCCGACCACCUUCUCAUCUUGUGGCGAAUCAUCAUCAUCAUCAAAUCUAUACCAGCAAUCCCUAGCCGAGUGGCCAAGUUUGUCAUAGAUCUGACACUUGAUGGCAUCAGGCUGUGAUUUUUUGGAGGUGCGACAGCCCUUGUUGUUCUUGUUGUUGUUGUAGGAGGGAUGACCGCCACUGCCAUUGUUGCCGCGAGGAUUGGUGUUGCUGUUGUCAUUCCCGCCGGUGUUGUUGCGUGGCAGUCCACGGUGACGAGAUCCAGCGCCACGACCACGCAUGGCCGCAUUAGCAGAAGACUUGAAACCGCCGCUGGAGUGUGCUCCUUAGUAAAGUCACCCUCUGAUCAAAGUUGCUCAUCUGAGCAAAAUAAUCAUCGAGGGUGACCGUUUUGGUCCGGGCGUCGAGCGUGGAGACGAGGGGCUAGUAAUCCAUGUCGAGGCCGACGAUGAUGUGCGAGAUUAUCUUUGGGUUGGGAGAGUUGGGUUGUCUUGUGUUACUCGACGGGAUGCAGCCUCGGCUUGCCAUGGGUGGUGGGUAUCUGCUUGCUCUCAGGUUCUUUUCUAGGAAAGGUAACUUUCUGAGAUGUCUUUGCAUUCGGUACUUCACAGAUUGCACACACCCUAAGAAGAGCUUUUAUCUCUUGGCAAACAAGGGAAAAUAGUUGCACCAUGAAAUAAAAACGAGACUUUGUACAACUCUCUUUCAAAAAAAUUGCUUAUGCACCAGUAUCUGUUUUUUUAACACCAGCGCAUCAUUAUUUGAUGUACAACUCCCUCCAUUAAAAAAAGGUGUAAUUUUUUUCUCUUCUAGACCGAGGGAGCUGUGGGAAGGGAAGACUUACCCUUUACCCGUGUGUAAAUGGACGCAAUUAACCGCUCUCCUCGGUUCCAGCAAUUUUAUCUCAUGCAUUUCAGCAAGCGUCGCUACACGUGGAGGGUGAAGGGGCGGUGGGCAGCGCGACUGGGUAGUAACAUGCGAGUCGUUGCUAGGGGUAAGGUUCGAAUUUUUAGGGACUGGGAAGUGGGGGCUAUUUUCAGCAAUACAUAAUGAUGGGUGGUAACAUGCGAAUUUUCAGGAAUGGUGGGCGGGAAAAAGGGAGAGGGGCUAUUUUUAGCAAUACGCAAAUGAAAUCCUGAAACUGACUCUUAGCGCCCUUGUUUGCAGAACUCGUGUGAAACGUUUCCGAGAUGCCUCCAUGAUUAGUACUUUGUACAACACUGUAAAAAAGAAUAGUUCCUAACACGAAAUGUUUCAUGACAAGAGAGAUGAUCCAUGGAUUUAUCCGUGGACCGUGACAACUGACCCUUGUCCAAAGUGUUUUCCACACAGCUACACUUUUCUUUUCCCAUUCUUUUCCCCCCAGAAAAAUAGCUUUUACGUCCUCUUCACAUAUUACACUUGGGAUUAUCAUCUUCACUUCAUCUUUCACAUUCAUCUUUUGUAUCCUUCAAAAGGUUAGCUUCAAUAACACAAGAUAGAAUAGUCAUUAUGUCCUUGACAUCACCCUUGUUGCGGAUGGUGCCAUACAAGUCAUCAAGUUGUUGCCUGAGGUUGGGAUCAUCAACAUCAAAAUUCUUAAUGAUUGACAUGGCCAUCAAUGUUGGGAUCUACGGUAUGAUGCGCUGACUGCAAAUUAAAAUUUUCCUACGCGCAGAACAACCAAGAACAUGCUAUGUGAGAUGGAUCACAUAUCGUUACCACUAGAAGCGCAGUGCCAUGCAACAGAAGUAGAGUUGGGGUAGCAUGUCCUGGAGUCAUUUCCUCCUCGUUGAUCUCCCAUGUAGCUGAUCGGAUCCCACAAACAGGUUCACCGGAGCACCGCAGGUGCAUCGCCUCUAAUGGUAUCUGCGCGUGUAGGAGGAACGUCGUGUGGAAGACUACUAGGUCCGAUCACACAACCGACAGCGAGUGGAGGUGUCUAGUUGCAACACAUGCAAAGCCCUAGUGAUGGCGCCGAAGCAAUCAACAGAUUAGUGAGCCACACCCCCACUAUGUAUAGGCAUCCGUCGCGGGUUCAACACUUGGGCCUCACACGGGUCCUAAAGCCCAAAGUCUGUUUGGCCUAGAUCCGAGUCCGAGUAGGAUUACAUCUGACUCGUUGAUUCAGAUCAUGCCUCACAGGUUCCUUCCCUUAAGCGCGCGACCCCUUAGUUUCUCGUUCACUUGGUCGUGGGUCAAAUCACAUCCGGCUCGUCUAGUCGGUAGCGACCUCUAGCAAAGUGUGCUGACUCCAAGUGUCCGAUGAAGUUGUGGUUAGGCGAACGUGUACAACAUGUCACACUUAUAUUCCCUUUGCCACAUGAUAUAUGUUGUCGGGCUCAAGGUGAGUCUGUCAUCCUUGUGCUAGCCCAACCUCUUUCUCGUUCCAGUGAUGCUGACCAUAAACCGGAUUAUCUCAUAAUGCUUGUGCAUGGCCAUGCUUAUCUUGGUCGGAUCACACAAGGGGCCCAGAGUGUAUCUCUCCUGAUCAGAGGGGCGAAUCCCAUCUUGCUUGACCAUGUCUCACAGCAUGGGUCUGGACAAGCCCAAAACCUACCUUUGUAACUACCCAGCCACGGAGUAACGUUUGGUCGGCCCAAAGCAUGACUGUCACCAUCUCGAGUACAUGCGUCGGCUCAGGUCUUAGGACAUAGAAUGUAUGUUGUACUAGAGACUCGCAGAUGACAUAUCGAUGUGUCUCAUUGGUGGGUUUGUCUGACUUGGACCUUAUCUUGACUCAGAUCCGACUACGUCGAAUCCGACCAGAUCCUUCUGAGUCCACAUUAUCAGUUUAGCAUCCAAUGCUCCAUGGCUAGUGAGACCUAGCCAUCCACCGUGUCAUAUGCUAGUCUAGUCGGUUGCGCGUCCACACAGCCCAUUCGACCAGGGACCUUUUAGGACAGUUUUUAGGACAGUCAUUAUACAAUGCAUAGUCCCACAAACAAGUCAUGUACUUGUUGAUACACAUCAUUGAUAAUGUCCAAGGUACCUUUAUUCAUAAACACAUAGGAAAUAUCAUCAUACAUGAUUGCCUCUAGGGCAUAUCUCCAACAAUCAAUUCAUCCAAGGAGUGAGGUUCCUCAUUCUUUACCUUAGAUUUACCUUCGAUUUGAGGACGAGGGGGAGGAACAACCUUCUUGUCAUAAAGCUCUUCAAGUUGCUUCUGCCCUUCAUGAGGACUGAGGGAGUCCCGGAUUAGGGGGUGUCCUGAUGGCCGGACUAUGACCUUUGGCCGAACUCCCGGACUAUGAAGAUACAAGAUUGAAGACUUCGUCCCGUGUCCGGAUGGGACUUUCCUUGGCAUGGAAGGCAAGCUUGGCGAUACGAUAUGUAGAUCUCCUCCCAUUGUAACCGACUCUAUGUAACCCUAGCCCUCUCCGGUGUCUAUAUAAACCGGAGAGGUUUAGUCUGUAGGACGAACAACAAUCAUACCAUAGGCUAGCUUCUAGGGUUUAGCCUCUUUGAUCUCGUGGUAGAUCAACUCUUGUACUACCCAUAUCAUCAAUAUUAAUCAAGCAGGAGUAGGGUUUUACCUCCAUCGAGAGGGCCCGAACCUGGGUAAAAACAUCGUGUCCCUUGUCUCCUGUUACCAUCCGCCUAGACACACAGUUCGGGACCCCGUACCCGAGAUCCGCCGGUUUUGACACCGACAUUGGUGCUUUCGUUGAGAGUUCCUCUGUGUCGUCACCUUUAGGCCCGAUGGCUUCUCCGAUCACCAACAACGAUGCGAUCCAGGGUGAGACCUUUCUCCCCGGACAGAUCUUCGUAUUCGGCGGCUUUGCACUGCGGGCCAAUUCGCUUGGCCAUCUGGAGCAGAUCGAAAGCUACGCCCCUGGCCAUCAGGUCAGAUUUGGAAGUUUGAACUACACGGCUGACAUCCGCGGAGACUUGAUCUUCGAUGGAUUCGAGCCACAGUCGAGCGCACCCCACUAUCACGAUGGGCACGAUCUAGCUCUGCCGCCGGACAGUGCCCAGAAGGCCGCUCAGGUGUCCGCCCCGACCCUUAGCUCGGAGCCGACUGCGCCAAUCAGGGAUGGAUGGUUGGACACCGCCUAGGGGGCUGCAAUCUCUACGGCGAUCGAGCCGAAUACCAGCCUUGUCCUUUGUGAAGCCCGUGACUCCAAGGUGUCGGACUCCUUUCCGGACUCCAAAUCUUCCGCACCCCUUUCGAUCGAACCCAAUUGGGCUCCGAUCAUGGAGUUCACCGCCGCGGACAUCUUUCAGCACUCGCCCUUUGGCGACAUUCUGAAUUCACUAAAAUCUCUCUCUUUAUCAGGCGAGCCCUGGCCGGACUAUGGUCAGCAAGGUUGGGAUGCGGACGAUGAAGAAAUUCAAAACCCACACCACCCACUUCGUAGCCACUGUCGAUGAUUUAACCGACAUGCUCGACUUCGACUCCGAAGACAUCGACGGUAUGGACGCCGAUGAAGGAGACGACCAAGAACCAGCACCUAUAGGGCACUGGAAAGCCACCUCGUCAUAUGACAUAUACAUGGUGGACACCCCAAAAGAAGGGAAUGGCGAUGGAACAACCGAGGAUGACCCCUCCAAGAAACAGCCUAAGCGCCGGCGUCAGCGGUGCCGCUCUAAAUCCCGCCAAAGCAAAAAUGGCGAGUCCGGCACCGGAGACAAUAACACCUCGGACAGUGCCGAAGACAACCCCCUCCAGCAAGAUUCAGUGCAGGAGGAUGGAGAAGCCAGCCCUCAUGAGAGAGCGGCAAACAGAGAGGUCGAGGACGACAAUUAUAUGCCUCCCUCCGAAGACGAGGCAAGCCUCGACGACGACGAAUUCGUCGUGCCUGAGGAUCCCGUCAAACAAGAGCGUUUCCAACGUAGGCUUAUGGCCACGGCAAGCAGCCUCAAGAAAAAACAGCAGCAGCUUAGAGCUGACCAAGAUUUGCUAGCUGACAGAUGGACUGAAGUCCUGGCGGCCGAAGAGUACAAACUCGAACGCCCCUCCAAGAGCUACCCAAAGUGCAGGCUGCUACCCCAACUAGAGGAGGAAGCAACUAAACCUACAUCACCAGCGUACGAUGCUGCCGAUCGGCCACCCCGUGGCCACGACAGAGAGGCCUUUCGGCCCUCAACUCAAGCCGCACCCCGGUGCUGCUCAAAACGUACCAAGGCACGGGGAAACGCGCCAGACCUGCGAGACAUAUUGGAGGACAAGGCAAGGCAAACAAGAUCGAUCUACGGAUCGCGUGGGCGCCCCAUGACACGUGACGCUAACCGUCACGGUGGAUAUGGCAAAUACGGCCAGGCCGAACACAACAGACAAAGCUCAUCCGAGCUACGUCGUGAUAUAGCCCAGUACAGAGGCGCCACACACCCACUAUGCUUCAUAGAUGAAGUAAUGGAUCAUCAAAUCCCCGAGGGUUUUAAACCCGUAAACAUCGAAUCAUACAAUGGCACAACAGAUCCUGCGGUAUGGAUCGAGGAUUAUCUCCUUCAUAUCCACAUGGCCCGUGGUGAUGAUCUACACGCUAUCAAGUACCUCCCACUCAAGCUUAAAGGACCAGCUCGGCAUUGGCUUAACAGCUUGCCAGCAGAGUCAAUUGGUUGCUGGGAGGACCUGGAAUCCGCAUUCCUUGACAACUUCCAGGGCACUUAUGUGCGACCACCAGACGCCGAUGACCUAAGCCACAUAAUUCAGCAGCCAGAGGAAUCGGCCAGACAAUUCUGGACACGGUUCCUAACCAAGAAAAAUCAGAUAGUCGACUGUCCGGACGCAGAGGCCCUUGCAGCCUUCAAACAUAACAUCCGUGAUGAAUGGCUUGCCCGGCACCUAGGACAGGAAAAACCGAAAUCCAUGGCAGCCCUCACGACACUCAUGACCCGCUUUUGUGCGGGAGAAGACAGCUGGCUAGCUCGUAGCAAUAACAUGACCAAGAGCCCUGGUAAUUCGGAUACCAAGGACAACAAUGGCAGGUUGCGUAGCAACAAGCACAAGCGCCGCAUUAACGGCGACAUAUUACUGAGGAUACGACAGUUAAUGCCGGAUUCAGAGGCUCCAAACCCGGUCAAUGGAAAAAGCCAUUUAAAAGAAGUACUCCAGGCCCAUCCAGUUUGGACCGAAUGCUCGACCGCUCGUGCCAGAUACACGGCACCCUCGAAUAACCAGCCAAUCACACCAACAGGGAUUGUUGGGUGUUCAAGCAGGCAAGCAAGUUAAGUGCCGAACACAGAGACAAGGGGCUGCAUAGCGAUGACGAGGAGGAGCCCCGGCCGCCGAACAAUAGAGGACAGAAGGGCUUUCCCCCACAAGUGCGGACGGUGAACAUGAUAUACGCAACCCAAAUCCCCAAAAGGGAACAGAAGCGUGCGCUCAGGGACGUAUAUGCAUUGGAGCCAGUCGCCCCAAAGUUCAACCCAUGGUCCUCCUGCCCGAUCACUUUUGAUCAAAGGGACCACCCCACUAGCAUUCGUCACAGCGGAUUCGCCGCAUUGGUCCUAGACCCAAUCAUUAACGGAUUUCACAUCUCUAGAGUCCUCAUGGACGGCGGCGGCAGCCUAAACCUGCUUUAUCAGGAUACAGUGCGGAAAAUGGGCAUAGAUCCCUCAAGGAUUAAACCCUAAAAGACGACCUUUAAAGGCGUCAUACCAGGUGUAGAGGCCAGCUGUACAGGCUCAGUUACACUCGAAGUGGUCUUCGGAUCCCCAGAUAAUUUCUGAAGCGAGGAGUUAAUCUUCGACAUAGUCCCGUUCUGCAGUGGCUAUCACGCCCUGCUCGGACGAACCGCAUUUGCAAACUUCAAUGCGGUGCCGCACUACGCAUAUCUCAAGCUCAAGAUGCCAGGCCCUCGCGGAGUCAUUAUGGUCAAUGGAAACACCGAACACUCUCUCCGAACAGAGGAGCACACGGCGGCCCUCGCGGCAGAAGUACAAAGUAGCCUCUCAAGGCAAUUCUCAAGUCCGGCUGUUAAGCGUCCGUACACCGUCAAGCUCGCCCGGAGUGGCCUACAACAAGACUGUCUGAGCUAGCAUAGCAGUGCGGCCCCAACCCCCGCCCUCGCGACAAUGCGAAGCCAGUACCACGCGUACAUAAUUAUGCUCUGGAAAUACCGUGGGCAUAAGGGGAGGGGAACAACCACGGCAUGCCCAGAAUGCGGCUCAACCGCACUAGGGGCUCCCGAUUUUUGUGAUUUUUCUUUUACUUUCAGGGCUCCAUUAUUCGGAAGACCUGUCCGGCAAUACAAUCGCCGAACACACGAUGCAACAGCCAGGGAGACAGCAAGCCACGUCGAACGUCCAGGUGGUCUCUAUAACGAGCUAAAUACCUAUCUUACUUAAAGUCUCGCAGCUUGCCCCUGGAGGGGGACAUGUCAAAUAAUCCCAUCUCUUGCCUAUCGCACUAUUUGUAUCGUUCUGCUUUCAUAGCAGCCCUUUAAUAAACAAUACAUAGCUCUUGUCUAUUAUUGCAUUCAUUUUUCAUGUAAAUAUGUUCAGUUAUGACAUUAUGCAACCGUACACUUUGGUACGACCAAUACACCAGGGGCUUAAGUACCCCAGAAUACGGUGUGAGAAGACCGAACACUCUCAUGAGUGCGGCACCCCGAACUUAUAGCAUUAUAUGCAUCGGCUCUGAAUCAUGCUUGGGUCAAUAGUUGGGUUUGCCCAGCUCCCAUGUUUUGGUACCUUACGUUCCGCUAUGUCGGCUAAGGUAGCGCUGGGAGAACUACUGCGAUUGUGCCCCAGUUGAGCUGGGUUAACACCUCAGUAGAGAAAGCUAAAACUGACUGUCAUGAUAGGGCGAGAGACCGGUCGCUGUUCGAGAGGUUUUUCGAGUCCCUAAACACUCAUGCCGCUUAGAGCGAGGAGCUGGCUUUGUCCGGCCUAGGCGUGGAUAGCGCCCCGAACUCGAUCUUCCGAAUACUAGGGGCUUCGCCGAAAUUUAAAAUUAUAGAAUUCUAUGGCUAAGUGAGAGUGAUAAAGCAUUAUAAGUCCGAUUGCCUUGUUCGUUGUGCUGAGCGCCUCCCUCGAAGGGCCCAAGAAUGGAACAAGAGCGCUCAGGUUUAUCCCGAACACCCCAGCACUCGUGGCGGGGGUAGAAGCUGAUGACUUGCAUCUCUCAGAUUCAAUAAACGGCCGCACAGAAGGUAAUAUUUUAAAUUCAAACAGCGUUUCUUAGCGCAUAUGAACAAGUUUUCAGCGCACAGGAUAAACACGAGCGAGUUUACUCAAAAAUUACAUCCCUGGUACAUUCAUUCGCCACAAGACGGGCACCCUUCAGGACGCCCUCAUAGUACAUCUCGGGCCUGCGAUGCUCCUUCCCCUCCGGUGGCCCUUCUGUCACCAGCUUCUCAGCAUCCAGCUUGCCCCAGUGCACUUUAGCACGGGCAAAAGCCCUACGGGCGCCUUCGAUGCAUACGGCGCGCUUGAUGACUUCAAGCCGUGGACAGGCAUCCACCAGCCGCCGCACCAGCCCAAAGUAGCUCCCAGGCAUGGCCUCCCCAGGCCACAGCCGGCCUAUUAGGCCCUUCAUGGCCUGUUCGGCUGCCUUAUGAAGCUCGACCAGCCGGGUGUCCGGCCUCAGCAUACUGGGACUAGAACACCUUCUCCAUCGAGCUCCCUUCCUCGGCCCGGUAGAAUGCGGCGGCGUCGGAUACACUGUGGGACAGAUCUGCGAAAGCUCCUGGAGAGCUCCGGAUUCGGGUAAGUAACAGGUAAUUUACUUUCACGUGCUUGCUUUGCAUAAAGAAUGCCUUACCCGCCGCAAUCUUUUUCAUCGCCUCAAUUUCCUGGAGGGCUUUUUGGGCUUCGGCCUUGGCAGAUUUGGCGGUUUCAAGUGACGAGGCAAGCUCAGACUCCCGAGUCUUCGAGUUAAGCUCUAAACUCUCAUGUUUUUUUCACAAGAGCAUUGAGCUCUUGCCGCACCUCCGCCACCUGCGCCUCUUGUUUCUCUCGCUCGGUGCGCUCCAUGGCCGCAUUAUCUUAGGCCUUGGAAAGCGCUUCCUUAAGGGUCGCCACCUCAGUUGUGGCCCCUGUAACAUUCACGUUGGUCCUGUCAUUAUUUGCAACCAGGUAUUUUUAUAUAUAUUUACAUAAGGCACUACCUACCUUCCUUGUCCCCAAGCUACUUCUUGGCACGGCCGAUCUCGUUCUCGGACCGCUCGAGGCUCUGCUUCAAUGCAUCGACCUCCGCAGUCAGUGCGGCAGAGGUCAGCAGCGCAGCCUGCAUUCCCAUAUUGACAUAUUUAUGUUAGACUCCUGCGUAUAUCUUUUUAGAUCCUCAGUCCGGCUUUUCUUUCCGAACACCAAACUGAGCAUUAGGGGCUACUGUCUAUGCGGUAACAUUUUUACAUGUUUUAAAUACAUACCUCGAAACCUGUUAGAAGGCUGGUACAGGCUUCUGUCAGCCCGCUCUUGACAGACUGAACCUUCUGGAUCACCGCACUCAUAACAGUGCGGUGCUCCUCAUCGAUGGAGGCGCCGUUAAGCACCUCCAGCAAAUUGUACGGUGCCUCCGGUUGGAAGGAGGCCACCGGCAUCGUAGGCUUGCCCUUCUUGCGAGGGGGGCGCCUACCGGACUCCGGAAUCACUGAAGGUUCCGGAGCGGUGUCCGGCCCAGGGCCGGACUUAGAUCCCUCUGGGGCUUCAUCCCCUUUGGGCCUAGAGUCCGGGAGGUCGCCUUGCGGCGCCUCCAGGACCACCUCCUCCUGGUUUAGCCCCUUUUGGACUCCACCUCGGCAUCAUCCGUAGGGCGAGGGGAGGUAGCAGUCGGGAGUGAAGCGCUAUUCACAUCUGACGAAUCCAGGGAGCCGCUUGACGAAUCGCCGAGCUGAGCCUUGGGUGGACUGCAUGAUUGAAUUCAGUGUCAGAAGGUACUGUACAAUAGAGGAACGCCAUGAGCUAUUCUGGUAUCCGGAUACUUAUGAUUUUGCCAGGGGCUUGGCCCUGGAUGGCCAUUCCUCUCCGCCGUCGUCGGCGUCGGAGGCGUAGUCCGGAAGAAGGGUCUUCCCCUUCUUGGACCCUCCGGCCUCCCCAGUUGGGGCAGCCUUCCUUUUCUGUCCUCCCCCCGCUGGAGGGGGAGAGGCUUCUUCUUCCUCCUCCUCGUCUUCGGAGGCGGAGGGCGCUUCGGGGUCGUCGGGCGAUGAAUCCGACACCACCAGGCUCCGGGAACUCUUUCGAAUCCCCGUGGCCUUCUUCUUGGCCUUCUUCUCCGGCACCACGUGAGGUGCCGGGACCAGCAACUUCAUCAAGCGUGCAUCUGCUGGGCCUUCGGGCAAAGGGGCCGGACAGUCAAACUGUUCGGACGUCCUCUUCCAGUCCUAUCAAAGGAGCGGGAGUUUAGAUCCUGCAUAGAGUCAAACUAUGAAAAUCAAGUGUCAUCUAAAGGAUAAAAGCAAGCUUACUUCGGUGGCUUGGCGCUUUGAGCAGAAUCCACGAUCCUCGGUGACGGGAGGGGAAACCUCGGAGCUCUUGAAUAGCACCUUCCAGGUGUCCUCGUGCUUUGUUCGAAGAGCCUGGACAAAGUCUGGUGUUGGGCCGGGUCAAACUCCCACAAGUUGAAAGCCCGUCGUUGACACGGGAGGAUCCGGCGGAAGAGCAUGACCUGGACUACGUUGACAAGUUUAACCUUCUUGUUCACCAGGUCUUGGACGCAGGUUUGGAGUCCGGUCACCUCUUCCGGAUUACCCCACAACAGGCCCGUCUCUUUCCAGGAUGUGAGCUGUGUGGGGAUGCCAAAUUGGAAUUCGGGGGCCGCUGCCCAUUCAGGGUCACACAGCUCGAUGAUGUAGAACCAUCCCGAUUGCCACCCUUUGAUGGUUUCCACGAAGGAGCCCUCGAGCCAUGUGACGUUGGGAAUCUUUCCCACCACGGCGCCUCCGCACUCCGCUUGCCGGCCGCCCAUGACCUUCGGCUUGACACUGAAGAUCUUCAGCCAUAGCCCGAAGUGAGGCUUGAUGCAGAGGAAGGCCUCGCACACAACGAUAAACAUCAAGAUGUUGAGGAUGAAGUUUGGGGCCAGAUCAUGGAAAUCCAGGCCAUAGUAGAACAUGAGCCCCCGGACAAAUGGGUGAAGAGGGAAGCCCAGUCCGCGGAGGAAAUGGGUGAGAAACACCACCCUCUCAUGGGGCCUAGGGGUGGGGAUGAGUUGCCCCUCAUCUGGGAGCCGGUGCGUGAUGUCGUUAGACAAGUAUCUGGCCUUCCUCAACUUUUUGAUGUGCCCCUCCGUGAUGGUGGAGGCCAUCCAUCUACCUCCCGCUCUGGACAUGAUUGGAGAAGGUUGAGGUGGGAAGUGCGGACUUGGGCGCUGGAGCUCGAGUGCGCGGAAAUGGAUAAGCGAAGGAGGAAGAAGGCGUAGAUUGAAAGGGUGGAUUCUUAUCCCCUUAUAUGGGCGGCCGAAACUAUGUGCCCCCACCAGCCUAGUAAAACUCGCUUAUCUCCCAAGCGCCGCGAUUAAUGGCGCGGUUGGGUUACCCACGCCCGUAUUGAUGAGAAUCCCGGAAUAAGGGGACACGAUCUCUGCUUUGACAAGACGUGCCAAGGAAACCGCCUCGCUAAACACGCUGAGGUGGGACAGUAAAAUGAUUCGAAUAAAAGCUUGGCUGUGGCAUGUUGUCACGCUACGGAAUACGUCAGCAGAUUAGAUUUGUGCGAAUAUUAUUCUCUCUACGGUGGUAUGUGGAAACUAUUUUGCAGAGCCGGACACUAUCCUUGUGUUCAACAUCUUCUAUGAAGUAUUCGGAGGAGGAACCCGCCUUGCAAUGCCGAAGACAAUUUGCGCGUCGGACUCGUCAUCAUUGAAGCCUGGUUCAGGGGCUACUGAGGGAGUCCCGGAUUAGGGGGUGUCCGGAUGGCCGGACUAUGACCUUUGGCCGGACUCCCGGACUAUGAAGAUACAAGAUUGAAGACUUCGUCCCGUGUCCGGAUGGGACUUUCCUUGGCAUGGAAGGCAAGCUUGGCGAUACGAUAUGUAGAUCUCCUCCCAUUGUAACCGACUCUGUGUAACCCUAGCCCUCUCCAAUGUCUAUAUAAACCGGAGAGGUUUAGUCCGUAGGACGAACAACAAUCAUACCAUAGGCUAGCUUCUAGGGUUUAGCCUCUCUGAUCUCGUGGUAGAUCAACUCUUGUACUACCCAUAUCAUCAAUAUUAAUCAAGCAGGAGUAGGGUUUUACCUCCAUCGAGAGGGCCCGAACCUGGGUAAAAACAUCGUGUCCCUUGUCUCCUGUUACCAUCCGCCUAGACGCACAGUUCGGGACCCCCUACCCGAGAUCCGCCGGUUUUGACACCGACAAGGACUAUCAGAUUAGUGGAUUCUCUCCGUCACAUCUUAACUUAUAUCUUUCAGUACAACAUUUGCAGUUUGGGCAUUGAGGUGUAAGUCAUGUUCUUAUUGAGAAGUUGGGUAAAGUGGAUCAAUUGAGGCGCAUAGUCAUUCUCAAUGAGUUCAUUAUGCCUGGUCUUAGUUGAAGAAAUGUUCAUGUACGGCCAGAGUACAUAGACCAGAGGGAGUGAACGUGAGAUUUAAAGUUUAUUUUGAAACUUGAAAUCUCUCAAUACAUCACAGCGGAAAUAAAACUCAGCAGAAGCAGAUCAAUGAAAGAAAACAUCUAUGAAAACGUAAUGUGACAAUAUAGAUAGGUUAGAUGAACGACUCUAAUCAAGAGAGGACAAUCUUGCCCGUAUAAGAAUAGAGCACUCUGAGAACAAUGAAUGUCUCAAGAAAUGGAAACAAAACUAUCAACAUCUAAAUGAGGAUUAGCUCUACGAGGAUUAACUAUAACACUAAAGAUGGAAAAGAUACAUGACUAGGAGAUUUUCAUCAGAGCAAGGCUGGGGUGAAUAACCAAGUGGCACCAGAUAUAAUUCAUCUGAAAAAACAAACAUACAAUCUUAAGUACAUCAAAUGCAAAUACACAACACAACAUGGUCGCAACACAGAUAGAUAUGUCUGAGAGAAUAGCAAUUACAAUCUUGAAGAACAAUUGUCGAGAUAUAACUCAACCAAAAUUAAAUUAUGAAAGUGAUUGCAAAGAGAAAUAAAACCCGAUGUGCAGGAGGGAUUAGCAGGAUUGGGCUGGCGGGCUGCGAAACAGUCUUGGGAAAUAUGGCCUUUACCUUUGCAUGUAUGUCAUCUGAUUUUAUUGGGCAAGCAUGUCGAAAGUGUCCCGUCGAAAGGCAGCUAUAGCAGAACAUUUGGCUUUUGUCAAUGGGCCUAGGAGGUCCUGGGAGAGAAAUGGCCUUGGCCUAAGUUUGAACACUCAACAAUCCCGCCUAGACAUUAACUCUGCUUGAAUUGUCAUGAUGAUGAUUACAAUACAAAAAUGAUUCCCCCGUAUGAUCCUCAAGAAUGCAAGGAUUAUGAUCCAAGAACGGACGAUCUAUGAAGUGAAGAAAAAAGUCACGGUAGAUUCUAGGGGAUCUGGCCACUUGAGCGUAUGUUUUAUUGGGGCGGAAGGAAGAUAAGAAUCUAUUCAUCAUCUUUUUCUUUGAGAUAGAGUUCAAACUCCUCCAAAUUAGGGCACCCUUGCGCCAAAGUAAGAAACCCAUACUGAAUUUAGCGGUAGAAAUAUUACCUCCUUCGAGAAUUUUGAAACCCACUUCCUCGACGCCCACAGCGCGGCUUCAAUUCGGUUCCUUUGAGGCGACCCGACACUAGCCCGCCAUUGGGGGGGGGGACCAGGUCGAGAUAGGAGAUCCAGUGGAGCAGGAAUUGUUGUUGUUAUACCAAGUGCACGUGCCUUCUACGAGGGCUAGGGGACAGAUUUCUUCCUCGAUAGGGACUAGGGAAGGAGCCAAAGGUAGGCGGCCUCAACUCUUUCUCCUCCUUCGAGACCAUCUGCAGCAUCAUCGGCAUGACUUAAGGGGGGCUCACCUCCCCUAUCAUGUGGGAUGGACCCCCCCUAUCGCUCACACAAGCAAGGCGGCAAUUUAAAACUAUGUCGCGGAAAGGGCUAAAAAUCGUUUGUAUAGGUCGUCGCUGCACCAGUGAGUCAUCUAUGAAACUCACAUAAUAAGUAUAUCUACCAUCACAGGAGGGAGAAAGUCCCCCAAACAUCAGAAAAGAUAAGUUGCAACUUUUUGGUAGAAACACUAGUAGAAAUUUUAUAGGGUAACUGUGACGCCCCCCGAGUCAAUCGUACACUAAUCAUACACGUAAAUGUGUAUGAUCAAGAUCAGGGACUCGGGAAGAUAUCACAACACAACUCUAGACAUAAAUUAAAGUCAUACCAGCUUUAUAUUGCAAGCCAGGGGCCUCGAGGGAUCGAAUACAUAAGCUCGAUACAAAUGAGUCAGUGGAAGCAACAAUAUUUGUGUACAAACAUAGGUUAAACAAUUCUGCCUUAAGAAGGCUAGCACAAAAGCAACAACGAUCGAAAAGGAAAGGCCUCAUGCCUGGGUGCCUCCUAACUACUCCUGGUUGUCGGCGGUCUCUACGUAGUAGUAGGCUCCGUCGGGGUAGUAGUAGUCGUCGGUGGUGGCAUCUGGAUCUUGGGAUCCGUCAUUUGAUCGCAUCAAUCGGGUAUAGGGGAAAAAGAGGUAGCAAAGCAAUCGUGAGUACUCAUCCAAAGUACUCGCAGGACUUACAUCACAAUAUUAUGAGGCAAAGAAGAAAACCAAACUUUUGCACUAUCCCUCAAAGAGAAAGGAAAUGAUUUUAAUUUCACAAUAUCAUUGUUCACAUCUUUUUUUUCUUUUGCAUAUCACACAAUUAUAUGGAAAUGUUUAGAUGGGAAGCGACAUCCUUAUUAGGAGUACGGGAAAAUUGCACUUUCAUAACAAGAUUCAACAAAGCGACACUAAUAUCAUAGGACUCCGCACUAGUGGCGGGAGGAGCAAUCGGAGUACUAAUAAAAUCAUUAUUAAUAGUAUUUGAAAAAUCACACAAUUUGGUAUUUUCUUGAGACAUCGGGACUACGCAAAAAAGAUCACAUGCAAACAUGUUGUAGUAUGAUAAGUAGCAAGCAUGUUGUAGUAUUAACGCCCAGAGAUCCUUUCUGGACUCCAAGCGAGAAAGCAAUCACGGAGCCAUCAUCUCCAGUAUCCAGUUCUAGUUGUAUAGAUUGGGAUAACUCCAAGUCGUCUUGCUACCGUGGAUACGACUAUUUGAAUAGAUAAACUUCCCUGCAGGGGUGCACCACAUUACCCGAUAUGCUCAAUCAUCUCUGGACGGACACACUUUCUUGGCUAAUGCCCGACCUCAUAAGAUCAACACGUCGUAGUCCUACCUAGGCUCAACAGAGAGGUCAGCAUGCUGGUCUAGAUCCUAAGCACGCAGGGGUCUUGGGCCCAUCGCCCUUUGCAUUCCUGCAUGUUGCAAACGUGGCCGGGAUCAGUCCUGGCUACCUCCUUAUACAAGGCAGGUGCUUACGCGGGCCACCCGGGCAGGCGCUACUAAAUCGCUGCCUCUGGAGAGCUUCGGCUAAUACAUACGACACCGAGUGCCCAUAAAUCAUCCCGCGCGGCGGUUAGUCUGUAUGGGCCAAUGACCAACUCAGAUCAAAUACCCAAUAUCGUUGGAGUCUUGGGAGCGCGCGGUGAUGAUCAGUGCUCCUGUCGCCCCGACUCGAGGACUUACGGCAAGGACAAGGCCUAGCCCACUCCAGGAUGGUCUGCCUGCUGAUUGCUUGUAUCCGCGUUGGUAUUUCCCCGAAGAGGAGAGGAUGAUGCAGCACAACAAAGAUAAGUAUUUCCCUCAGUUAUGAAAGCAAGGUUAUCAAUACAGUAGGACAACCAAGCAACACUAUGUAAACAGUAUCUGCACACAAAUAACAAAUACUUGCAACGCGAAAGUAGGGAUAGCAAUUCUGCCCAUGGGUACGAGUACCCUACCCGAAAACAAUGGGCAUGGGCAAGAUUUGGAAAGAUUUUGUACCCAUAGGUAAUGGGUAUCCAUACCCGCAAAAUAUAUGGGUAGGGUAUGGGUAUGAAAUUUUGUCCAUGGGUAACCCAAUGGAUACCCAGAAAAGAUUAAUUAAUGGAAAUAACUCCUAUGACCCACCUUAAAUAUUGUAUUCCUUAUACCAACCAUAACUCAUAGGCCUGUAAUCACCUUUCCACCACUCCUACGUCCUAUGUGACUCCUCAAAAAGAUUAAAUCUCGACUCUUCACUACAAGACUCAUGUUCAACUCAAGAUCCAGCGACCGCCCAUUCCCACAAGUGCCUCCCACUGCGAUGGGCUUCCACCAACUGUUGAUCAUACUCCCUGGAUGCCUCCAAGAGGUCACCCACCAAAGUAGUUCGCGUUAGUGCUAUGUUGCUCGCCAAUCAUCACUUAAAUUUUAGACUCAUUUCUCUAUCUUUAAAAAAACUAAAUGUUAUAUAUUGUACCCAGUGGUACCCAUUGGGUAUAGGAUACCCGAUGCGUGUGAGCAUGGGUACCAAUUUAUGCCCAUGGGCAUUGAAGUGGGUGGGUAUAGAAAUUUUCUAUGGGUAUGGGUUUGGGAAGAAGAAGGUUGUACCCGCCCAUACCCUACCCAUUGCCAUCCCUACGCAUAAGAGGGGCUGCCAAUCCCUCCUCGGUACUGAGUAGAUAAAAUUGUAUGAGAUUUGAUUGAUAGAUCUGACAAAAGCAUCAAAUAAAAUGAAGAAGGAAAAAGUGCAGCAAGGUAUUUUUGGGUUUUCGGAAUAAUAGAUCUGAAAACAAUAUGAUAGGAAAUGGACUCGGGGGCCGUAGAUUUCACUAGUGGCUUCUCUCGAGAAAAUAGCAUACGGUGGAUAAACAAAGUACUGUUGGGAAAUUGAUAGAAGAGCAAAUAAUUAUGACGAUAUCCAAGGCAAUGAUCAUGUAUAUAGGCAUCACGUCAAGAUUAGUAGACCGACUCCUGCCUGGAUCUACUACUAUUACUCCACACAUCGACCGCUAUCCAACAUGCAUCUAGUGUAUUGAGUUCAUGUAUAAACGGUGUAAUGCAACAAGAAUGAUGACAUGAUGUAGAAAAUAACUAUUCAUGUAGCAAUAGACACCAUUUUUAUCCUUAAUGGCAACGAUACAUGUGUGUCACUUCUCCUUCUAUCACUGAGAUUGAGCACCGCAAGAUCGAACCCAUCACAAAGCACCUCUUCCCAUUGCAAGAAAAAUCAAUCUAGUUGGCCAAACCAAAUCAAAGUUUCAAAGAAGAAAUAUGAUGCUAUAAUAAUCUUUCAUAUAAGAGAUCAAAGAAGACAAAAAUAAUAUUCAUAGAUAGAUCUGAUCAUGAACUCGCAAUUCAUCGAAUCCCAACAAACACACCACAAAAAGUCAUUACAUCAAAUAGAUCUCCAACAACAUCGAUGAGAACAUUGUAUUGAGAAUCAAAAAGAGAGAAGAAGCCAUCUAGCUACAGCCUAUGUACCCGUAGGUCUGUUGUAAACUACUCACACAUCAUCGAAGGAGCACCAAUGAGGAUGAUGAACCCCUCCGAGAUCGUGUUCCCCUCCGGCAAGGUGACAUAAUAGGGCUCUAGAUUAGAUCUCGCGGUUCUGGAAUUUGCGGCAGCUGGAAUUGUUUUUCGUCAACUCCUCUAGGGUUUCUAGAAUAUUUUGGUAUUUAUAGAGCAGAGAGAUGGUGGAAAGGACUCCUAUGGGCCCCACUUCCCACCAGGGUGUGCCCUUGUUACUUGUGGGUCCCAUGGGCCUCUCCUCCUGCACUUCCUCGGCUCCCAAGUUGUCUUCUGGGCAGAAAAAAUCUCCAAAAAGUUUCGUUGUGUUUGGACUCCGUUUGAUAUGGAUAUUUUUUGAAGUAAAAAACAAGAAAAAACAGCAACUGGCAUUAGGCACUGUAUCAAUAGGUUAGUCCCAAAAAAUGAUAUAAAGUUGCUAUAAAAUUAAUAUAAACAUCCAGGAAUGAUAAUAUAACAACAUGGAACAAUCAAAAAAUUUAGAUACAUUGGAGCCGUAUCACCCGCCCGGCCAUGCCUCGUAAUUAUCUUGCGGGUAUCCUCCAGAUCAACCCGACUACACAUCAACUCGCGAGUACCCUCACGAUCAACCCGACUCGCAAGAGACUGUCGGAAACUUAGGUCUACCUCUACCGGGGUGGUACCGCCUAUCCCUCUAGUCCCACAGAAACAAUAACUCUCGCGGGUACCCCUCGGGGCCGACCCGUCUUUAAUAUGGUUAUGUGGUAAAGUCAAAGUAACUGUGUGUCCAUAACACCAAAAGGGAAUCUGAGGAAUCACCAUCGAUGGAUUCCAUUUGGUGUAACCAUCAAGGUGAACUAAGGAGGAAUCACCCUCGAUGGUUCACACUUGAUGGGUUGCACGACAGAGUCAUUAUCGGGAGUGGUGAAGGAGGAAUCACCCUCGAAGACCACAACCGGUUAGCUACGCUACAGAGUUUUCAUCAGGAGUGCAUUACGAGGUAUCACCCUUGACACUUGAUAGUAACUAUGCAGAGUCGUACAAUUAAAGGGGGGAAUGAUGUGUUGGGUUCAGGACAUCGAUCAUGUUGGUCGAGUCAUCUGGAAAUCCAGCGGCGACAACAGGGAUAAGGUGAGGGGUCACUGAUGGAUCACUAACCAACCUAUACUAAGCAUAUAGGAUAAGCAGGUAAGGUACAAGAGCAGGUUACAAAAGCAGACUAUGCAUCAGAAUAGGAGCAAUCAUUUAUAGAAGCAAAAUCUAAUGCAAGUAUGAGAGAGAAUGGAAUGGGCGAUAUCGAAAUGAACAAGGGGGUUUGCUUGCCAGGAAGCUCUGUAGAUAGAUCCGGACCCUCGAUGGUGAAAUAGUUGAUCAUUGGUUCAACCGCAGUCUAGGGGUCUACCAGAAAGAAGUAACAAAGGGGGGAACACAAUAAAUAACAGAGCAUUCAAAAGCAUCACAAAGCAUAACAUGGAAAUACACGAUGCUAGGGGUGACCUAAUGCAGUGCCACACGUUACAAACAGAGCAGGAAAAUAUAUGUGGAUAUUUCUCUAACUUUGGACAUUUACCGGACAAAUAGUCCGAAGGGGAAGGUUCUAUGUUCAUCAUGUUAGAAACAUGUGACAGAUGAAUGGAUUGCAUAUUCGUAUUCGUCACAUUUUUCUAAGAAACUUCCAUAUAUAAAUUAUUUUCAUUGGAGCUACGGUUGAAUUUAUAUGAUUUUUUUUCAAAUUUUUAUCACUAUUCCAGAUUUGUAUUAAAAAUGCCCGAAUAACUUUUUAACACAACAGUGAACGAGCCCAUUAUUAUGACAGUGGGGUACAGGGGUCCAGUUAGCAGGUCAGUCAAAUAGUUGACCAGUCAAAGUUUGACUGGUCAACAACAUGGGUCCACAUACCAUAGGCUAAUAUUUUAACAGAUUUAUGUAUUUAGUUUAAUUUAGCAGAGGACCCAUGUGUAAGUGUAACCUUUGUUGAAAAUAUUUUAAUCAAGCAGUUUACUCAGCAGGGCCACAUUUCAUAGGGCUACCUAACUAAACACAAACUAAUAAAUAACUUAACAAGGGGGCUAUGUUGGAACACACGGGACACUACGCUAGUGCUAAAUUAAAAAAUUCUACCAUGCACCCAAGAUCAUGCUGCUGGAAAUAGAUUAUGAGAUCAGGUUUACCACUAGACGCAUAGUAACCACAGCGGAAGUAGAGUUGGUGAUGCAUGUAGUCGAUCUCCCUGGCCGUCUUCUCCUCGUGUUAUCGAUCUCCCGCGAACAGCAAAGACGCGAACAGUGACCUCCCGUGGAUGGUACUUUGCGGAUCUAUCGAACAGUUUGUCCGAGCACCGCAAGUGCGAUGCCUCCAAGGUAUCCACACGUGCGAGGUGCAGCGUCGGGCGGCAGACUGCUAGGUCCGGUCACACGGCAUGGUCGUGCGGAGUGGCGGGGGCCGUCUAGGAUGGAAAAAGACCAACCCUUAGUGGUGCGCCCACUCCCCUUUACAUAGACCUUCGAGGUGGGAUCAACGCUUGAGCCCACUAGGAGUCCACUUCCAUUUUCAACUCGGAUCCAAUCCUAAUGGGUUGCAGCCUUUUAAAUGUGUGACCCUAUAGGUUCACGUACACAUGGACACGACCAAGUCGAUAGUUGGUAGCGGCUCCUAGCAGAAUGUGCCAACUCCCAUGCGUGUGUAAACUCAUUUGACAAACUUCGACAAUGUGUCAUAUGCAACAUUCCUUUUGCCUCACGAUAUAUGUUGUCGAGUUCAAGGCGAGUACCUGUCACCCUUGUGGUAGCUCGACCUCUCUUGUCGAAAGCGUGAUACAGAUUCCCGAACUGGGUUAACACUUAACCCAAGUCGCAUGGCCAUGCUUUCCAAAUCUGAUCAUCCGAGAGGGUCUAGAGAAUAUCUCUUCAUAAAGAAGGGGCAAAUCCCAUCUUGGCCAGCCAUGUCUCGCGGCAUGUCUUACGACUCAUCUGAAAGCUACUUUUAUAACUACCCAGUUACAGAGUAGCAUUUGAUAGACCCUAAGUGAGUUGAUCCUCAUCCUGAGAACAUGCGAGGACCUCAGGUCUAGGUCAUGGCAUAGACAUUGUACUCCCUCCAGUCCUUUUUAGUCUGCAUAUAAGUUUUGUCUCAACUCAAAGUAUCUCUACUUUGACUAAACUUAUAGAAAAAAGUAUCAAUAGUCACAAUUUCAAAUCAAUAUUGUUAGAUUCAUUAUGAAAUGUAGUUUCAUAGAAUAUAUAUUUGGUAUUGUAGAUGUCCAUAUUUUUUAAUAUAUAAUUUGGUCAAACUUUACAAAGUUUGACUUGACACAAAUCUAAUAUGCAAAGUAAAAAAGGACCAGAGGUAGUACUUGAGACUAACAGAUGACUAUCUCGCUGUGUCUCAAAGUGGGUCUAUCUGACUUGGUGAUCUCCAUCCCCGAGUACUAUCAGUUUAGCAUCUCCAGGCAUACGACUUGUGAAACAUAGUCAUCAACCGAGUCAUAUACAUAGGGAGGAGCAGCUCACUUCGAUGUCAAUGGUGAGGUCAGGGAGGCUGGGGGUGGACUGGAGAGACGACAGUGAUGGCGAGAUUGCGGCGGCCGGACGAAGAAGACGAUGGCGAUGUCUACGCAGCUCCCCUCCUUGCCUCAAUGCCCAGAACGGAAAAAGCCGAGCACGAUGAACCUCUUGGACGUGUCCCCUCAUGGUGGCGAUGACGGUGGCCGCGAUAAUGACGGCGAGGCAGCGCUGACCAUGAGUUUUCCGAGCUCGAUUUCGAGCCACGGAGGAAGGCGGCGAAGGAGGGUCAAGAAGGGGUUGAGCGAGAUGGGGGCUAGGGUUUCUGUGGACAUACUUAUAGGAUGUGGGGGGCGCGUGGAGACCAUCCAUGGCCAUGGCCGUCAUGGAUGUGUGCCAUGCACAUCCUCUGCCUCCUGUAGCGGGAGGUAGGGAAAGGUCAGUGGUGAGCUGGGCCAUGUGCAUUGUGGCCACUUAUGGCCCAUUAGCACAGUAGGUCUUUAGUAUUUUUCUUUUUCUUUUUUUGUCAUCUAUUUUAUCUCUGCUUUGUAUUUCUUUUUAGUGCCAAAUGAAUUCUGUUAAAGGUGGAACUUGUUGCAAAAAUACUUUACAAUAUUAAUGGGCUAUCCACAAAGUUUUGGGUCAUCUUGAACUCAUCUAAAUUAUAUUUGCAUUUAAAUGGUGUGGUUAAAGGUUGUUGUUCCACUAAAAUAAUUGACGCGGCCAAAUUGGACAUCCAAAUAUAGUUGAAAUUAUUUUUACCAACACUUUGCGAUUUCAUGACAUAUCGUGAACAUUUUUGUUUCACCGUUUGAAGAAGUAAUAAUUUGCCUUGCAAUUUAAAUUGUAAUUUUACUUUGAUUUUUUGGGCAAGUGGCAAUUAGCCUAGUAAUCAUGAUGACAUGGCCACCAUUAGGGGAAGAUUAUUGUAGCAUGAUUCCCGGGGUGUUAUAGUAAUUGAUAAAUUUUAGCUCUUUGACAUAAAUGACAAAUUAUUUCAACAUCAUGCUCUCUAACACAUGAGGGCUUAUUUUUCUUAAGCACUCAUUCAACUAAAGAAAAGUUGCAUGUCCUAGUAAAUCAUGCCACUAUGUCGAGUAUAAUUUGGUGGCACCAAAAGGUUGUUUAUUGAAUCUUCUAAUCUUCAGAAUCAAUAGGUAAAGCCCGUGAACACAGCUACCUCUCCAUAGGACUUUCUUUGUUACGUGGUCCUUGGUAAAAAAUAGAAAGGGCGAAACUCAAGAAAGACAUGAUUAUCAAUGGCAAUAUAGUGAAUGGAAAGAAGAUUUUGUGGCACUAGGUACAUGCAGGAUUUUUCUAACAUGAAUUUUUCGACGAUGGUUUUUACAAUUGAGUGACCAAGGUGAUGAAUCUCCAUACCUUCUCCACCAGAAGUGUGGAUGUGGUCUUGGUCGUGGUAUUUUUAUCGCAUGGUCACCUUAUCGAGCAUGUCGGUGAUGUGUUUUGUAGCACCACUAUGAACGUAUUAGUUUGUGUCCACUCCAUAUGAUCCUUCAGCUGCUCUGACCACCUUCUCAUCUUGAGGCGGAUCAUCAUCAUCAUCAAAUCUGUACCAACAAUCCCUAGCCGAGUGGCCAAGUUUGUCAUAGAUCUGACACUUUAUGGCAUCGGGGUGUGAUUUUGUGGAGGUGAGGCAGCCCUUGUUGUUGUAGGAGGGACAGCCACCGCCGCCAUUAUUGCCGCGAGGGUUGAUGUUGCUGUUGUUGUUCCGGUCAGUGUUGUUCCGCGAUAGUCCAUGGUGGUGACAUCCACCACCACGACCAUGCAUGGCCUCAUUAGAAGAAUACUUGAAGCCGCCAUCAAAGUGUGCUCCUUAGAAGAGGGCCACCCUCUGAUCGAAGUUGCUCAUCUGAGAAAAAAAUCAUGGAGGGAGACCAUUUCGGUGCAUGCGUUGAGCGCGAAGACGAGGGGCUGAUACUCCAUGUCGAGGCUGGCGAUGAUGUACGGGAUUAGCUCAUCUCCGGGGAGUGGCUUGCCUGCUGCAGCAAGCUCGUCAGCGAGGAAGAGCAUGUGCACGAAGAAGGCCACCACAGGUUGUGUCCCCUUCUAUGCAUUGGUUAGUGUAAUGCGGAUGUUGUUGAUGCGGGACAACAAGUGUGAAGAGAACAUGAGCUCAUGCGCGUGGGUGAUCAAUGUCACCUGCACAAGCACCUCCUUGGAAAGAUUAUUCAGGAGAUAUCGUAGUACCCGCAGAUCUUCUCUAAUCCAGAUUGGAUGAACAUGAUUUGGUGUCAUGUCCUCAUUCACGUCUUCGUCCUUGGUCGUGAGACCUUGGCUUCUUCCUACAUGGUGCCUCCAAUGUAGCCAAAGAAGCCCGCACCUUUAAUUUUUGGCAUGAUCUGUGUUCGCCAUAGGAUGUAUUGUUGCAGGUCAAUCUCUCUAUGACUUGGUCUGAGAGGCCGAUGAGGAAGGCGCUAGUGGAGGCCAUGGCAUGAGCAAAGCGGUGGAGAAGAUGCGGCUAGAUGCAAUGGAGGAUAAUGGUUCUGAUUACAAUGUGAAACUAGAUGGAGGCGUUGUACCUAUCCUUGGGUGACGGUAGCAUGUUUAUAUGACAAGGUCAUAUCCCCGGAUAAGGGCAUCUCCAACUCCAACCCUAAAACCUCCCGCAUUUCCCUUAGUGAGAACCAUGGUUUUCGAACCAAUAGGAGAAUCACGCAAAGCCUUCUGAACAACACCUGCACACAGAAAAGCAAAUACUUGUACCCCAACGUGGGCAAGAGGGUUGUUAAUCCCCUUGAACUCGUGAAUUUCAAGGAUCAAAUCUCAUAGUCGUAGACAGAUAAAUUGCUAAACAAAAUAAAAAAAUAAAAUUGCAACAAAGGUAUUUUGAUUUUUUUUAUAUAUCAUUAAAGUAGACCUGGGGGCCAUAACUUUCACUAGAGGCUUCUCUCUCGAACACAUAUCAUACAGUGGGUGAACAAAUUACUGUUGGGCAGUAUAUACAAAAGCGCAUAAUUAUGAUGAUAUCCAAGGCAAUGAUCAUGUAUAUAGGCAUCACGUCCGAGACACGUAGACCGACUCAUGCCUGCAUCUACUACUAUUACUCCACCCAUCGAUCGUUAUCCAUCAUGCAUCUAGGGUAUUAAGUUUAAGUUAAUAAAAACAGAGUAACACCAUAAGCAAGAUGACAUGAUGUAGAUAAAAUAAACUCAACUAAUAUGAAUAAACCCCAUUGUUUCACCCUGAAGGCAACAAUACAAAUACGUGUCUUGUCCAUUUCUAUCACUCGGAUAGAGCACCACGAAAUUGAACCCAUUACAAAGCACCUCUUCCAAUGAAGAUAAAUCAGUCUAGUUGGCCAAACUGAACGGAUAGAUCAGAGAGAAAUACAAAGCUAUGAAAAUCAUGCAUAAUAAAUUUCAUAAAAGACUCAAUUACUUCUCAUGAAUAUUCAGAUCAUAAACCCACAAUUCAUCGGAUCCCAACAACACACCGCAAAAGAAGAUUACAUCGGAUAGAACUCCAAGAACAUCAAGGAUAACAUGGUAUUGAAGAUCAAAGAGAGAGAAGACACCAUCUAGCUACCACCUAUGGACCCGUAGGUCUGUGGUAAACUACUCACACAUCGACGGAAGGUCAACAAGGAUGAUGUAUAAGCCCUCCAUGAUCAAUUUCCCCUCCGACAGAUUACUGGAAAAGUACUAAAAUGGGAUCGCGAAAGAAUAGAAGCUUGCACCGGCAGAAAAAGUGUUUCGGGUAGCUCCCUGUUGAUUUGGAAAUUGAUAGGUCCGGAAUUAGAUUAAACGGAGCUACGUGCGGCCCACAAGCUCAGGGCGCACGCCUACCCCCUUGGGGCGUGUCCCUCGAGCUUGUGGCUCUCUCGUAUCUCAUCUGGUCUCCUCUCAAAGCUUCUAGGGUCCCUUCUGUUCUAAAAAAUAAUCCAAAUAUUUUUCUGUUUGGACUUCAUUUGGUAUUGAUUUUGUGAAAAGCCAAAAACAAGCAAAAAAACAGGAACUGGCACUGGGCACUAGGUUAAUAGGUUAGCCCAAAAAAUGAUGUAAAAUAGCAUAUAAUUGCAUAUAAAACAUCCAAUAUUGAUACUAUAAUAGAAUGGAACAAUAAAAAAUUAUAGAUGCGUUGGAGAUGUAUUAGCAUCCCCAAGCUUAAUUCUUGCUUGUCCUCGAGUAGGUAAAUGAUAAAAAUAGAAUUUUUGAUGUGGAAUGCUACUUAACAUGUUUAUCACGUAAUCUCUUUUAUGGUAUGAAUAUUAAGAUACAAGUGAUUCAAGGCAAUGGUCUAUAAUUUGAUAUAAAGACACCAAUACUCAAGCAUACCAACAAACAAUCAUGUCUUUCAAAAUAAAAAUGCUAAAGAAUGUUAUCCCUACAAAAUCAUAUAUCCCGUCAUUCUUAGUCUUACUAACACAAAAUAUUGAUCACGAACUACCCCGACGACAAGCCAGACAAUUGGAUCAUACUUUUUAACGAGCUUCAGCUUUUUCAACCCCACGCAAUACAUGAGUGUGAGCCAUGGAUAUAGCACUAUGAGUGGAAUAGAAUGCACUGAUAGAGAUUAAUAUGGGGAGUUCAGAAAGGAAGAUAGUCUCGCAUCGACACAGCUAAUGAACAGGCUAUGGAGAACGAGGAUGUGCAAUGAUCUAGCGUAACAUAUAUAAAAAUGAUCUAGCGUACCGAUGGUUUGCAGACAAACGAGGGAUGCCAUCCGAGGCAAUGAUCUAGUGUACCAGGAUGUGCAAUGAUCUAGUGUACCAGGAUGUGCAAUGAUCUAGCGUAACAUAUAUAAAAAUGAUGAACGGUGGGUGAGCCACAAUACUAUGUCAGCUAUAUGAUCAUGCAAAACAAUAUGACAAUGAAUAUGUAUGUCAUAAAAAUGGAACGGUGGAAGUUGCAUGGCAAUAUAUCUUAGAAUGGUUAUGGAAAUGCCAUGAUAGGUAGGUAUGGUGGCUGUUUUGAGGAAGAUAUAAGGAGGAUUAUGUGUGAUAGAGUGCAUCGUAUCAUGGGGUUUGGAUUCAUUGGCUACGUUUGCACCAACUAUCAAGGUGAGAAGGGCAAUGUACGGUACCGAAGAGGCUAGCAAAUUGCGGAAAGGUAAGAGUGCUUAUAAUCCAUGGACUCAGAUUAGUCAUGAAGAACUCACAUACUUAUUGUGAAAGUCUAUUAGCCCUCGAAGGAAAGUGGUACCGUGCAUGCCCCUAGGGCGGUAGAUUGGUAGGAAAAGACCAUCACUCGUCCCCGACCGCCACUCAUAAGGUAGACACUCAAUAAUAAAUCAUGCUCCAACUUCAUCGUAUAACUAGAGACUAUAUGUGCAUUCUUCGGGAAUCACAAACCUUAACAUCAAUAUUCUUACUAAACCACAAUCAUUCACUAGUACAUCGACAUAUCACCAUAUUAAUAUUGCAAAACUAUUGCAAGGAACGAAACAUAUCAUAUUCAGUGAUCUACAUGAAAGUUUUAUUAUAUCCCUCUUGAAUACCUAUCAUAUCAGGACAAAUUUCAUAACAUGUCCAUAUUGCCAUUACUAUUUGUUAGAUUCUCGAGAAGAUUUAAGCGAAGCAUGAGAGUGCAAAAGAUAUAAGUUAAGCACCUAGAGUAUUCUAACAAAUCACAAAUAAUGUGUCCCUCUCAAAAGGUGUGUCCAGUAAAUGAUGAUUGUGGAAGGCCAAAAAGAAAACAAAGCAAAAUAUAUUAUGGCACAAGAUGCUCCAAGCAAAACUCAUAUCAUGUGAUGAAUAAAAAUAUAACUCCAAGUAAUAUACCGAUGGUUUGCAGGCAAACGAGGGAUGCCAUCCGAGGCAUCCCCAAGCUUAGACUCUUGGUUCUUCCUUGAAUAUUACCUUGGGGUGCCUUUGGCAUCCCCAAUCUUAGGGUCUUUCCGCUCCUUAUUCCUUCAUCCAUCGUGAUCUCACCCAAAACAUGAAAACUUCAGCACACAAAACUCAACAGAAACCUUGUGAGAUCCCUUAGUAUAACAAGCAUAAAUUUUAGGUACUGUUGUGAAACCAUUCAUAUUUUAUUAUUGCAUAAUACCUAUUGUAUGCUUACUUAUCCAUGACUUAUACCCCGUGAUAUAAUCCAUAGCAUCAUUAAAAAAAGCAAACUAUGCAACGAAAACAGAAUCUGUCUAAAACAGAACAGUCUCUCAUGAUCUGAACAAAUUAGAUACUUCUCUAACUCUAAAAAUUCUGAAAAAAGUAAAACAUGGGUAGUUUGUAUAUCAAUCAUGUGUGAAAAAUUCAGAUCAAGAGCAUGUUCCAGUGAUUUUUAAUAAUUUCUGGAGUUAGGGCAAAAAUUUCUAUUUUUUCACAGAAUCAAAUCAACUAUCAACCAAAUCAAAAUAUGUAUGAUGACUUAAUUUUCUUUCUAGGGAUGUGUUUCAUCCCUUUAUUUAAUGAAAAUUGGAACCUUAUAUCUCCUUCUUUCAUAUCAAUAAUAGCACCUGUGGUUCUUAGGAAAGGCCUACCAAGUAUGAUAGGAGAAGAAGGAUUGCAAUCAAUAUCAAGCACAAUAUAGUCCACGAGCACAUAAUUUCUAUUAGCAAGAAUAAGCACAUCAUUUAUUCUACCCAAUGGUUUUUGAAUAGUGGAAUCAGCUAAAUAGAAAUUAAGGGAACAUUCAUCCAUGUUGGUAAGGCCUAGCACAUCACAUAAAGACUUUGGUAUAGUGGAAAUGCUAGCACCCAAAUCACAUAGAUUCAUAAUCUUUAUUUUUUACUUUAAUAGUAGGUUCCUAUUCAGCAUGCAAUUUUAUAGGUAUUGAAACCUCCAACUCUAACUUUUCUUCAUGAGCUUUCAUCAUAGCUUCUACAAUAUGUUUACUAAAAGCUUUAUUUUGUUCAUAAGCACUGGGUGAAUUUAUCAUGGAUUGCAACAAGAAAAUACAUUUAACUAAAGAGCAACUAUCAUAAUUAAAGUCCUUGUAAUCCAAAGUAGUGGGUAUAUCACUAUUUAAAGUUUUGUCCUUUCCAAACCCACUUUAAUCAUUUUUAUCAUUAUGAUCAUCACCCUCCGAAAAAUUGGGACGCCUUCUAGAUAAAGUUGACUCAUUCCAGUCCCCUUUUGAUCAUGUUUCAUAUUACUAAAUAAAGAUUCAAUAGGUGAGAUACAAAUCGUUUUAAUAUCUUCAUCAUGAUUACGAUAAAAACCGGGUGGAAUAGUUUUUUCUAAGAAUUCUCGCUUAGCCCUCAACCUAGAGAUCCAUUCUUUACUUUCAUUAAUAGAGACAUGAAUAGCUUUAAUGGACUCAUUAAUAUCAUGCUUAGGUGGAUUUUUUUUAAUUUUAAGGGUAUCCACAUCAUGAGCAAUUCUAUGCAUGUUUCUAGCCAUAUCAUUAACUUUAUUCAAUUUUUCUUCUACCAUGGCAUUAAAAAUCUUCUGAGAACUAAUGAAUUCUUUAAUAUUGUUCUGAAGAUCAGUAGGUAUCCUAUUGUUAUUAUAUGAAUUACCAUAGGAAUUACCAUAGUUAUUAGAGGAAUUUCCAGGAUGCGGUCUAGGAUUGAAAUUGCCCCUAUAGGCAUUGUUAUUGAAAUUAUUCCAAGAGAAAAGAUUCACAACAAUAGCCUCAUUAUUUUUCUUAAUCAAACUAGAUAAUGGGACAUUAUUAGGAUCAACUUGAUCAUUUUUACUAGCAACCAUUUUCAUAAGAGCAUCCAUUUUAUCACUCAAAUUAUUAAUUUCUUCAACAUAAUUUACCUUCUUACCAGUUGGAGCUCUUUCGGUGUGUGUCGUGGUUUUGUCAUGGCAGAUAUCCUAAUGGAAGGACUUAGGUGCGAGGCCAUCGUGAUGGUGAUUAACCUGUUAGGGUUGAGCAGGACGAGAGACACGAGUUUACCCAUGUUAGGCCCCUCACGGUGGAGGUAAAAGCCUACUCCUGCUCUUGUUGCUUAUUGCUUGAGUAUUGAUUACAAGGGAGCAAAUUCGCUUGACCUUGCUAUCGAUUGAUUGUAACUUGUCUAUUCUAUGCCGAGGACUCGCCUUUAUAUACAGGUCGAGGCCACCGGCUUACAAGAGUCCGGGCCUGGUCAAGAUGACCGAUGCUAACUCUAAGUCUCCUUGCCUUCUGUAACAAGUCACCAUAGGGCGACUUACACCUCCAGGCCACGUGCCAUCUUCUGGCCUUGGGGUUUAAGUCGUCCACCUUGUGAGUCGUCCCUCCAGGCCUGUGCCUUGGUCACUUGGGCAUGUCUGAUUCAUUAACUUCGUGAGUCGCCAAUAGUCUAACCCGACCCUUUCUGGGUGGGUUAUAUCAUGGGGUCAUAUCCCCAACAUUGGGCCCCAGAUUGAUUUGAACUUGUUCAUGUCAAUCUUAAACCUUUCCGUCUAGCGAGUCUUCCUUUCAUUUCUCUUAAUCGCAGCCUUGAAAAUUUUCAUAACCCGCCAUAAUAAAAAGAUGAUGUCACCUCCGUGAUUUUGAGAAACCCUUCAUUACGUCAUAACGAAUCUUUGUAUAAAUCCGUCAUUCCAAGAAUCGAGGCAUCCCUUAGCUGUAAAAUUUACUGUGCCUCCUCAAUUUUCGCGUCGGCCUUGCACUGUUCCCCUAUUUCCUUAUAAAUAGGCACACGGUCCUUCUUUUUACCUUUUACCUCGUCUCCUCCACUUCUUCUUUCUCACCAGACCCUUCGUUGUCCUACGGCAGUCAUCUUGUUCGUGUCCACAGUGCUGUCCCGCCUUCACCAGAAUAGAGUGGAGCUCCGCCGCUUAUCACUGCUGCCAUUAGGUACCCCUUUUCUUCCUCCUCGGACUACAUUAGGUUACCUGAGUUCAUGGUGUUCAUCGGUGUUCAUCCCUUUUUAAUUCCCCAUAGCCUGAGUAGAACACUUGCUUUUGGUCUGAAAAUGUCAUGGCAACACUGCGGUUGUAGGUUGGACAUCCAUCUUGCAUCUUGAACAAACUGUGUUCUUUCCCGAAUCCAAUGGUAUCCCAUUAGCACUUUCAUCACCACUAUUUAGGUUUAGCAAUUAUUUUUCUUUUUUGAACCGCCCACAGAUCUGUAAUUAUAGACGUUCCUGUUUGAAACUUGUUUGCCUCACACUUAGCGAAAAUUUAACAACCCUGAACCUUAGAUAACUCGCCUCUGUAUCUUGGGCAGCUUAUCAAUAUAUACAUAACCCACCAGCAUUCUAGAGACUGCCUUUUUUACAUAACUCGCCUCUAUUAGGGCGACCUAUGUUUAUACCGCUUUACUCAUAUGAUAGUGAUGGUGAGUCAUUACUUCUUUUAACUUACCCACCAUACUCUGAUUCUGCAGUUUCCUUCAUCCUUAGGCGACUCAAUAUGACAAAAACUACCCUCUCUAACUGGGGCCGCCCUUCCCUAGUUACUGAAGAAAUCCUUAAGUAUUAUGUGGGUCAGGGUCUCUUCACGACUAAGGAAGAGAUUGGCUGGCAAGUUAGUCAAGGAUAAAAUGCCCCCAAUCCUGGCGAAGGAGAAGUGAUAGUUUUUACUAACCAUAUUCUCAGAGGCUUUACACUGCCUGGGUCGAAAUUUUUUCGGGAUGUCUUGCACUAUUUCAAUCUUCAUCCUCAAGAUAUAGGCCCAAACUCGGUGUCAAACAAUUGACACUUUCAAAACCUCUGUGAAGUUUAUCUGCAAGCAUAGCCCACUAUUGCUCUUUUCAAAGAAUUCUUCUACAUAAACCGCCAGACUGAAUGUACAAAUGGUCUGAGUCAACAAUUGGGCGGAGUCUCAAUCCAGAGAUGCGGAGACGGCGGCUUUCCUACAACCACCUUACCAAGCCACCCCAAAGGAUGGAUAAUAACUUGCUUUUAUUACAAGAACACUACCCCAGCUAAUGAGAACCCUCUACCGGGAUAUAGGGUUGACUGCCUUCCUAUCAAUUUUGAACCGCCAAGCAAGCUACUACCAGACAAACAUACUAAAGCACCCCAAUACUAUCCAAAAGUAAAAGCUUUCUUAGCCAAUGGGUUAAUUGGAGUUGACUUAGCCCAUUGCUGGGUCUCGUGGAGAAUUCUUCCCUUAACUCGUCGACCCGGCUUAAUGUGUGAAUAUUCAGGCGAGUCAGAUGACCCUCAGCAGUAUAGCUCUCAUAACUUUACCGUUGAGGAGAUCUUUCAAAUUGUGAACUCUUUGCUUGGGGAGUCUCGAGAAAACUGUAAUAAGAUAGAACUUUACCAUUCUUCAAACUCAACUUGGCCCAGUUGUAAGUACUAUUUUAUACCUGUCUUAAAUAUCUUUGACUUUAUUUUGUGUCUCACUUGUCAAACCUUCUUCAUUACACAACUCGGCUCCACUUUCUGGAACAGGAAGAUAAAGAGUGUUGUAGCCAAAGUCAGGACUUGCCCAAAGUCAAAGAAGAACAAGCCAACUAUAGUAGUUGAGCCGGCUGUUGUGGGUGAGUCAGCUAAUGCUGAUGAUCAAUCAGAGGUAGAACUCGAUUCUCUUGGCUGACUCUUCGUUGAAUUAUCUGAUGCCUCUUGUUCUCAGGAUGAGGUUGCCACAAGCUGGACUGACAACAUUGAGGUAAUUCCAAUCUCUUCCCGCUCAGACUCUGCACCUCCAGAGAAAAUAUGGAGGGUUGUCCAGAAAGUAAAGUUUUCUCAUCCAGAUGCUUACUUAGAUCCACACUUUAUUUUGAAGAAAACUCACCAUAAGCUAAGACGGCAGACUUGCAGUGGCGGCUCAGGCGAUUUAAUGGCUGGGUUAACUCAUGAACCUUCUGCCCGUAGGCGGCCUGCUGAGGUUCCACACAGUCCAACUUCUUCUUUACCCAAAGCUGGUCUUAUGAGACAUCCUCUUAACCCUUCUGACUCCAAUUACCAGGAGUCGCCACCGUCUUCAGGCGGCUCAUCUCAAACCAAAUUGCAUGUCUUCAUUGUAAACCAAGGGUGAGUACUUGCAUUUAUUUAUAUCUUAAAACUCAUUGUCAUAUAUGUCUUAAUACUCCAAUGUAAUCACAGUUUCAAAGCUAAGGAUAAGAAAAAGAAGGUUGACAACACUUCUAAGGCCCCUAAUGUCCCUGAGUCGGGGGAACAGGUGCUGGUAACCCCUAAGGCCAACACCGAAAACCCUGAAGAGCAUCACCACAACAAGAUGACCCACCUCCACAGACAGAUGCCACGACCUCUAAGGCCAUGGAUAUUGAAGCUAACCCAGUAGAUAACCGUGACCUGCCAAGUCCAAUUCCUUCUUCAACUCAUGUCAACUCAACUGAAGAAGCCCCUCUUGCAGAGAAUACUGACGAUAUUGCCAUUAUUGGGGUGCGUCAGAAAACACGCAAGACCUCCACUGUGCUGGCUAAGCACUCAGCGAAAGAAGAGUCGCCCUUGCUGGAAAAGGGCAAAACAAAACUUGAACUGCCAAAUUGUGAGACACUUAGCGCAUAAGAGGUGUACACACGCUAUUUGAGCCGCUUAACUACAAGCUGGGACAUGGAGGCCAGCUUGGUACAUAUAAUGAAGAAGUAUGAGGUAUGCUUAAUUUUUUCUCCUAUUAUGUCCCUGUAUGUAGCCCCCAAGUAUUGACCAUAUGAAAAUCUUUGAGUACGGUGAAGACUUGAAGAAAGAUUUGUGGAUUCCAAAUUGUAGCCCCCAAGGGUCGGGUUAUCAUGCAAAUGAUAAGCCGGUUCUUUCAAGUAUAACUACUUUGAAUAAACACAUGUAUCCCCCAAGGGUCGGGUUAUCAUGUCAAUGAUAAGACGGUUCUAUCAAGCCUAACUACUUUGAAUAAUCACCUAUAGCCCCCAAGGGCCAGCUUAUCUUCAUGAGAUGAGCUGGGUCUUCUUUAAUAUAAGUGAAAAAGAACGUCGUACAUUAGCCCCCAAGUGCCAAGGAUAUUUCUUGCAAUGUGCUUUGGGACUUAAAUAAUCUUGCCCUAUCAUCUGUCUCAAAAGUCGUCUUGAUCAAACCAGCAAACUUAUAGUGUUCUCUUUGAAUGAUAACCCUCUGUUUAACUUUUACAGGAAGCGUUAAGCCUGGGCGAGUCAAAUCUGGCUAACUUUAAAAAGAACUUAGAGGUUGAACAAGCGGAACGCGCCAAAGAUGGAUCAAGCUUGAAAUCUUUGUUGGAAGAUUUAGACAAGGUGAAGGCCAAUUUUGACACUGAAAGGUUUGCCUUGGAGACUGAAAUGGUCGCCUUAGUGAAGCACGUAGAAAACGCUGAGAACAAACUUAAGCCGAUGGCUGCAGAAUUGGCCGGCUUAAAACAUCACGUAUCUCAAAUGAUUACAGAGAAAUUAUAUGCCAGAAGCAUUCGUACUCUUGUGGUUGUAUCCAAUGGCAAAAAUCCGCCAUAACUCAUGAAAGAUGUGUUGGACCAAUUUUCCAUAAAGUCGAAGAAAAUUGAAGAGUUGAAGCUGUUAGCUGCUCGUGCAGGGGCACUCACUGUGCUAAGCCAGGCUAAGGCUUAUCAAUCAGAGCCGGACCCAAUAGAAAUGGCUGGUGGGUGUCCAGAGUAUAACGAUGAUGGGUCUAUCUUCAGCAAAACCGACUUCGCCAGAUGUAUCAAGGAAAUGCGGCCUUUGGCAUGUCAACUUGCACAAGAGCUGGAUCUGAAGAAGUACCAUCCGGCUUAUGAUAGUGAUAACACCCGAAUCAAGGCGCCCUCUUUUGAUGUUGUUUACUUGCCUCCCCAAAGUCGUAAGCAUAUUUUUGCCUCUGAUAUUGACCCUUCUCCUGUCAUGAAUGAUGAAGAAAUCUUCAAAGCUUUAACUGGUAUCGACUAGACAUCGGAUAAGCUUCAGAUUGCAAGUGAUGAAAAGUCAGCACAGGAUAACCCAAAAACUUCCAUUGCAAGACGCUAGGAUGACGUUGAAGGAAAUAUGCCCUAGAGGCAAUAAUAAAGUUGUUAUUUAUAUUCCCUUAUAUCAUGAUAAAUAUUUAUUAUUCAUGCUAGAAUUGUAUUAACCGGAAACUUAGUACAUGUGUGAAUACAUAGAUAAUACAUAGUGUCCCUAGUAUGCCUCUACUUGACUAGCUCGUUAAUCAAAGAUGGUUAUGUUUCCUAACCAUAGACAUGUGUUGUCAUUUUAUGAACGGGAUCACAUCAUUAGGAGAAUGAUGUGAUGGACAAGACCCAUCUGUUAGCUUAGCAUUAUGAUCAUUACAGUUUCAUUGCUACUGCUUACUUAAUGACUUAUACAUGUUCCUCAGACUAUGAGAUUAUGCAACUCCCAAAAACCGAACAAACACCUUGUGUGCUAUCAAACGUCACAACGUAACUGGGUGAUUAUAAAGAUCCUCUAUAGGUGUCUCCAAAGGUGUUUGUUGGGUUGGCAUAGAUCGAGAUUAGCAUUUGUCACUUCGUGUAUUGGAGAGGUAUCUCUGGGCCCUCUCGGUAAUGCUCAUCACUAUAAGCCUUGCAAGCAAUGUGACUAAUGAGUUAGUUACGGGAUGAAUAAUUAUGGAACGAGUAAAGAGACUUGCCGGUAAAGAGAUUGAACUAGGUAUGAUGAUACCGACGAUCGAAUCUCGAGCAAGUAACAUACCGAUGACAAAGGGAACAACGUAUGUUGUUAUGCGGUUUGACCGAUAAAGAUCUUCGUAGAAUAUGUAGGAGCCAAUAUGAGCAUCCAGGUUCCGCUAUUAAUUAUUGAUCGGAGAUGUGUAUCGAUCAUGUCUACAUAGUUCUCGAACCCAUAGGGUGCGCACGCUUAACGUUCAGUGAUGAUUUGUAUUAUGGGUUAUGUGUUUUGGGGACCGAAGUCUGUUUAGAGUCCCGGAUGAGAUCAUGGACAUGACGAGGAGUCUCAAAAUGGUCAAGAGAUAAAGAUUAAUAUAUUGGAAAGCUAUAUUCGGACAUCGGAAUGGUUCUGGAGAAGUUUGGUUAUUUUCCGAAGUACCGGGAGGUUAUCGGAACCCCCUGAGAAGUUGAUGGGCCUUAGUGGGCCUCAGUGGGAAGGAGAGGCAGCGGCCAGGAGGUGGAGCCCCCCUUCAAGCCCAGUCCAAAUUGGAAAAGGGGUUGGGGCACGGACCCCCUUCUCUCUUCUUUCCCCCUUCUCCUUGCACUACUAGGGAAAACCCUAGUAGUAGCGUGGGUUUUGAGGCUAGCAGCAGCGCGGGUGCACGCGCUACUAAUAAGGCGCUACAGCUAACUCAUAGUAGUAGCGCGGCCCUUACCCGCGCUACUACUGUUUACGAUAUCAGCAGCGCUUUUUAGGAACGCGCUACUAUUACCUAGCUGUAGCGAUUUCGCCAUCCCUCGCUACUGCUAUAUCUUUCAUCAUUUUCCCAUUACCCCUUUCCCUUUCAGUUUCCCUUUCAGAUACUAGAUACUAGGUACUGCUAGUAGAUAUCAAAAUCAUAAACCAUUACUAGGUAGUACUCCCUUCGUUCCAAAUUACUUGUCAUGGUUUUAGUUCAAACCACGACGAGUAAUUUGGAAUGAAGGGAGUACUAGAUAACAAUUUCAUGCAUAGUCAACAUGCAUCCUCAAGCAGUACAAGGUCAUAUCAACGGCCAUCAUCAUAUGUAGUUCUAGAUGAUAUUGACGACGAUCAUCAUAUGUAGUUCUAGAUGAUAUAGCCACACACACAUAUGUAGUUCUAGAUGAUAUAGCCACACACACACAUAUAUAUACUUCUAGAUGAUAUCGAAGACAAUCAUCAUCCUUAAGCCUGGGCGGUUGGUGUUCCAGAUAGUAAUUAGGAUGGCCUGUCCAACACGAAGAUUCUUGCCAUCGAGGAAUUUCUUCCACCCAACCGAGUUAAGUGUGUGCGACCGUCCGUGUCCACGCGGUAAGUACAGGUUGUGACGGAGCCCCUUGCAGUAAGGCGUAGUCCAGCCGAGCCUUCUUCAUCAGGCUCGAUACCAUAACUCACAGAUAUGCUCUUUGCCAAUUUCUGAAUAAGAAAAACAUAUCAAUUAAUAAAUAGCCUCGCAAAUAAGUACAUAUGGAUUAUCUACACUAUUAAUAGUUCCGUUAGAUUCUACACUAAUAAGCAUGUGAUCGAACUCUACACUAAAACAUAUCAUCGACUAGAUUCCACACAACAUACCAUAUCAUUGGAUUGUACACUAAGUAAUUCAUCGGAUAAUUUGCAUUUGUAAGUAUAACAUACCAUAUCAUGUCGAUCAACCAUGGUAUUUGUCAAGCGAGUCACGAAUGGCACACCGACAAAGUCAGCACGUGGCAGAAUUAUGUCCCACAGGUUGGACACCUCCUCCUCACUCAGCCUUGUUCUUUGAGCUACGAUGGCUUCAGGAAGUGGGUCCUCAUUAUCUUCACCAUCUUCAUCAUCUUCAUCAUCUUCCACCAGGUUGAGAUAAAUGACAGCUAGCUUGGGUCUUUCUGCUCGGAAGGAGAAGAUGAUCAACUCACCACCAGUAAGACGCAUGCGAGCGAUGAAACGGGCCCAUCCAUCUCCUCCAAUCUGCGACAUAUUGCAUCCUUUCUCGACCUCCAUAGUGUACGGCCACCCAGGAGCCUCAAAUGUCAUAGUUUCUCGUAUCAGCUUGUUGAAUUUCAACCUCCCAUUGCAUGGGACGAUCUGUGUAAAAUAAGCAAAAUGACACAAUGCAGUAAUGCCAACACUAAAAACAAAAUAGUUAUUACAUUUCAUCUAAUUUCUUACCGCCGCAUGACGAAAACUCGGCUGGAAGUAGAUGCCGAACAGCUUGCCAGUUGCAAGGCUGCUGGCGCAUCUUGACUUGCACAGUCGACAUAGUGGACCAACGAUCAACUAAAUCAAAAUGUUCUAAGUCAACUAAAUCAACUAGCCUACUAAAUCAACUAAAUCAAAAUGUUCUAAAUCAACUAAAUCAACUAGCCUACUAAAUCAACUAAAUCAAAAUGUUCUAAGUCAACUAAUUAAAUGAACUACCCUACUAAAUCAACUAAAUCAAAAUGUUCUAAGUCAACUAAAUCAACUAAAUGAACUAGCCUAUUAAAUCAACUAAAUCAAAAUGUUCUAAGUCAACUAAAUCAACUAGCCUACUAAAUCAACUAAAUCAUAUCAACUAAAUCAAAAUGUUGCAUAUGAACUAGCCUAGCUACUAAAUCAAAAUGUAGCGGGCAGGAGGGAGAAGGAGGGGCGACUCGAGGAGGGAGAAGAGAGUAGGAUGGAGGAGGAAGGCGGAGUGAGGAGGGGCCGGCCGGCGCGGCCAGUGGAGGGAGGAUGGAGGAGGAGGGCGGAGCGAGGAGGGGCCGGCCAGCGGCGAGUGGAGAGGGAGGACGGAGGAGGAGGCCGGUACCGAGUCCAGCAAGGAGGAGGAGGUGACGGCGGCACAGACGGAGGAGGGGCAACGGGGGUGGACUGGCGCGGGGGAUUGAGAGGGGAUCCAGUGAGCUAGUGUGUGACUGUGUGAGUGGAUCGGAUAGAGGAGAUGGGGCUAAACUUUUGUAGUAAAUUUAGUAGUAGCGCUUAUUGCAGAAAUGCGCUGCUACUAUGCUACGUAGCAGUAGCACCCGUCGUUAUAACACAUUGCUGCUAUAACUAGCCUUGUGGCGGCCUCGUGGGAAUUAUAGCAGUAGCGCUUCUUUGAGCGGGCGCGCUACUGCUAUAUUGGUUUUAGCAGCGAGUUACUCCCGAGCACGCUACUGCUAAUUAGCAGCAGCGCCUUAUUUUAAAGCGCGUUACUGAUAAGAUUCUGUGUAUAGGCUUUUCCCUAGUAGUGUUGAGGUGGAAUCCUACUAGGACUUGGAGUCCUAGUAGGACUCCCCUCUCCCGGCGCGCCUCACAAGGGCCGGCUGACCUCCCCUCCCUCCUUUAUAUACGAUGCAGGAGGGUACCCUAGGACACACCAAGUUUUUCCUUAGCCGUGUGCGGUGCCCCCCUCCACUGUAGUGCUUAGGCGAAGCCCUGCGCCGGUAACAUCAUCAUCACUGUCGCCACGCUGUCAUGCUAACGGAACUCACCCUCGUCCUCAACUAGAUCAAGAGCACGAGGGACGUCAUCGAGCUGAACGUGUGCUGAACGUGGAGGUGUCGUACGUUCGGUACUUGGAUCGGUUGGAUCGCGAAGACGUUUGACUACAUCAACCUCGUUACUAAACGCUUCCGCUUUUGGUCUACGAGGGUACGUGGACACAUUCUCCCCUCUCGUUUCUAUGCAUCUCCUAGAUAGAUCUUGCGUGAUCGUAGGAAUUUUUUUGAAAUUACCACGUUCCCCAACAGUGGUAUCCGACCCAGGUCUAUGUGUAGAUGUUAUAUGCACGAGUAGAACACAAUGAGUUGUGGGAGAUAAUAGUCAUAUUGCUUACAACCAACGUCUUACUUUGAUUCGGCGGUAUUAUUGGAUGAAGCGGCCCGGACUGUCAUUACAUGACCGCGUUCAUGAGACUGGUUCUACCGAUGUGCUUUGCACAUAGGUGGCUGGCGGGUGUCUGUUUCUCCAACUUUAGUUGAAUCGAGUUUGACUACGCCGGUCCAUGAUGAAGGUUAAAACAACACACUUGACGAAAAAUUGUUGUGGUUUUGAUGCGUAGGUAAGACCGGUUCUUGCUAGAAGCCCGUAGCAGCCACAUAAAACUUGCAACAACAAAGUAGAGGACGUCUAACUUGUUUUUGCAGGGCUUGUGGUGAUGUGAUAUGGUCAAGACAUGAUGUGACAUAAAUUGUUGUAUGAGAUGAUCAUGUUUUGUAAUAGAGUUGUCGGCAACUGGCAGGAGCUAUCUGGUUGUCGCUUUAUUGUAUGAAAUGCAAUUGCCAUGUAAUUGCUUCACUUUAUCACUAAGCGGUAGCGAUAGUCAUAGUAGCAAUAGUUGGCGAGACGACAACGAUGCUACGAUGGAGAUCAAGGUGUCAAGCCGGUGAUGAUGGAGAUCAUGACGAUGCUUCAGUGAUGGAGAUCAUGAGCACAAGAUGAUGAUGGCCAUAUCAUGUCACAUAUUUUGAUUGCAUGUGAUGUUUAUCUUUUAUGCAUCUUAUUUUGCUUAGUACGGCGGUAGCAUUAUAAGAUGAUCCCUUACUAAAUUUUCAAGGUAUAAGUGUUCUCCCUGAGUAUGCACCAUUGCUACAGUUCACCAUGCUGAGACACCACGUGAUGAUCGGGUGUGAUAAGCUCUACAUUCACAUACAAUGGGUGCAAGCCAGUUUUGCACAUGCAGAAUACUCGGGUUAAACUUGACGAGCCUAGCAUAUGCAGAUAUGGCCUCAGAACACUGAGGCCGAAAGGUCAAACGUGAAUCAUAUAGUAGAUAUGAUCAACAUAGAGAUGUUCACCAUUGAAAACUACUCCAUCUCACGUGAUGAUCGGACGUGGUUUAGUUGGUAUGGAUUGCGUGAUCAUUUAGACGACUAGAGGGAUGUCUAUCUAAGUGGGAGUUCUUAAGUAAUAUGAUUAAUUGAACUUUAAUUUAUCAUGAACUUAGUCCUGAUAGUAUUUGCAAAGUAUGUUGUAGAUCAAUUGCUCGCGUUGUAGCUUCCCUAUGUUUUGAAUAUGUUCCUAGAGAAAACUAAGUUGAAAGAUGAUAGUAGCAAUGAUGCGGACUGGAUCCGUGAUCUGAGGUUUAUCCUCAUUCCUACACAGAAGAAUUAUGUCCUUGAUGCACCGCAAGGUGACAAAACUAUUGCAGGAGCAUAUGCAAACGUUAUAAACGUUUGGCUAGCUCAUUAUGAUAACUACUUGAUAGUUUAGUGCACCAUGCUUUACGGCUUAGAAUCAGGACUUUGAAGACGUUUUGAACGCCAUAGACCAUAUGAGAUGUUCCAGGAGUUGAAGUUAAUAUUUCAAGUAAAUACCUGAGUUGAGAGAUGUGAAGUCUCCAACAAGUUCUAUAGCUAAAAGAUGGAGGAGAAUAGCUCAAGCAGUGAGCAUGUGCUCAGAUUGUCUGGGUACUACAAUCGCUUGAAUCAAGUGGGAGUUAAUCUUCCAAAUAAGAUAAUGAUUGACAGAGUUCUCUAGUCACCACCACCAAGUUACUGGAACUUCAUGAUGAACUGUAAUAUGCAAGGGACGACGAAAGCGAUUCCCAAGCUCUUCGUGAUGCUGAAAUCGAUGAAGGUAGAAAUCAAGAAAAAGCAUCAAGUGUUGAUGAUUAAACAAGACCACUGGUUUCAUGUAAAGGGCAAAGGGAAAUAAAGGGAACUUCAAGAAGAAUGGCAAGCAAGUUUUCACUCCCGUGAAGAAGCCCAAAAUUAGACCUGAGCCUGAAACUUAGUGCUUCUACUACAAAGGAAAUGGUCACUGGAAGCGGAAGUACCCCAAAUAUAUGGGAUGGAAAGUGAACAAAGGUAUAUUUGAUAUACAGGUUAUUGAUGUGUACCUUACUAGUGUUCAUAGUAUUCCCUGGGUAUUUGAUACUUAUUCGGUUACUAAGAUUAGUAACUCAAAUUAGGAGUUAUAGAAUAAACAGAGACUAGUUGAGGGUGAAGUGACGAUGUGUAUGUUGGAAGUGGUUCCAAGAUUGAUAUGAUCAUGAUCGCACAACCCCUAUACUUUUGGGAUUAGAGUUGAACCUAAAUAAAUGUUAUUUGGUGUUUGCGUUAAAGCAUGAAUAUGAUUAGAUCAUGUUUUUUGCAAUACGGUUAUUCAUUGAGACAGAGAAUAAUUGCUAUUCUAUUUACAUGAAUAAAACCUUCUAUGGUCAUACAUCCAAUGUUGAUGGUUUAUUGAAUCUCAAUCGUAGUGAUACACAUGUUCAUAAUAUUGAUGCCAAAAGAUAUAAAGUUGAUAAUGAUAGUGCAACAUACUUGUGACACUGUCAUUUAGGUCAUAUUGGUGUAAAGCGUAUGAAGAAACUCCGUGCUGAUGGGCUUUUGGAAUCACUUGAUUAUGAAUCAUUUGAUACUUGCGAACUGUGCCUUAUGGGCAAGAUGACUAAAACUCCAUUCUCCGGAACAAGCUAAUGACUUAUUGGAAAUAAUACAUACCGAUGUAUGCGGUACGAUGAGUGUUGAGGCUCGUGGCAAGUAUCAUUAUUUUCUAACUUUCACAGAUGAUUUGAGCAGAUAUGGGUAUAUCUACUUAAUGAAACACAAGUCUGAAACAUUUGGAAAGUUCAAAGAAUUUUAGAGUGAAGUAGAGAAUCAUUGUAACAAGAAAAUAAAGUUUCUAAGAUCUGAUCAUGGAGGUGAAUUUUUUGAGUUAUGAGUUUGGCCUCAUUUAAAACAAGUGGAAUGGUUUCACAGCUCACGCCACCUGGGACACCACAGCGUAAUGGUGUGUCUGAACAUCGAAACCACACUUAAUUACAUAUGGUGCGAUCUAUGAUGUCUCUUACCGAUUUACCACUAUCAUUUUGGGAUUAUGCAUUAGAGACAACUACAUUCACGUUAAACAGGGCACUAUCAAAAUCCGUUGAGACAACACCGUAUGAAAUAUGGUUUGGCAACAAACCUAAGUUGUCGUUUCUUAAAGUUUGGGGCUGCGAUGCUUAUGUGAAAAAACUUCAACCUGGUAAGCUCGAGCCCAAAUCGGAGAAAUGUGUCUUCAUAGGAUACCCAAAGGAAACUACACCUUCUAUCACAGAUUCGAAGGCAAGAUAUUCGUUGCUAAGAAUGGAUCCUUUCUAGAGAAGGAGUUUCUCUCGAAAGAAGUAAGUGGGAGGAAAGUAGAACUUGAUGAGGUAAUUGUACCUUCUCCCGAAUUGGAAAGUACUUCAUCACAGAAAUCAGUUCUGGUGAUUCCUACACCAAUUAGUGAGGAAGCUAAUGAUGAUGAUCAUGAAACUUCAGAUCAAGUUACUACCGAACCUCGUAGGUCUUCUAGAGUACGGUCCACACCAGAGUGGUACGGUAAUCCUAUUCUGGAAGUCAUGUUACUAGACCAUGAUGAACCUAUGAACUACGAGGAAGCGAUGAUGAGCCCAGAUUCUGUGAAAUGGCUUGAGGCCAUGAAAUCUGAGAUGGGAUCCAUGUAUGAGAACAAAGUGUGGAAUUUGGUGGACUUGCCUGAUGAUCGUCAAGCCAUUAAGAAUAAGUGGAUCUUCAAGAGGAAGACGGAUGCUAAUGGCAGUGUUACUAUCUACAAAGCUCGACUAGUCGCAAAAAGGUUUUUCGACAAGUUCAAAGGUGUUGACUACAAUGAAAUUUUCUCAACCGUAGUGAUGCUUAAAGUCCGUCUGAAUCAGGUUAACAAUGUCACAUCCUAGUUAGCCAUGCAUUAGAGUGUUGCAUCAUGUUUACUCUUUCAUCAGAAACUUGAAAUGGGGAUCUGUGAAACCCUCAGAAUCAUUUUGAAAAUGACCCAAAUAAAAAUUUCUCCAAAAGGAUCCAAGAAAAUGCUCAUGUUGCUCUCUGAAAAUAUUGGACAGAGAUAAAAAUCAAACCAAUAUUUUUAGUGGCUCAUGGACAUUUAUUUUGGGCAUUUGGAAUUAAUGCAUAAGUAUUUGCAUUGGAAAUAUAUUAAUUAUAUAUAUUAAUAUAUGCCCAAAUAUUAUGCCAUUUAUAAAAGAGCUCUGGAAUAAUAUAUAUGGCUCCUGCAAAAAUUGGCAUAAGUUAAAUAAAUGAUUUAAUAUAUUUUUUAAAUCAAAACAAAUGUCAGAAAUUAGAAAACAGAAAAAUAUUAACAGGAGAAGCUUACCUGGGCUCCUCCACCGUGCGGCCCAGCCAGCUGGCUGGCCCAGCCAGCAGCCGGCCCAGCCCACCUCCCUCCUCUGUCGUCUUNNNNNNNNNNNNNNNNNNNNNNNNNNNNNNNNNNNNNNNNNNNNNNNNNNNNNNNNNNNNNNNNNNNNNNNNNNNNNNNNNNNNNNNNNNNNNNNNNNNNNNNNNNNNNNNNNNNNNNNNNNNNNNNNNNNNNNNNNNNNNNNNNNNNNNNNNNNNNNNNNNNNNNNNNNNNNNNNNNNNNNNNNNNNNNNNNNNNNNNNNNNNNNNNNNNNNNNNNNNNNNNNNNNNNNNNNNNNNNNNNNNNNNNNNNNNNNNNNNNNNNNNNNNNNNNNNNNNNNNNNNNNNNNNNNNNNNNNNNNNNNNNNNNNNNNNNNNNNNNNNNNNNNNNNNNNNNNNNNNNNNNNNNNNNNNNNNNNNNNNNNNNNNNNNNNNNNNNNNNNNNNNNNNNNNNNNNNNNNNNNNNNNNNNNNNNNNNNNNNNNNNNNNNNNNNNNNNNNNNNNNNNNNNNNNNNNNNNNNNNNNNNNNNNNNNNNNNNNNNNNNNNNNNNNNNNNNNNNNNNNNNNNNNNNNNNNNNNNNNNNNNNNNNNNNNNNNNNNNNNNNNNNNNNNNNNNNNNNNNNNNNNNNNNNNNNNNNNNNNNNNNNNNNNNNNNNNNNNNNNNNNNNNNNNNNNNNNNNNNNNNNNNNNNNNNNNNNNNNNNNNNNNNNNNNNNNNNNNNNNNNNNNNNNNNNNNNNNNNNNNNNNNNNNNNNNNNNNNNNNNNNNNNNNNNNNNNNNNNNNNNNNNNNNNNNNNNNNNNNNNNNNNNNNNNNNNNNNNNNNNNNNNNNNNNNNNNNNNNNNNNNNNNNNNNNNNNNNNNNNNNNNNNNNNNNNNNNNNNNNNNNNNNNNNNNNNNNNNNNNNNNNNNNNNNNNNNNNNNNNNNNNNNNNNNNNNNNNNNNNNNNNNNNNNNNNNNNNNNNNNNNNNNNNNNNNNNNNNNNNNNNNNNNNNNNNNNNNNNNNNNNNNNNNNNNNNNNNNNNNNNNNNNNNNNNNNNNNNNNNNNNNNNNNNNNNNNNNNNNNNNNNNNNNNNNNNNNNNNNNNNNNNNNNNNNNNNNNNNNNNNNNNNNNNNNNNNNNNNNNNNNNNNNNNNNNNNNNNNNNNNNNNNNNNNNNNNNNNNNNNNNNNNNNNNNNNNNNNNNNNNNNNNNNNNNNNNNNNNNNNNNNNNNNNNNNNNNNNNNNNNNNNNNNNNNNNNNNNNNNNNNNNNNNNNNNNNNNNNNNNNNNNNNNNNNNNNNNNNNNNNNNNNNNNNNNNNNNNNNNNNNNNNNNNNNNNNNNNNNNNNNNNNNNNNNNNNNNNNNNNNNNNNNNNNNNNNNNNNNNNNNNNNNNNNNNNNNNNNNNNNNNNNNNNNNNNNNNNNNNNNNNNNNNNNNNNNNNNNNNNNNNNNNNNNNNNNNNNNNNNNNNNNNNNNNNNNNNNNNNNNNNNNNNNNNNNNNNNNNNNNNNNNNNNNNNNNNNNNNNNNNNNNNNNNNNNNNNNNNNNNNNNNNNNNNNNNNNNNNNNNNNNNNNNNNNNNNNNNNNNNNNNNNNNNNNNNNNNNNNNNNNNNNNNNNNNNNNNNNNNNNNNNNNNNNNNNNNNNNNNNNNNNNNNNNNNNNNNNNNNNNNNNNNNNNNNNNNNNNNNNNNNNNNNNNNNNNNNNNNNNNNNNNNNNNNNNNNNNNNNNNNNNNNNNNNNNNNNNNNNNNNNNNNNNNUGUGAUUUAAGAUAUAGCUACUACCAUGCAUUGGGCCCUGAAAUAUGACCCCGCUCGACUUCUUAUUCACCCUAGCUCUCUGUCCAGGAGUUGCAAGUAGUUUCUGGUGUUUGUAGCCUACUGGAGGCCGUGGACAGCGCUGACCGUAGGGGUGGGCUGUGAUGCGGUAGGUACGUGGCACGGUGUACCGAAUACCCGUUAGGUAUCUCGGGAACCCUGUUCACAUCGUUCGGGGCCGUAUGGGAAACCUCGGCCGGACUCCCUGCGGAUGGAACCUGAAUAGGCGAUAAACCUGGACUAGAGGCUUAAGUGUUUAGGUAGGUCGUGGUCUACACCCACGUCGGCUUUCGCUUGAAGUCUGCCGAGCACAUGUCGUGUGCAGACGCUAAGUGGUGGAAACAUGUAUGAAGAAGUACACCCCUGCAGGGUUAACAUGAUCUAUUCAAAUAGCCGCGUCCGCGGUAAAGGACUACUUGGUUGCCUAUACAGUUCAUAGACAAGUAAAUGGAAACGACUAAAAGCCUCAAGAUAAGUGUGAGUGCCGAGGAUGGCUCUUCCGUAGGAAGACGGAGGUGGAUCCUCGGUAGUGUAUUGAAGUGGUGAGUAGUGGACUCGUGUGCGCAAAACCAUUUCAAGUUGGAGUAUCGUAGGAUAGCCUAGCCAAGAGUCAAAGCUGGCUUGCUGCAAUAACUCCACCAACCCUUCUUGAUACUAUGCAUGUAUGUAGGAUCUGAUGUAAGUCUUGCUGAGUACCUUUGUACUCAUGUUGCUAUAAUCUACAUUUUUACAGAAGACGCUGCAACCCCUUCUGAUGGGUUCUAUGUAGACGUUGACAUCAACGAGUAGGCUAAAGACCCAGGUGGUGACCCUAAGCUUGUGAAGGACCACGUAGUAUAGCUAGGCUUUCCAAGCCUCUUUUAUUUUACUAGUUGUCUGUACUCAGACAAGUUACUUCCGCUGCUGGUUUGUAUGACUGUAUGACUUGUAUGUUGGGUCGUGAGACCCGUACCUUUGUGUAUGAUAUGUAUGGCUCCCUGAGCCUUAAAUAAAGUGCUUGUGUCGUAGAGUCAUGUUGUGAUGCUUCGUUGUAUUCGCACAUAUCGAGCAUAUUGUGUGUAUGAUUGAAAUGCUUGGUAUGUGUGGGAUCUGACUAUCUAGUUGUUUAUCUUUAGUAGCCUCUCUUACCGGGAAAUGUCUCCUAGUGUUACCGCUGAGCCAUGGUAGCUUGCUACUGCUCUGGAACACUUAGGCUGGCCGGCAUGUGUCCUGCUUCGUUCCUGUGUCUGUCCCUUCGGGGAAAUGUCACGCUUUGAGUACCGGAGUCCUGUUAGCCCGCUACAGCCCGGUUUACCGGACCCACUUGCUGAUGACCGACACGUUCGAAGCUGGGUCAUGGAUGCCUGUCCCUGUAAGUCUGUGCCACUUUGGAUUUACGACUAGUCAUGUCAGCCCGGGCUCCUUAUCAUAUGGAUGCUAGCGACACUAUCAUAUACGUGAGCCAAAAGGCGCAAACGGUCCCGGGAAAAGGUAAGACGACACCCGUGGGGAUACCGUGCGUGAGGCCGCAAAGUGAUAUGAGGUGUUACCACCUAGAUCGAUGUGACAUCGAGUCGGGGUCCUGACAGCGUUGGUAUCAGAGCCGGACUGCCUGUAGGUUCUCCAAGCCAAACUGGUCGAUGUUGAGUCUAGAAAUUCUUUAGUUAUAUGUAGGGGAAUUGUUUGUGGGUUGGAACGUAAGGCUCUUUUUGCUCCUUUACCUUAUGACUUUCUGAUCUGAGUCAGUCCAUUCUUCCACCGGGGUUAAGGAAUUAGGAUCUAUUCUCUCUAUCAGGAUCACGUGUUACUAAUCAGUAGUACCUUAUAAGUUUGAUGGUUACAAGCCUAGUUCAGUUCUACGACCACAUUAUGUUGCCAGAAUGGUUUCAGAACUUUGAAAUGAUGAUGUUGAGUAUGUACGAAAUCCUUUGUCAAAUGUCUCAAAAUCCUUCUUGAGCAUUUACAGCUGUUAUGCUGCCGAAAUUUUGCUAGAAAUUCUAAUGCCUUUGCAUUAUGAUUGUGCUUUCAGAUGGCCACCCGCGACCUCAAUCAAGUGGUUCGCCUGACUCGAUGCCUAGAUGUACCCGGCCAUACUGCUAAGUUGGUCAGGGUAAUGACUGAGGCUGGAUACCGCUGGUAUCCCGAGUACACGGUCGAAGAGCAAUUCCGAGAUUUUAAUCAAAGCCAGUAUCUCUGCACUGUCAGGAUAUUUCCAUCUUAUCCUGGAUCCACCGAGCCUCUUCACUGCUCCUAUGGACUCGGGGUUACUAUUGAGAUGGCUGUGCAGGACGCCGCCUACUCUAUGAUGACCAUUAUCCGAGUCAGAUCUGGUCUGUUUCGGGACUCUGAUUUCCGGUAUAUGCCAGGAUCACUUCCGGGAGCACAAGGGUAUCUCCAGGCUAUCUAUGCUGACCCCACUCAGGAGGAUUCACGGACUCGCACCACUGCUGAGAUGCUCGAGGAUAAGGACCGUGAAAAUCGGGCCUUAAGGUUAGAGCUCUUCAAUACCCGUGCUGACCACUGGGCCACUUUGACUCGGUUCGCACCGGCGGUGCAAGCUGGAUAUUCAGAUAUGCGCGAUCUCUAUCCUGUGAGAUCUGCUCUGCCGGACGUAAUGGUUUGGCGUGAUGUAGGAGGCAUCACCCCACCUCGCGGUCCCCGCAGGCCACCGUCUGUUGGUCCAAGGCCUCAUCCUAGCCCCUAUGGUCCACAAGCUCCGCGAGAUCGUCUGUUUCCGGAUGAUCAUGUUGAACUUCCAGGCUAUGGAGGCGACUUCUACGAGGACUACUACGGAUCGGUCUGAGUUAGUGGUAGUAUCACUAGUUCGCACUAGCUGUGUCUUCUAUCGUUCCGCGUGACUCGUGGGAUAUGACCUAGUUUGUACUCUUUCCGGAGGAGUAGAAAAAUAAUGUAUAGGAGCUUGGGAUGCCUACGAUGAGAUGUAAUCCUCUUUCACCGUAAUAGUACUUGUUUGGUCUUGUACUAAACCCUGUAUGGUGUGUAUGACGAUGGAAUAAAGAAGUAGUUUCUGUAUCUACCAUGUCAUACGGAUGAUCAUCUUGCAUUCCGAGUUAUUCCUUACAUUAUGUAUCCUAUGUCGGAAUUUUACCAUCCUGACUAAAUCAUUGUCUUGUUUACCUAGGAUGGUCAACACGCGCGCUAACCCUGCUUCCCAAGAGCAGGCCGAAGGCAGUGAAGCCAGGGAUGCAAAUCUGCCUCAUCCUCCUUCACUAGCCGAGGUUAUGAUGGAAGCUGAGAGAAACAAGCGGGAGACCAACCGUUUGUUGGAGCGUAUUGAACAGAAUACAGCACACCAUCAGAGGGCUAACGUGGUGUCACUCAGUGAUUUUAUCAAAUUGCAUCCACCCACGUUCCACCACUCCGUCGAGCCUCUCGACGCUGAUGACUGGCUUCGCAGUAUCUCUCACAAACUGCGUUCCGCGCUGGUAGCGGAGGCUGACAAGGUCACCUUUGCUGCAUAUCAUCUUGAAGGCCCCGCCAGUCUAUGGUGGGAGAAUUAUGGAGCUAUGCUCCCAGCGGGCCAUGUCACUACUUGGGCUGAAUUCAGCGAGGCUUUCCGUGAACAUCACAUUUCGGAGGGUCUCAUGGACCGUAAACGCGAAGAAUUUUGCAGUUUUACCCAAGGCCGACUUUCUGUGGAUGUCUAUAGCAGGGAGUUUGGUAAUCUCGCCCGAUAUGCAACUGAGGAAGUGUCUACUGACGCCAAGAAGCAAGCAAGGUUCCGUAAGGGCCUUAGUCCUGAGCUUCGCCGUGACCUCCGUCUGCAUGAGUGCACAUCUUUUUCGAAACUUGUCAACAAAGCCAUCAGUGCUGAAACUGGUCAGACUGACUAUGACGCAACACGCAAGCAUGGCCGUGACAUGGGUUCCUCAUCCGGUGCUGGUCCUCAGAAGCGCCGCGUGUGGGUGCCCAACACCGCCCUGCCACCCAGGUUCACACCGAGGCCAUCUUUCCAGGCGCCUCGCCCUGUUCAACAGUCUGCACCGGCCAAGCCCUAUGGGGGUCCUUUACAACAAAGUCAACCGCUUCUCCAUGAGGAAUUUCGGAAGCUUAACCUUCACAUUGUUCCUCAAGGUUUUCUUUCCACCUUGGUGGCAAAACCUACUCUUACGGAUCAAAUCAUCGCUGCCCAAGAGCGAGAUAAGGGAAUAUCUAAAAUCAAAGAGAACAUUGCUAGCGGAGGUGCUAGUUGUUUCUCCACAAAUGAUCAUGGUGUUGUGUACUUUGAGAAUCGUCUAGUGGUUCCCAAGAACCAGCAUCUACGGCAGUUGAUCCUUAAGGAAGCUCAUGAAUCUCCUCUCACCAUUCAUCCCGGUAGCACUAAGAUGUAUCAGGACCUACGCCAGAGGUUCUGGUGGACUAGGAUGAAGAGAGAAAUUGCUCAGUAUAUUGCAAAUUGCGACGUCUGUCGUCGUGUAAAAGCAGAGCAUCAACGGCCUGCUGGCACCCUUCAACCCUUAGCUAUUCCUGAAUGGAAAUGGGAUAAAAUUGGUAUGGAUUUCAUUACCGGGUUUCCCAGGACCAAGAGAGGGAAUAAUGCUAUUUUCGUCGUGGUCGAUCGUAUUUCCAAAGUAGCCCAUUUCUUACCUGUUCGUGAGAGUAUAACCGCUAGUCAACUGGCAGAAUUGUACAUCUCCCGAAUAGUGUCUCUCCAUGGUGUUCCUUUGGAAAUUAACUCGGAUCGAGGAAGUCUUUUCACCUCUCGAUUUUGGGAAAGUUUCCAAAAUGCUAUGGGAACUCGUCUCUCUUUUAGCACCGCUUUCCACCCUCAGUCAAGUGGUCAAGUGGAACGCGUCAAUCAGAUUCUAGAAGACAUGCUUCGAGCCUCUGUUAUCUCAUUCGGAAUGGACUGGGAGAAGUGCCUUCCAUUUGCCGAAUUCGCUUACAACAACAGCUAUCAAUCUAGCUUGGGUAAAGCCCCUUUUGAAGUUCUCUAUGGACGACGGUGUCGAACACCCCUUAACUGGUCAGAGACCGGGGAAAGACAAUUCUUUGGCCCGGAUAUGAUUCAGGAAGUAGAAGAACAAGUUCGUAUCGUUCGUGAAAAGUUGAAAACAGCCCAAUCCCGUCAAAAGAGUCAAUAUGACCGAAAACAUAAGGCUAUGACCUUCGAGGUUGACGAGAAGGCUUAUCUUCGGGUCACCCCUCUGAAGGGAACCCAUCGUUUCGGUAUCAAAGGCAAAUUGGCUCCUCGUUACAUUGGACCUUUUCGCAUUCUUGCCAAACGAGGAGAAGUUGCCUACCAGUUGGAACUACCUCCGCACCUCUCCAGAGUUCACGAUGUCUUCCACGUUUCUCAACUCAGGCGUUGCUUCUCGGAUCCUAUCCGUGGAGUGGACCACGAAACGCUUGAUCUCCAGGAUAAUCUUACAUAUCGAGAGUACCCCAUUCGUAUCCUCGAUCAAGCCGAACGUACCACGCGACGUCAUAAUAUCAAGUUUCUCAAGGUUCAAUGGUCGCACCAUUCUGAGGAUGAAGCAACUUGGGAAAGGGAGGAUCGUCUUCGACUCGAGUAUCCCGCCUUCUUCCCGGAGGAACCCAAAUCUCGGGACGAGAUUCUUUUGAGUGGGGGUGAGUUGUCACAUCCUAGUUAGCCAUGCAUUAGAGUGUUGCAUCAUGUUUACUCUUUCAUCAGAAACUUGAAAUGGGGAUCUGUGAAACCCUCAGAAUCAUUUUGAAAAUGACCCAAAUAAAAAUUUCUCCAAAAGGAUCCAAGAAAAUGCUCAUGUUGCUCUCUGAAAAUAUUGGACAGAGAUAAAAAUCAAACCAAUAUUUUUAGUGGCUCAUGGACAUUUAUUUUGGGCAUUUGGAAUUAAUGCAUAAGUAUUUGCAUUGGAAAUAUAUUAAUUAUAUAUAUUAAUAUAUGCCCAAAUAUUAUGCCAUUUAUAAAAGAGCUCUGGAAUAAUAUAUAUGGCUCCUGCAAAAAUUGGCAUAAGUUAAAUAAAUGAUUUAAUAUAUUUUUUAAAUCAAAACAAAUGUUAGAAAUUAGAAAACAGAAAAAUAUUAACAGGAGAAGCUUACCUGGGCUCCUCCACCGUGCGGCCCAGCCAGCUGGCUGGCCCAGCCAGCAGCCGGCCCAGCCCACCUCCCUCCUCUGUCGUCUUCGUCCCGACAGAGGGAGGGGAGUGUGGCCGGCGCGCGCGCGCGCCACCGCGCCACGCCACCUCUCUCCCUGCCUGCCUGCCCUCCCCUCCUCGCCCCGAUGCCCCGGACCACGCCACGCCUCCCCCCCUGCUCUCUCUCACUCUCCCCCGGCUCUCCCCUCCUCUCCCCCGCUCUCUCUCUCACACGGCCGAACACCACCGUCGCCACCGUUCGCCACAGCAGCCGUCUCCGGCCACCCCNNNNNNNNNNNNNNNNNNNNNNNNNNNNNNNNNNNNNNNNNNNNNNNNNNNNNNNNNNNNNNNNNNNNNNNNNNNNNNNNNNNNNNNNNNNNNNNNNNNNNNNNNNNNNNNNNNNNNNNNNNNNNNNNNNNNNNNNNNNNNNNNNNNNNNNNNNNNNNNNNNNNNNNNNNNNNNNNNNNNNNNNNNNNNNNNNNNNNNNNNNNNNNNNNNNNNNNNNNNNNNNNNNNNNNNNNNNNNNNNNNNNNNNNNNNNNNNNNNNNNNNNNNNNNNNNNNNNNNNNNNNNNNNNNNNNNNNNNNNNNNNNNNCGCCGUCGAAUUCGUCGUCUCCAGCGCGUCCCCGAGCCCGCUAACCAUCCCUGCAGCUCCGCGGUGAGCCCCCGGAUCGUUUCCCCCUUCUCCCCUGGUCUCUUUCGACCUCUAGGCCCUAGCCCCACCUUGGCCGAGAGCUCCACGCCGCCGGCGAUGUCGCCGUCGUGGCCACGGUCACCGUAGCACCCAACCGAGCGCACUAUGGUGCUCCCCACCUCACCAGGAGCACGCAGCGCGCACUAACGCCUCCCCAAACCCCCUGCAACGUCGAUUCCGACCGCACCCGAACUCCGGCAGCCGCAGCCGAGCUCGCCGCCGUCGCCUCCGGCCACCCCAGGGCCAGCCACGGCCACCGUCCGACGCGCCGUCGAGCUAGCUAUCCAACGCACCUAGCCGCACGCCGUUUGGAGCACCACAGAGGAAACCCGAGGCCCCUGCACGCCGCGGACCUCGCCGGCGACUAACCGCCGGCGGGUUUGACCUGUCCGACCUGAGGUUUGACCCCCCCAGGGUCACUGACGCGUGGGCCCUGUCGGACAGGUGGUUAGUUAGUACUAAUUACCGUUAGUCAACCCCCCCUGACACUGACUAGUGGGCCCCAGCGCCACUAAUUAGUAAUUAGGAUUAAACUAACCCUGUUUAACACCCCUGUCACUGACGUGUGGGCCCCACACGUCAGGUUUGACUUCAGCCAGCCGCAGUUGACCACUGACGUCAUGCUGACGUCAUGCUGGCGCAAUAAUUAUAAUUUCUGGAUUUAAUUUAAAUCAGGAAAUUCCAGAAUAUUAUUUAAACUUCAAAAAUUCAUAACUUUUAUUCUGUAACUCCAAAUUGGACAAAUUAUAUAUGAAAAAUGAUCAGAAAAAUCCAAUCUAUCCAUCUGUACUAUUUUCAUGCAUGAUCAAACAAGUUAAAUUGAUGUUUUAAGCAGAACAAGGAAAAGCACUUUUAAAAGGCCAUGUUUGAGUUUGAAAUUUGAAUCUUUGGUUCAAAUUUGUUCAAACCCUUCUGGUUCUAGUUGCAUUAGCCCAACACACUCAUAUUGCCAUGUUUCAUGCAUGCAUCAUAUUGUUGCACAUUGUUUGGUGAUGCUUGUGUAUCGAUGUCCUUUGCGACAGGUUCUGCCUCCGAGGAGUACCGUGAUUACCCUAACGAAGAACCAUAUCAGUGCAUCGAACCAUCAGGCAAGCAACCAACCAUUUGAUCAUAUCGAUACAAUCCCAUGUUCUCGCUCCUGCUCUCUUUUACUGCAUUAAGACAACGCGAUUCAAACUGCUGUGUGCUACGGUAGUUGAACCCAUUUCCUCUGCAUGACCUGUCAUUGCCACAGUAACUAGAUGAAACCCACUAGCAUGUGUAGGAGUUGAUUGAGCCAUAUGUAUGUGUUGUUCCUACCUUGCUAUGCCUGCUAUGCUUAGAGUCGUGUCAGGUCUGGUUCAUCUGGGUGAUGGGCUAGAGUGAAAUGAUUAUGUCGGUAAUGAGAGUGGUGUGGUGAACACGAUUUGGUAAAGGUAUCGAUGAGAGGCCAUGUAGGACUACAUGGUGGGUUGUUUCAUUGAAGCCGACCUUAAGCACUGAGAUCUGUAUGUGUGAUUUAAGAAUCAGCUACUACCAUACAUUGGGCCCUGAAACAUGACCCCGCUCGACUUCUUAUUCACCCUAGCUCUCUGUCCAGGAGUUGCAAGUAGUUUCUGGUGUUUGUAGCCUACUGGAGGCCGUGGACAGCGCUGACCGUAGGGGUGGGCUGUGAUGCGGUAGGUACGUGGCACGGUGUACCGAAUACCCGUUAGGUAUCUCGGGAACCCUGUUCACAUCGUUCGGGGCCGUAUGGGAAACCUCGGCCGGACUCCCUGCGGAUGGAACCUGAAUAGGCGAUAAACCUGGACUAGAGGCUUAAGUGUUUAGGUAGGUCGUGGUCUACACCCACGUCGGCUUUCGCUUGAAGUCUGCCGAGCACAUGUCGUGUGCAGACGCUAAGUGGUGGAAACAUGUAUGAAGAAGUACACCCCUGCAGGGUUAACAUGAUCUAUUCGAAUAGCCGCGUCCGCGGUAAAGGACUACUUGGUUGCCUAUACAGUUCAUAGACAAGUAAAUGGAAACGACUAAAAGCCUCAAGAUAAGUGUGAGUGCCGAGGAUGGCUCUUCCGUAGGAAGACGGAGGUGGAUCCUCGGUAGUGUAUUGAAGUGGUGAGUAGUGGACUCGUGUGCGCAAAACCAUUUCAAGUUGGAGUAUCGUAGGAUAGCCUAGCCAAGAGUCAAAGCUGGCUUGCUGCAAUAACUCCACCAACCCUUCUUGAUACUAUGCAUGUAUGUAGGAUCUGAUGUAAGUCUUGCUGAGUACCUUUGUACUCAUGUUGCUAUAAUCUACAUUUUUACAGAAGACGCUGCAACCCCUUCUGAUGGGUUCUAUGUAGACGUUGACAUCAACGAGUAGGCUAAAGACCCAGGUGGUGACCCUGAGCUUGUGAAGGACCACAUAGUAUAGCUAGGCUUUCCAAGCCUCUUUUAUUUUACUAGUUGUCUGUACUCAGACAAGUUACUUCCGCUGCUGGUUUGUAUGACUGUAUGACUUUUAUGUUGGGUCGUGAGACCCGUACCUUUGUGUAUGAUAUGUAUGGCUCCCUGAGCCUUAAAUAAAGUGCUUGUGUCGUAGAGUCAUGUUGUGAUGCUUCGUUGUAUUCGCACAUAUCGAGCAUAUUGUGUGUAUGAUUGAAAUGCUUGGUAUGUGUGGGAUCUGACUAUCUAGUUGUUUAUCUUUAGUAGCCUCUCUUACCGGGAAAUGUCUCCUAGUGUUACCGCUGAGCCAUGGUAGCUUGCUACUGCUCUUGAACACUUAGGCUGGCCGGCAUGUGUCCUUCUUCGUUCCUGUGUCUGUCCCUUCGGGGAAAUGUCACGCUUUGAGUACCGGAGUCCUGUUAGCCCGCUACAGCCCGGUUUACCAGAGUCCUGCUAGCCCAGUGCUACAGCCCGGACCCACUUGCUGAUGACCGACACGUUCGAAGCUGGGUCAUGGAUGCCUGUCCCUGUAAGUCUGUGCCACUUUGGAUUUACGACUAGUCAUGUCAGCCCGGGCUCCUUAUCAUAUGGAUGCUAGCGACACUAUCAUAUACGUGAGCCAAAAGGCGCAAAUGGUCCCGGGAAAAGGUAAGACGACACCCGUGGGGAUACCGUGCGUGAGGCCGCAAAGUGAUAUGAGGUGUUACCAGCUAGAUCGAUGUGACAUCGAGUCGGGGUCCUGACAAACAAUUGCCAUAUUUUAUGAAAUCUGGCAAGUGGAUGUCAAAACUGCAUUCCUUAAAUGGAUAUCUCUAAGGAGAGUUGUAUAUGAUGCAACCAGAAGGUUUUGUCAAUCCUAAAGGUGCUAGCAAAAUGUGCGAUCUCCAGCGAUCCAUCUUUGGACUAGUGCAAGCAUCUCAGAGUUGGAAUAUAUGCUUUGAUGAGUUGAUCAAAGCAUAUAGUUUUAUACAGACUUGCGGUGAAGCCUGUAUUUACAAGAAAGUGAGUGGGAGCACUACAGCCUUUCUGGUAAGUACAUGUGAAUGACAUAUUAUUGAUCAGAAAUAAUGUAGAAUUUUCUGGAAAGCAUAAAGGAGAGUUUGAAAGGAGAUUUUCAAAGAAAGACCUCGGUGAAGAUGCUUACAUAUUUGGCAUCAAGAUCUAUAGAGAUGGAUCAAGACACUUGAUAAGAUUUUUCAAUGAGUACAUACCUUGACAAGAUUAUGAAAGAGUUCAAAAUGGAUCAUUCAAAGAAGGAGUUCUUGCCUGUAUUACAAGGUGUAAAGUUUAGUAAGACUCAAAGCCUGACCACGGCAGAAGAUAGAAAGAGAAUGAAAGUCAUUCCCUAAGCCUCAGUCAUAGGUUCUAUAAAGUAUACCAUGCUAUGUACCAAACCAGUCGUGUGCCUUACUAUGAGUUUGGCAAGGGGGUACGAUAGUGAUCCAGGAGUGGAUCACUGUAUAGCGGUCAAAGUUAUUAUUAGUUACCUAAGAGGACUAAGGAAGUAUUUCUCGGUUAUGGAGGUGAUAAAGAGUUCAUCGUAAAGAGUUACAUCGAUGUAAGCUUUACACCAAUCCAUAUGACUCUGAGUCUCAAUCUGGAUACAUAUUGAAAGAAGGAGUAAUUAGCUAGAGUAGCUCCAUGUAGAGCAUUGUACAACAACAACAACAACAACAACAACAAAGCCUUUAGUCCCAAACAAGUUGGGGUAGGCUAGAGGUGAAACCCAUAAGAUCUCGCAACCAACUCAUGGCUCUGGCACAUGGAUAGCAAGCUUCCACGCACCCCUGUCCAUAGCUAGCUCUUUGUCGAUACUCCAAUCCUUCAGGUCUCUCUUAACGGACUCCUCCCAUGUCAAAAUCGGUCGACCCCACCCUCUCUUGACAUUCUCCGCACGCUUUAGCCGUCCGCUAUGCACUGGAGCUUCUGGAGGCCUGCACUGGAUAUGCCCAAACCAUCUCAAACGAUGUUGGACAAGCUUCUCCUCAAUUGGUGCUACCCCAACUCUAUCUCGUAUAUCAUCAUUCCGGACUCGAUCCUUCCUCGUGUGGCCACACAUCCAUCUCAACAUACGCAUCUCCGCCACACCUAACUGUUGAACAUGUCGCCUUUUAGUCAGCCAACACUCCGCGCCAUACAACAUUGCGGGUCGAACCGCCAUCCUGUAGAACUUGCCUUUUAGCUUUUGUGGCACUCUCUUGUCACAGAGAAUGCCAGAAGCUUGGCACCACUUCAUCCAUCCGGCUUUGAUUCGAUGGUUCACAUCUUCAUCAAUACCCCCAUCCUCCUGCAACAUUGACCCCAAAUACCGAAAGGUGUCCUUCCGAGGUACCACCUGGCCAUCAAGGCUAACCUCCUCCUCCUCACAGCUAGUAGUACUGAAACCGCACAUCAUGUACUCGGUUUUAGUUCUACUAAGCCUAAACCCUUUCGAUUCCAAGGUUUGUCUCCAUAACUCUAACUUCCUAUUUACCCCCGUCCGACUAUCGUCAACUAGCACCACAUCAUCCGCAAAGAGCAUACACCAUGGGAUAUCUCCUUGUAUACCCCUUGUGACCUCAUCCAUCACCAAUGCAAAAAGAUAAGGGCUCAAAGCUGACCCCUGAUGCAGUGCUAUCUUAAUCGGGAAGUCAUCGGUGUCGACAUCACUUGUUCGAACACUUGUCACAACAUUAUUGUACAUGUCCUUGAUGAGGGUAAUGUACUUUGCUGGGACUUUGUGUUUCUCCAAGGCCCACCACAUGACAUUCCGCGGUAUCUUAUCAUAGGCCUUCUCCAAGUCAAUGAACACCAUAUGCAAGUCCUUCUUAUGCUCCCUAUAUCUCUCCAUAAGUUGUCGUACCAAGAAAAUGGCUUCCAUGGUCGACCUCCCAGGCAUGAAACCAAACUGAUUUUUGGUCACGCUUGUCAUUCUUCUUAAGCAGUGCUCAAUGACUCUCUCCCAUAGCUUCAUUGUAUGGCUCAUCAGCUUAAUUCCAUGGUAAUUAGUACAACUCUGAACAUCCCCCUUGUUCUUGAAGAUUGGUACUAAUAUACUCCGUCUCCAUUCUUCUGGCAUCUUGUUUGCCCGAAAAAUGAGGUUGAAAAGCUUGGUUAGCCAUACUAUUGCUAUGUCCCCGAGACCUUUCCACACCUUAAUGGGGAUACAAUCAGGGCCCAUCGCCUUGCCUCCUUUCAUCCUUUUUAAAGCCUCCUUCACCUCAGACUCCUGGAUGCGCCGCACAAAACGCAUGCUGGUCUCAUCAAAGGAGUCAUUCAGUUCAAUGGUAGAACUCUCAUUCUCCCCAUUGAACAGCUUGUCGAAGUACUCUAGCCAUCUAUGCUUAAUCUCUUCGUCCUUCACCAAGAGUUGGCCUGCUCCGUCCUUGAUGCAUUUGACUUGGCCAAUAUCCCUCGUCUUCCUCUCCCGGAUCUUAGCCAUCUUAUAGAUGUCCCUUUCACCUUCCUUCGUGCCUAACCGUUGGUAGAGGUCCUCAUAUGCCCGACCCCUUGCUUCACCAACAGCUCGCUUUGCAGCCUUCUUGUAGACAUAGAAAAUUUGCAAAAUACAUACAGCUCUGAAUUUAGCACACUCGUUGACUGAACUUCUCUCACAAGCAAAACAUGAUCACACCUUAGUACUCUUUGGGUGUUAAUCACAUAGCGAUGUGAACUAUAUUAUUGACUCUAGUAAACCCUUUGGUUAUAUGUCACAUGGCGAUGUGAACUAUGGGUGUUAAUCACAUACAGAUGUGAACUAUUGGUGUUAAAUCACAUGGCGAUGUGAACUAGAUUAUUGACUCUAGUGCAAGUGGGAGAUUGAAGGGAAUAUACCCUAGAGGAAAUAAUGAAGUUGUUAUUUAUAUUUCCUUAUAUCAUGAUAAAUGUUUAUUAUUCAUGCUAGAAUUGUAUUAAUCGGAAACUUAGUACAUGUGUGAAUACAUAGACAAUACAUAGUGCCCCUAGUAUGCCUCUACUUGACUAGCUCGUUAAUCAAAGAUGGCUAUGUUUCCUAACCAUAGACAUGUGUUGUCAUUUGAUGAACGGGAUCACAUCAUUAGGAGAAUGAUGUGAUGGACAAGACCCAUCCGUUAGCUUAGCAUUAUGAUUGUUACAGUUUCAUUGCUACUGCUUUCUUCAUGACUUAUACAUGUUCCUCAAACUAUGAGAUUAUGAAACUCCUGAAUACCGGAGGAACACCUUGUGUGCUAUCAAACGUCAAAAUGUAACUGGGUGAUUAUAAAGAUGCUCUACAGGUGUCUCCAAAGGUGUUUCUUGGGUUGGCAUAGAUCGAGAUUAGGAUUUGUCACUCUGUGUAUCGGAGAGGUAUCUCUGGGCCCUCUCGGUAAUGCUCAUCACUAUAAGACUUGCAAGCAAUGUGACUAAUGAGUUAGCUAUGGGAUGAAUCAUUACGGAACUAGUAAAGAGACUAGCCGAUAACGAGAUUGAACUAGGUAUGAUGAUACCGACGAUCGAAUCUCGGGCAAGUAACAUACCAAUGACAAAGGGAACAACGUAUGUUGUGUUGGAAAUAUGCCCUAGAGGCAAUAAUAAAAUGAUUAUCAUUAUAUUUCCUUGUUCAUGAUAAUUGUCUAUUAUUCAUGCUAUAAUUGUGUUAUCCGGAAAUCGUAAUACAUGUGUGAAUACAUAGACCACAACAUGUCCCUAGUGAGCCUCUAGUUGACUAGCUCGUUGAUCAACAGAUAGUCAUGGUUUCCUGACUAUGGACAUUGGAUGUCAUUGAUAACGGGAUCACAUCAUUAGGAGAAUGAUGUGAUGGACAAGACCCAAUCCUAAGCAUAGCACAAGAUCGUGUAGUUCGUUUGCUAGAGCUUUUCCAAUGUCAAAGUAUCAUUUUCCUUAGACCAUGAGAUCGUGUAAAUUCCGGAUACCGUAUGAGUGAUUUGGGUGUACCAAAUGUCACAACGUAACUGGGUGACUAUAAAGGUAUACUACAGGUAUCCCCGAAAGUAUCUGUUGGGUUAACACAGAUCGAGACUGGGAUUUGUCACUCCGUAUGACGGAGAGGUAUCUCUGGGCCCACUCGGUAAUGCAUCAUCAUAAUGAGCUCAAUGUGACCAAGUGGUUGGUCACGGGAUCAUGCAUUAUGGUACGAGUCAAGUGACUUGCCGGUAACGAGAUUGAACGAGGUAUUGGGAUACCGACGAUCGAAUCUCGGGCAAGUAACGUACCGAUUGACAAAGGGAAUUGUAUACGGGAUUACUUGAAUCCUCGACAUCGUGGUUCAUUCGAUGAGAUCAUCGUGGAACAUGUGGGAACCAACAUGGGUAUCUAGAUCCCGCUGUUGGUUAUUGGCCGGAGAGCUGUCUCGGUCAUGUCUGCGUGAUUCCCGAACCCGUAGGGUCUACACACUUAAGGUUCGGUGAUGCUAGGGUUGUAGAGAUAUUAGUAUGCGGUAACCCGAAAGUUGUUCGGAGUCCCAGAUGAGAUCCCGGAUGUCACGAGGAGUUCUGGAAUGGUCCGGAGGUGAAGAUUUGUAUAUAGGAAGUCCAGUUUCAACCACCGGGAAAGUUUCGGGGGUCACCGGUAUUGUACCGGGACCACCAGAAGGGUCCCGGGGGUCCACCAGGUGGGGCCACCUAUCUCGGAGGGCCCCAUUGGCUGAAGUGGGAAGGGAACCAGCCCCUGGUGGGCUGGUGAGCCCCCCUUGGGCCUCCCCCUGCGCCUAGGGUUGGAAACCCUAGGGGUGGGGGGCGCCCCACCUGACUUGGGGGGCAAGCCCCCCCCCCUUGGCCGCCGCCCCCCUUGAUAUUGGAUCUCUAGGGGGUCGGCGCCCCCACCCCAGGGCCNNNNNNNNNNNNNNNNNNNNNNNNNNNNNNNNNNNNNNNNNNNNNNNNNNNNNNNNNNNNNNNNNNNNNNNNNNNNNNNNNNNNNNNNNNNNNNNNNNNNNNNNNNNNNNNNNNNNNNNNNNNNNNNNNNNNNNNNNNNNNNNNNNNNNNNNNNNNNNNNNNNNNNNNNNNNNNNNNNNNNNNNNNNNNNNNNNNNNNNNNNNNNNNNNNNNNNNNNNNNNNNNNNNNNNNNNNNNNNNNNNNNNNNNNNNNNNNNNNNNNNNNNNNNNNNNNNNNNNNNNNNNNNNNNNNNNNNNNNNNNNNNNNNGAAGGAGGAGACGUCUUCCCCAACCGUACGUGUGUUGAACGCGGAGGUGUCGUCCGUUCGGCACUAGGAUCUUCGGUGAUUUGGAUCACGAUGAGGACGACUCCAUCAACCCCAUUCUCUUGAAUGCUUCCGCUCGCGAUCUACAAGGGUAUGUAGAUGCACUCCUCUCUCUCGUUGCUAGAUGACUCCAUAGAUUGAUCUUGGUGAAGCGUAGAAUUUUUUUUAUGUUCUGCAACGUUCCCCAUCAGUGGCAUCAUGAGCUAGGUCUAUGCAUAGUUUCUAUGCACGAGUAGAACACAAUUUUGUUGUGGGCGCAGAUUUUGUCAAUUUACUUGCCACUACUAGUCUUAUCUUGUUUUGGCGGCAUCUUCGGAUGAAGCGGCCCGGACCGACCUUACAUGUACCCUUACGUGAGAUAGGUUCCACCGACUGACAUGCACGAGUUGCAUAAGGUGGCUAGCGGGUGUCUGUCUCUCCCACUUUUGUCGGAUCGGAUUCGAUGAAAAGGGUCCUUAUGAAGGGUAAAUAGAAAUUGGCAUAUCACGUUGUGGUUUUGACGUAGGUAAGAAACGUUCUUGCUAGAAACCUAUUACAGCCACGUAAAAAACAUGCAACAACAAUUAGAGGACGUCUAACUUGUUUUUGCAGCAUAUGCCUUGUGAUGUGAUAUGGCCAAAAGGAUGUGAUGAAUGAUAUAUAUGUGAUGUAUGAGAUUGAUCAUGUUCUUGUAAUAGGAAUCACGACUUGCAUCCCGAUGAGUAUGACAACCGACAGGAGCCAUAGGAGUUGUCUUAAUUAUUGUAUGACCUGCGUGUCAUUGAAUAAAUGCCAUGUAAUUACUUUAUUUUAUUGCUAAACCCUUAGCCAUAGUAGUAGAAGUAAUAGUUGGUGAACAACUUCAUGGAGACACGAUGAUGGAGAUCAUGGUGUCAUGCCGGUGACGAUGAUGAUCAUGGCGCCCCGAAGAUGGAGAUCAAAAGGAGCAAAAUGAUAUUGGCCAUAUCAUGUCACUAUUUGAUUGCAUGUGAUGUUUAUCAUGUUUUUUGCAUCUUAUUUGCUUAGAAUGACGGUAGUAAAUAAGAUGAUCCCUCAUAAUAAUUUCAAGAAAGUGUUCCCCCUAACUGUGCGCCGUUGCGAAAGUUCGUUGUUUCGAAGCACCAUGUGAUGAUCGGGUGUGAUAGAUUCUAAUGUCCACAAACAACGGGUGUAAGACAGAUUUACACAUGCAAAACACUUAGGUUGACUUGACAAGCCUAGCAUGUACAGACAUGGCCUUGGAACACAAGAGACCAAAAGGUCGAACAUGAGUCGUAUAGAAGAUACGAUCAACAUGUUCACCGAUGAUGACUAGUCCGUCUCACGUGAUGAUCGGACACGGUCUAGUUGACUCAGAUCAUGGAUCACUUAGAUGACUAGAGGGAUGUCUAUCUGAGUGGGAGUUCAUUAAAUAAUUUGAUUAGAUGAACUUAAUUAUCAUGAACUUUGUCUAAAAACUUUUGCAAUAUGUCUUGUAGAUCAAAUGGCCCACGCUAAUGUUGCCCUCAACUUCAACGCGUUCCUAGAGAAAACCAAGCCGAAAGACGAUGGCAGCAACUACACGGACUGGGUCCGGAACUUGAGGAUCAUCCUCAUAGCUUCCAAAAGAGCAUAUGUCCUAGAUGCACCGCUAGGUGAAGCACCCGUUUCCCUGCAACUCAAGACGUUAUGAACGCCUGUCAGUCGCGUGUUGAUGACUACUCCCUCGUUCAGUGCGGCAUGCUUUACAGCUUAGAACCGGGGCUCCAAAAGCGUUUUGAGCAACACGGAGCAUAUGAGAUGUUCAAAGAGCUGAAAUGGUUUUCCAAGCUCAUGCCCGGGUCGAGAGAUAUGAAGUCUCCGACAAGUUCUAUAGUUGUAAGAUGGAGGAAAAUAGUUCUGUCAGUGAGCACAUACUCAAAAUGUAUGGGUUGCACAACCGCUUGCCCCAGCUGGACAUUAACCUCCCGGACGAGGCGGUCGUUGACAGAAUCCUUCAUUCACUCCCACCUAGCUAAAAGAGCUUUGUGAUGAACUACAAUAUGCAGGGGAUGGUGAAAACUAUUCCUGAAGUAUUUUCAAUGCUGAAAUCAGCGGAGGUGGAAAUCAAAAAGGAACAUCAAGUGUUGAUGGUCAAUAAAACCACUAGUUUCAAGAAAGGCAAGGGUAAAAAGAACUUCAAGAAGGAUGGCAAGGGAGUUGCCGUGGCCGGUAAGCCAGUUGCCGGGAAGAAGCCAAAGCAUGGACCCAAACCUGAGACUGAGUGUUUUUAUUGCAAGGGAAGCGGGCACUGGAAGCGGAACUACCCCAAGUACUUAGCAGACAAGAAGGCCGAGAACACUAAAGGUAUAUGUGAUAUACAUGUAAUUGAUGUGUACCUUACCAGUACUCAUAGUAGCUCCUGGGCAUUUGAUACCGGUGCGGUUGCUCAUAUUUGUAACUCAAAACAGGAGUUGCGGAAUAAACGGAGACUGGCGAAGGAUGAGGUGACGAUGCGCGUCGGGAAUGGUUCCAAGGUCGAUGUGAUCGCCGUCGGCACGCUACCUCUACAUUUACCUACGGGAUUAGUUUUAAACCUCAAUAAUUGUUAUUUAGUGCCAGCUUUGAGCAUGAACAUUGUAUCUGGAUCUCGUUUAAUACAAGAUGGCUACUCAUUUAAAUCCGAGAAUAAUGGUUGCUCUAUUUAUAUGAGAGAUAUGUUUUAUGGUCAUGCCCCACUGGUCAAUGGUUUAUUCUUAAUGAAUCUCGAACAUGAUGUUACACAUAUUCAUAGUGUGAAUACCAAAAGAUGUAAGAUUAAUAAUGAUAGUCCCACAUAUCUGUGGCACUUCCGCCUUGGUCACAUUGGUGUCAAACGCAUGAAGAAGCUCCAUACAGAUGGACUUUUGGAGUCUCUUGAUUUUGAAUCAUUUGACACGUGCAAACCCUACCUCAUGGGUAAAAUGACCAAGACUCCGUUCUCCAGAACAAUGGAGCGAGCAACCAACUUAUUGGAAAUUAUACAUACUGAUGUGUGCGGUCCAAUGAGCGUUGAGGCUCGCGGUGGCUAUCGUUAUGUUCUCACUCUCACUGAUGACUGAAGUAUAUAUGGGUAUGUCUACUUGAUGAAACACAAGUCUGAGACCUUUGAAAAGUUCAAGGAAUUUCAGAAUGAGGUAGAGAAUCAACAUGACCGAAAAAUAAAGUUCUUACGAUCAGAUCGUGGAGGAGAAUAUUUAAGUCACGAAUUUGGUACGCACUUAAGGAAAUGUGGAAUCAUUUCACAACUCACACCGCCUGGAACACCUCAGCGUAACGGUGUGUCCGAACAUCGUAAUCGCACUCUAUUGGAUAUGGUGCGAUCUGUGAUGUCACUCACCGAUUUACCGCUAUCAUUUUGGGGAUAUGCUCUAGAGACAGCUACAUUCACUCUAAAUAGGGCACCGUCUAAAUCCGUUGAGACAACACCGUAUGAAUUAUGGUUUGGGAAGAAACCUAAGCUGUCGUUUCUAAAAGUUUGGGGAUGUGAUGCUUAUGUCAAGAAACUUCAACCUGAAAAGCUCGAACCCAAGUCCGAAAAAUGCGUCUUCAUAGGAUACCCUAAGGAAAUCAUUGGGUAUACCUUCUACCUUAGAUCCGAAGGCAAGAUCUUUGUUGCCAAGAACGGGUCCUUUCUGGAGAAAGAGUUUCUCUCGAAAGAAAUAAGUGGGAGGAAAGUAGAACUCGAUGAAGUACUGCCUCUUGAACCGGAAAGUAGCGCAGCUCAGGAAGAUGUUCCUGUGGUGCCUGCACCGACUGGAGAGGAAGUUAAUGAUGAUGAUCAAGGUACUUCGGAUCAAGUUGCUACUAAACUUCGUAGGUCCACAAGGACACGUUCCACACCAGAAUGGUAUGGCAACCCUGUCCUAGAAAUCACGUUGUUAGACAACGGUGAACCUUCGAACUAUGAAGAAGCGAUGGCGGGCCUAGAUUCCAACAAAUGGCUUCAAGCCAUGCAAUCCAAGAUAGGAUCCAUGUAUGAAAACAAAGUGUGGACUUUGACAGACUUGCCCGAUGAUCGGCGAGUGAUAUAAAACAAAUGGAUCUUUAAGAAGAAGACGGACGCGGAUGGUAAUGUUACCAUCUAUAAAGCUCGACUUGUCGCUAAGGGUUAUCGGCAAAUUCAGGGGGUUGACUACGAUGAGACUUUCUCUCCCGUAGAGAAGCUGAAGUCCAUCCGAAUCAUGUUAGCAAUUGCCGCAUACUAUGAUUAUGAGAUAUGGAAAAUGGACGUCAAAACGGCAUUCCUUAACGGCUAUCUUAAGGAAGAACUGUAUAUGAUGCAGCCGAAAGGUUUUGUCGAUCCUAAGAAUGCUAACAAGGUAUGCAAGCUCCAGCGAUCCAUUUAUGAGCUGGUGCAAGCAUCUCGGAGUUACAACAUUCGCUUUGAUGUGAUGAUCAAAGCGUUUGGGUUUAUGCAGACUUAUGGAGAAGCCUGCGUUUACAAGAAAGUGAAUGGGAGCUCUGUAGCAUUUCUCAUAUUAUAUGUAGAUGACAUACUUUUGAUGGGAAAUGAUAUAGAACUUUUAGACAACAUUAAGGCCUACUUCAAUAAGUGUUUUUCAAUGAAGGACCUUGGAGAAGCUGUUUACAUAUUAGGCAUCAAGAUCUAUAGAGAUAGAUCGAGACGCCUCAUAGGUCUUUCACAAAGCACAUACCUUGAUAACAUAUUGAAGAAGUUCAAUAUGGAUCAGUCCAAGAAGGGGUUCUUGCUUGUGUUGCAAGGUGUGAAAUUGAGCUCGGCUCAAUGCCUGACCACGGCAGAAGAUAGAGAAAAGAUAAGUGCCAUCCCCUAUGCCUCGGCUAUAGGGUCUAUUAUGUAUGCCAUGCUGUGUACUAGAUCUGAUGUAAACCUUGCCGUAAGUUUGGUAGGAAGGUACCAAAGUAAUCCCAGCAAGGAACACUGGACAGCGGUCAAGAAUAUCAUGAAGUACCUAAAAAGGACUAAGGAUAUGUUUCUCGUUUAUGGAGGUGACAAAGAGCUCGUUGUAAAGGGUUACGUCGACGCUAGCUUCGACACAGAUCUAGAUGACUCUAAGUCACAAACCGGAUACGUGUAUAUUCUGAAUGGUGGGGCAGUAAGCUGGUGUAGUUGCAAGCAAAGCGUCGUGGCGGGAUCUACGUGUGAAGUGGAGUACAUGGCAGCCUCGGAGGCAGCGCAUGAAGCAAUAUGGAUGAAGGAGUUCAUCACCGACCUAGGAGUCAUACCCAAUGCGUCGGGGCCGAUCAGUCUCUUCUGUGACAACACUGGAGCUAUUGCCCUUGCCAAGGAGCCCAGGUUUCACAAGAAGACUAGGCACAUCAAGCGUCGCUCAACUCCAUUCGUGAAAAUGUUGAAGAUGGAGACAUAGAUAUUUGCAAAGUGCAUACGGAUCUGAAUGUCGCAGAUCCAUUGACUAAACCUCUUCCGCGAGCAAAACAUGAUCAACACAAGAACUCUAUGGGUGUUUGAUUCAUCAUAAUGUAACUAGAUUAUUGACUCUAGUGCAAGUGAGAGACUGUUGGAAAUAUGCCCUAGAGGCAAUAAUAAAAUGAUUAUUAUUAUAUUUCCUUGUUCAUGAUAAUUGUCUAUUAUUCAUGCUAUAAUUGUGUUAUCCGGAAAUCGUAAUACAUGUGUGAAUACAUAGACCACAACAUGUCCCUAGUGAGCCUCUAGUUGACUAGCUCGUUGAUCAACAGAUAGUCAUGGUUUCCUAACUAUGGACAUUGGAUGUCAUUGAUAAUGGGGUCACAUCAUUAGGAGAAUGAUGUGAUGGACAAGACCCAAUCCUAAGCAUAGCACAAGAUCGUGUAGUUCGUUUGCUAGAGCUUUUCCAAUGUCAAAGUAUCAUUUCCUUAGACCAUGAGAUCGUGUACCUCCCGGAUACCGUAGGAGUGCUUUGGGUGUACCAAACAUCACAACGUAACUGGAUGACUAUAAAGGUAUACUACAGGUAUCCCCGAAAGUAUCUGUUGGGUUGACACGGAUCGAGACUGGGGUUUGUCACUCUGUAUGACGGAGAGGUAUCUCUGGGCCCACUCGAUAAUGCAUCAUCAUAAUGAGCUCAAUGUGACCAAGUGGUUCGUCACGGGAUCAUGCAUUACGGUACGAGUAAAGUGACUUUCCGGUAACGAGAUUGAACGAGGUAUUGGGAUACCGACGAUCGAAUCUCGGGCAAGUAACAUACCGAUUGACAAAGGGAAUUGUAUACGGGAUUACUUGAAUCCUCGACAUCGUGGUUCAUUCGAUGAGAUCAUCGUGGAACAUGUGGGAACCAACAUGGGUAUCCAGAUCCCGCUGUUGGUUAUUGGUCGGAGAGCUGUCUCGGCCAUGUCUGCGUGAUUCCCGAACCCGUAGGGUCUACACACUUAAGGUUCGGUGACACUAGGGUUGUAGAGCUAUUAGUAUGCGGUAACCCGAAAGUUGUUUGGAGUCCCAGAUGAGAUUCCGAACGUCACGAGGAGUUCCGGAAUGGUCCAGAGGUGAAGAUUUGUAUAUAGGAAGUCCAAUUUCAACCACUGGGAAAGUUUCGGGGGUCACCGGUAUUGUACCAGGACCACUGGAAGGGUCCCGGGGGUCAACCGGGUGGGGCCACCUAUCCCAGAGGGCCCCAUGGGCUGAAGUGGGAAGGGAACCAGCCACUGGUGGGCUGGUGCGCCCCCUUGGGCCUCCCCCUGCGCCUAUGGUUGGAAAUCCUAGGGGUGGGGGGUGCCCCACCUGAUUUGGGGGCAAGUCCCCCCCUUGGCCGCCGCCCCCCUUGAGAUUGGAUCUCUAGGGGGCCGGCGCCCCCCCAGGGCCCCUAUAUAAAGAGGGGGGAGGGAGGGCUGCGCACCCUAGUCCCUGGCGCCUCCCUCUCCCCCUGCAACACCUCUCCCUCUCGCUGAGCUUGGCGAAGCCCUGCCGAGAUUCCCCGCUACUUCCACCACCAUGUCGUCGUGCUGUUGGAUAUCCAUCAACCUCUCCUUCCCCCUUGCUGGAUCAAGAAGGAGGAGACGUCUUCCCCAACCGUACGUGUGUUGAACGCGGAGGUGCCGUCCGUUCGGCACUAGGAUCUUAGGUGAUUUGGAUCACGACGAGUACGACUCCAUCAACCCCGUUCUCUUGAAUGCUUCCGCUCGCGAUCUACAAGGGUAUGUAGAUGCACUCCUCUCUCUCGUUGCUAGAUGACUCCAUAGAUUGAUCUUGGUGAAGCAUAGAAUUUUUUUUAUUUUCUGCAACGUUCCCCAUCAUGUUGUUAUGCGGUUUGACCGAUAAAGAUCUUCGUAGAAUAUGUAGGAGCCAAUAUGAGCAUCCAGGUUCCGCUAUUGGUUAUUGAUUGGAGAUGUGUCUCGAUCAUGUCUACAUAGUUCUUGAACCCGUAGGGUUUGCACGCUUAACGUUUGAUGACAAUUUUUAUUAUGAGUUAUGUGUUUUGAUAACCGAAGUUUGUUCGGAGUCCCGGAUGAGAUCAUGGACGUGACGAGGAGUCUCAAAAUGGUUGAGAGAUAAAGAUUGAUAUAUUGGAUGGCUAUAUUCAGACAUCGGAAUGGUUCCAGAGAAGUUCGGGUAUUUUACGGAGUACCAGGAGGUUACCGGAACCCCCCGGGGAGUAGAUGGGACUUAGUGGGAAGGAGAGGCAGCGGCCAGGAGGUGGCACACCACCCCCCGCAAUCCUUGUCCGAAUUGGACAAGGAGUUGGGGGCGCGGCCCCCCUUCUCCCUUCCUUCCCCCUUCUCCUUGAGGUGGAAUCCUACUAGGACUUGGAGUCCCAGUAGGACUCCCCUCUCCCGGUGCGCCUCACUAGGGCCAGCCAGGCUCCCCCUCCCUCCUUUAUAUACGGGGACAGGGGGGCACCCAAGGACACACCAAGCUUUUCCUUAGCCGUGGGCGGUGCCCCCCUCCACAGUUACACACCUCGAUCAUAUCGCCAUAGUGCUUAGGCGAAGCCCUGCGCCGGUAACAUCAUCAUCAUCGUCGCCAUGCCGUCGUGCUGACAGAACUCACCCUCGUCCUCAACUGGAUCAAGAGCAUGAGGGACGUCAUCGAGCUGAAUGUGUGUUGUAUGUGGAGGUGCCGUACAUUCGGUACUUGGAUCAGUUGGAUCGGGAAGACGUUCGACUACAUCAACUGCGUUACUAAAUGCUUCCCCUUUCGGUCUACGAGGGUACGUGGACACACUCUCCUCUCUCGUUGCUAUGCAUCUCCUAGAUAGAUCUUGCGUGAUCGUAGGAUUUUUUUUGAAAUUACCACGUUCCCCAACAGACGUUAACCCGGCAGGGCAUAACCCAGACGACUCAGAAGACGGCUCAAAGGAGUAAUCUAACUCCUUAAAGACUUGUUUGGAAAACUUCUGGGCUCAACUGUAGCCUUGUAAUAGCCUUAGAAUAAAACAGUUGGUUGCCUUGUCAUGCCUUCCUGCAUGUUUUUUAGCUGAUGAUCAAAACAGCUGUAUGAUGAAGCUUCUUUGCAUGCCUGAUCAAGUUAUAUAUGUAGCUUUGCUUUGCACCAGCUUUGAAUUUAGGCGCUUUCUUGAUAUUUUGACAUAUAAUCUGUAAGGGGUAUGUCAAUUCCUGUAGCGAUGACUUAUAAUCAAAAACCGAGGUGGUUUAAUGACCCAAUGCCUCAUGGUCAUGAAGAAUUAUGAAAGAAUCAUCUGGCGGCUCAUGGCCUCAAUAUGCUUAAUGCUGAUCAAUGUUAACCCGGGCCUUCUUUGAUCCAGGGAUUUAUAGCCUGCACAUAAAUAUGUGUAAAAACAUAAAAUUCCUGGAAAGAUAGAAAUAGAGAAUAUAAACAUGUAUAUCUCAAUGUUGAUAAGUCGGCUUUUAAGGCGCGACGAAAAAAGACUAGCAUCUUAAGGCUCCAAUCUCGCUUCAAAGAAGCUUGUCUUAAUAGCCUUGGUUUAUCCUUGCUUCAGUAAGAUGGGCUCUCACAUGACUUAAGUUGCCGUUUUAACUUUGACAAGUUCAGGGUCUUUUAAAGAUUGACUUGUCAAAUGUAUGGCCGGUCAUCUUGUUCGGAGUAGCAUCAAGCAUAAUCAAUAAGGGUUUUGUAAGCUAAACUCAGUGAGUUGGAAUCCCCCUAGUGCCCUUAUGAUCAAUUAAUAGAGGCUCAUACAUAGUAAAUAUGAGAAGAAACGAUAGAGGCCCUGAAUUUUGUGGACGCCGACUUUAUUAUGUUGAUCAUAAAAAUAUACACAUGAUAUGUAUGUACAAUGAUUGGAGCCAAUGGCUCAAGUAUAGUAAGGCCGAAGAUGAGCAAUGUUACAAGGCCUGUUGGUCUCCUCCUUAAAGGUACAUGAAUUAUCGUGCUCACGUAUGUCGAUGAGAUAAUAGGACCCAUUGUUGAGGUUUUUACUGACCACAGAAGGCCCUUCCCAAGGGGGUGAUAGCUUAUGCAUGCAUGUCUGAUCUUGAAUCAAACGGAGCACUAAGUCGCCCUCCUGGAACGUUCGGCUUCGAACUCUGCGGCUAUGAUAACGACGCAGGUCUUGUUGGUAAAUCACCGAGCGAGCUGCUACGAGGUAAGGUUCUUCAUCUAAGGCAUCAAGAGCGUUUUGACGCGCCGUCUCGUUUUGUGUUACGACGUAAGACGCCACCCUGGGCGAGUCAUGACGAAUAUCACUUGUGAGAACUGCCUCUGCACCAUAAACCAUGAAGAAGGGCGUGUAGCAUGUUGAUCUGUUGGGGUGGUUCUAAUACUCCAAAGAACUGAAGGAAACUCCUCAACUCACCAACCCGGUGUUCUUGGUAGAGGAACCAUAAGCCGGGGCUUGAUCCCUCCCAAGAUCUCCUGGAUAGCACGUUCUGCCUGGCCAUCAGACUGAGGAUGAGACACCGAGGAUACAUCAAGACGGAUGUGCUCCCUUUGACAGAAUUCCUUCAUAGCGCCUUUAGACAAAUUUGUGCAAUUAUCAGUGUUGAUACUAUGACAAUAACCAAAGCGGAAGAUCACCUUUUUAACAAACUGAACUAUAGUUGCUGCUUCACAGUUGUGAAAGGAUCGAGAAGAGGUGUCUAGAGGGGGGUGAUUAGACACUAAGUGCCAAAAGUUGCAGUUUUUAAUUUCUUUAGGUUUAAGUGGAGUUUUGGCACAAGUUUAACAAUCACAAUACAUAUCAAGCAAGCAUGCAAAGAGUAUAUGAGCAGCGGAAAGUAAAGCAUGCAACUUGCAAGAAUGUAAAGGGAAGGGUUUCGAGAAAUCAAACGCAAUUGGAGACACAGAUGUUUUUGUCGUGGUUCUGAUAAGUGGUGCUAUCGUACAUCCACGUUGAUGGAGACUUCAACCCAUGAAGGGUAACGGCUGCACGAGUCCACGGAGGGCUCCACCCAAAAAGGGUCCACGAAGAAACAACCUUGUCUAUCCCACCAUGGUCGUCGCCCACGAAGGACUUGCCUCACUAGCGGUAGAUCUUCAUGAAGUACGUGAUCUCCUUGCCCUUACAAACUCCUUGGUUCAACUCCACAAUCUUGUCGGAGGCUCCCAAGUGACACCUAGCCAAUCUAGGAGACACCACUCUCCAAGAAGUAACAAAUAUUGUGUUGAUGAUGAACUCCUUUCUCUUGUGCUUCAAAUGAUAGUCUCCCCAACACUCAACUCUCUCUCAUAGGAUUUGGAUUUGGUGGAAAGAAGAUUUGAGUGGAAAGCAACUUGGGGAAGGCUAGAGAUCAAGAUUCAUAUGGUAGGAAUGGAAUAUCUUGGUCUCAAUACAUGAGUGGGUGGUUCUCUCUAAGAAAAUGUAAGUUGGAAGUGUAGGUUCGUUCUGAUGGCUCUCUCCACGAAUGAAGAGGAGGUGGAGGGGUAUAUAUAGCCUCCACACAAAAACUAACCGUUACACACAACUUGCCAAUCUCGGUGGGACCGAAUUGAGAAACUCGGUCGGACCGAUUCAGCAAAUCUAGUGACCGUUAGGAUUUUCGGUGGGACCGACAUGCAACUUGGUAGGACCGAUAUGGUUAGGGUUAGUGCAUAACGUAAUCUCGGUGAGACCGAUUACACAAAAUCGGUGGGACUGAUUUUGGUAAUAAGCUAACCAGAGAGUUGGUCAGGUAAACUUGGUGGGACCGGUUCGCACAUUUCGGUGGGACUAAAAUGUUACAAAAGGUAACCACAGAGUUUACAUUGCAAUCUCGGUAGGACCGGUUACACAAACUCGAUGAGACCGAUUUUGGUAAUGGACAUACAGAGAGAUUGCAAUCUCAUCUUGGUGAGACCGAGAUCCCUAUCGGUGAGACUGAUUUGCCUAGGGUUUGUGGCAGUGCCUAUGACAUCUGAACUCGGUGGCACCGGAUAGAAAGAAUUGUUAGGGCCGAGUUUGACUUUUGGUUAGGUCAUAUGUGGAUGUGAGAAAGUAGUUGAGGGUUUUGGAGCAUAUCACUAAGCACUUUGAUCAAGAGCCUCAUUAAGCAACACCUCAUCCCUUCUUGAUAGUAUUGGCUUUUCCUAUAGACUCAAUGUGAUCUUGGAUCACUAAAAUAUAAAAUGUAGAGUCUUGUGCUUGAAGCUUGAGCCAAUCCUUUGUCCUUAGCAUCUUGAAGGGUUUCCACAUCCUUUAGUCCAUGCCACUUCAUUGUUGAACUUAUCUGAAACAUACUAGGUAAAAGUGUUAGUCCAACAAGAAAUAUGUUGACAUUAAUUACCAAAACCACCUAGGGAGCACUUGUGCUUUCAAUCUCCCCCUUUUUGGUAAUUGAUGACAACAUACAUCAAAGCUUUUAGAUAGAGGAUAUAGUGAAUAACAAGUAAAGCUUUGGAAAGACAUGUAACAUGCAUAGGCCCCACCUACAUGUAUGCAGUCAUGUGAAUAUGGAAAAUAGAAGCAUGUGAAUGCAUAAUCAUGAUAGAGUAGGCAAUGUGUUACAUGUAUCUUGGCUAUAUGCAUCAGAGCAAAGAAUUGUGGGAAAUGUACCUUCAUGUUCAUGAUUCCUUCUUGCAAACAGUAUGUACAUCAGCAAGAAUUACUCAUACACAUGACUGUGAUGCAUAUACUUACCUUGUGGUCUUGAGUUGGCUUAGGAUGGACUGAACCUGUGAAAAUAAGGUUAGAUAACACAUAUGCAACUACUAGCCAGAGCAAACAAGAAGAAGCCACAAGAGUACCAAGACUGGGAUGACAUGUAGAGAGUGAGUACCAAGUACCACAUUGGAUAUCGACAUGUCCCCAAAGGUAAAGAUGUGCAAUGAAUUUAAAGAAUUUCUUUCCCUUGAAAGUCUUGCUCCCCCUGAAUCUAGCAUGGGAUACUGGGAGAAGAUAGGGAAUAGAAAGUCAGAGCUCAAAGAGACAAAUGAAUAGAGCUAAUGCAAAUAAGCACAUAUUAACAUGUCUUUCCCCUAUAAGACAUGUAACAUCUCUCCUCUUGAGCACCAAGCAUCUGGGAUCCUUGAAGAUUACUCUCUCUCCCUGAGUAUUCUCUCCCCCUAGAGAUAUGAUUAAGCUUUGAUGUGAUCUCUCUCUCCCCCUUUGACAUCAAUUUUCAAGAAGGGUCUUCUCGAAUUUGUCGUGAGUGAGUUUGGUCCUUGAGUCACAGCACAAAGCGACAAAUUAAAUGUGAUGCUGGUAGAGGACAAGAUUCAUGGAGUGGAGCUGGAUCAAAAGUAAUGCAGGGACAAGUGGCAAAAUGUUUUUCCUGUAGUGAAAUCGGUGGCAGCGAGUUAUAUUCUUUGAUUGCACCGAAAAGAUUUGGUUGGACCGAAAUCAAAGGACCGGUGUGACUGAAUUCUUCACAGAGAAAACACUUGUCACCUCAGCUCACUAGACAAGUAAGAUCUCACAAGGAUUUGCAAGGAAUUAACUGAAAGAUUUGCAAUGAAUUGGAUGCAGGGAAUGCAUAAUAGAAAAUAAAAGAGAAGAAACUUAAAAGAAAUCUAGAUGAAGGUUUUUUUAACAAAUAUGCAUGCGACAAAUGCAAGCGCACAGAAAAUAACACAAGAGAACUUCAUCUAGAAUUGGUCGGUGAUGAAGUCACCUAUGUUAGAGUAUAUUGACUUAGGAGUCAAGUGAGUUCACUUGAUCAUAGGUCAUACUCAUCAUUUAAGCUCAAAAUGGGGUUACCAUUUUUCGUUUAAGCAUCUUGAUGUAUUCACAUCUUGUCAAGUUGCUUUGACUCAUGACUUGGAGUAAAGCUUCUCUAAGAUGGAAUAACAUACCUUGGGUGGUGGUGUUGAUCAUGAUCAUGUAGUUGAACUUGUGUGGGUUGCUCAAGGUUGAUGUAGCUCAUCAAGAGUUGGGAGCACCACUUGGAGUUUGAGUUCAUAUUCCUACAUGGGUUAGUUUUUGCAAGGAAGAGCACUUGUGUAUCCAAAAUGACAAUCAUGAACUUCAACAUAGAAAUUGUCAAAGGAUAUGUUUGAAUGGUUUCGUGCUUCCUUGCCUUCAACCACCAUUACGUAGAGACUUGGUGAUGUAGAGAUUGCUCAAGAUGUGAGUAAGUUGCAAUCUCAUAGAGUUAGAUUCAUCCAAGUACCUACAAGGGUUAGAUAACAUGCAAGGUGCAAAUAUAUCCAAGAUGUAAAAUCAUCAUCAUAAGAGAAAUAUCAAGGAUUAGUUAUAAGCUCAUGUCUUGCAUGUAUCAAAUGGAGUUCCUACUCCAAGUUUGAAGCAUCAAUGAUGUUCAAUUCACCUCUUAACCUGCAAAACACUUUCUCAUCAAGUGGUUUGGUGAAAAUAUCCACUAAUUGUUUUUCGGUGCGAACAUGCUUAAGAUUAAUGUCCCCUUUGGCAACAUGAUCUCGAAUGAAAUGAUGACGAACUUCAAUAUGCUUAGUUUGAGAGUGUUGCACAAGAUUGUGAGCAAUCUUGAUUGCACUCUCAUUGUCACAAAGUAAUGGAACAUGUUUCACAUUUAUCCCAUAAUCUUUAAGAGUUUGGGUCAUCCAAAGUAAUUGAGCACAACAUGAACCAGCGGCAAUGUAUUCCGCUUCGGCGGUGGAUAAGGAUACCGAGUUUUGUUUCUUGGAAUACCAAGACACAAGAAAUCUACCAAGGAAUUGACAAGUACCCGAAGUGGACUUUCUAUCAACCUUGUCAACGGCAUAGUCUGAGUCGGAGUAGCCAACAAGAUCGAAAGAGGCCCUCUUAGGAUACCAAAGGCCAAAAUUUGGUGUAUGAAUUAAGUAUCUCACUAUCCUUUUCACGACCUUAAGAUGACAUUCUUUAGCUGCAGCUUGAUAUCGUGCACACAUGCACACACUUAGCAUAAUAUCGAGACGUGAAGCACAUAGAUACAACAAUGGACCAAUCAUAGAGCGAUAAACCUUUUGAUCGACCGGUUCACCAUCUUUGGUCAAAUCAAGAUGUCCACUAGUAGGUAUGGGUGUAGUCAUACCUUUGCAUUCUUGCAUAUUGAACUUCUUGAAUAAGUCCUUGGUGUACUUUGUUUGAGAGACAAAAGUACCUUCCUUAGUUUGCUUGAUUUGCAUCCCAAGAAAGAAUUUGAUUUCACUCAUCAUCGACAUCUCAAACUUCUUCUACAUUAGCUUUCCAAACUUGUCACUAAAAUGAGGGUUAGUUGAUCCAAAUAUAAUAUCAUUGACAUAAAUUUGGCAUACUAAUAAUUCUCCAUUGACCCUUUUAGUAAAAAGUGUGGAAUCAAUUUUUCCAAUUUCAAAGCCUUUUUCAAUAAGGAACUUGGUUAAGCAUUUAUACCAAAAUCUAGGAGCUUGUUUAAGUCCAUAAAGAGCUUUGUGGAGUUUGUAAACAUGAUUAGGCUUCUUAGGAUUGACAAAACUGGGAGGUUGUUUAACAUAGACUUCCUCCUCUAUUUCACCGUUUAAAAAAGCACUUUUAAUAUCCAUUUGGUACAAGGUGAUAUCAUGGUGAUUAGCAUAGGCAAGUAAGAUGUGAAUGGACUCAAGUGUAGCAACGGGAGCAUAUGUCUCACCAUAGUCCAUACCUUCGACUUGUGUGUAGCCUUGGGUGACGAGACCUGCUUUGUUGCGAACUAUUUGUCCAUCUUCAUCUUGCUUGUUGCGAAACACCCAUUUGGUACCGAUGAUGUUGUGGUUGUUGUCGGGCUUCUCAACUAAUGUCCAAACUUGAUUUCUCUCAAAGUUGUGUAGCUCUUCAUGCAUAGCGUUUAUCUAGUCCGGAUCUUCCAAUGCUUCUUCAACCGUCAUAGGUUCAAUGCUAGAGAUGAAUGAAUAGUGUUCACAAAAGUUAGCUAAACGAGUUUUUGAGCGGGUGAUUCUCCCGGUUUGGAUAUCAUUGUAGAUUUGCUCGACGGGAUUGUCUUUAGCAGUUCUUGCUCGAACUCGUGUAAGCCUUUGCUUGGGUCUUGGUUGAACAUCUUCUUCAUCUUGUUCUUCUUCUUGGCCUUCUUCAUUGUUGGCGUUGGCGUUCUCUUGUCGUGGUGGAGAAGGAGGUUGUUGAUGUUCUUGGUGUACUUCCUCGUUUUCUUUAUCUUGGUGUGUCCCACUUGUGGAUGCUUCCGUGUCAACUCUUCGUUCACCUUGUCAUGAGGUAGAAGCUUCCACUUGGACGGACGAGGUACUCUCCUUCACCUCCGUUGUACGAAUCUUGCCAACAGACAAGUCUUGGAUUGCUUCCGAGGGGUCUUUGUCUCCUACAUCAAUUGGCAAUUGCUCUACUUGCGAGCUAUUAGAUUCAUCAAACUUCACAUCUACCGUUUCUUCAACCUUUCGGGUGAAAUUGUUGUAGACACGGUAAGUGUGAGAGUUUGAGCCAUAACCAAGUAGGAAACCUUCAUGAGACUUAGGAGCAAAUUUAGAACAAUGAUGCUUAUCAAGAAUGUAGCACUUUGAGCCAAAUACCCGAAAGUAUCCAACUUGGGGUUUGUUACUGGUGAGGAGCUCAUAUGCCGUCUUGCCGAGUAGCUUGUGAAGAUACAAGCAAUUUGUUGCAUGACAAGCUGUCUCAACCGCUUCUGCCCAAAAGUGCUUCGGUGUCUUGUACUCAUCAAGCAUCGUUCUUGCCAUUUCGAUGAGCGUCCGGUUCUUCCUCUCAACAACUCCAUUUUGUUGAGGUGUGUACGUAGCCGAGAACUCAUGUGAAAUCCCUUCUUUAUCAAGAAAGGUGUCCACAUUUGCGUUCUUGAACUCCGUUCCGUUGUCGCUGCGAACCUUCUUGAUCUUCACUUCAAAUUGAUUUUGGGCCUUCCUAGCGAAGUUUUUGAAGAUCUUUUGGACCUGUGAUUUGUCAUCGAGAAAGAACACCCACGUAAAUCUUGAAAAAUCAUCAACUAUAACUAGACCAAAAAAAUUUCCACCGAGACUCUUGUAAGCGUUGGGACCAAAGAGAUCCAUGUGAAGUAGCUCGAGUGGCCUCCUUGUGGUCAUGACGUUCUUUACGGGAUGCCUUCCUCCAACUUGUUUACCUGCUUGACAAGCACUGCAAAGUCUAUCCUUGUCAAAUAUGACAUCAUUAACACCAAGGAUAUGAUUUCCUUUAAUAAGCUUGUCAAGAUUUCGCAUGCCAACAUGACCUAAUCGUCUAUGCCAUAACCAACCUUUAGAGGAUUUAGCAAUAAAGCAAGUUCUAGGUUGAGCCUUUUUAGUGAAAUCAACAAUGUAAAGAUCACCUCUACGUAUACCGGUAAAGACCAUUUUAUGAUUAUCUCUAUGAAACACUUGGCAAUCUACUUCAGUAAAUAGGACAUUGAAACCAAAAUCAGCAAGUCUAGAUACUGAAAGUAAGUUGCAGCCAAGAGAUUCAAUGAGCAUAAAAUUUUGAAUGGAGCUAUCAUGUGAGAUGGCCACCUUACCUAGGCCAACCACCUUACCCUUUGAGUUGUCACUGAAAGUGACAUACUUUCGAGGACCAUCGUUUUUCAGCAAGCUCAUGAAACAUGUCUUUAUCUCCGGUCAUGUGAUCGGUACAUCCACUAUCAAGGACCCAUUCCUUUCCUCCUUCCAUAUAUCCCCGAAGAUUUGCCACAAGACCAAAGUGUCUCAUUGCAUCAUCAAGAUCAAAGUCACUAUCAUCAUCCUCAUCAUAGUAUCCAUGUUCAACAUCGUCAUGUUGUGGAUCAAUUCCUUGAGAGGGAGAUUCGUUAGAAUGAGCUUGACAAUGAUCUUCUUUAUGAAUUUUAAUAGCUUCGGAAAUAAUAUCGCUAAUGAUUCCAACAUUUCCUUUGGUAUGCAUAAGAGUUGUAAGUUUGAAUAGACAAUUACCAAACAUAGGAUCAUUGUAAUUCAUCUUACUCAAGGCAAUAGACUUAUGGAGAAUUUCAUCUAGAUUUUUCAAGGAAUAAUCCAGAAAUCGUUCUUCAAGAAAUUUGCAUAUAGUGUAGGCACACUCAAGAGUAGGCAAGUUUCUAAUCAAGUUUCUAGGCAAGCCUCUAGUGAUAAGAUUAACAGUUCUAAGAUUCCUGAUCAUGUCAAUUGACUCAUCAAGGGUAGGAUGCAUAGGAUCAACAUGAGGUGCACAAGGGCUAGCAAUGUACUUGUUCAAAUGAUAUUGAUUGAAAAUCACAAGCAUCUCUUUUUUCCACUCAUGAAAAUACUCUCCAUCAAGUAUAGGCACUCUAUGUCUAAGACUCCCCAAAGUAGACUCAUCCAUCUUCCUCCAAUGGUGAUUAAACCAAAGCAAUGGAGACCAAUGCUAUGAUACCAAUUGAAAGGAUCGAGAAAAGGUGUCUAGAGGGGGGGGUGAUUAGACACUAAGUGCCAAAAGUUACAAUUUUUAAUUUCUUUAUGUUUAAGUGGAGUUUUGGCUCUAGUGUAACAAUCACAAUACAUAUCAAGCAAGCAUGAAAAGAGUAUAUGAGCAGCGGAAACUAAAGCAUGCAACUUGCAAGAAUGUAAAGGGAAGGGUUUGGAGAAAUCAAACGCAAUUGGAGACACGGAUGUUUUUGUCGUGGUUCCGAUAGGUGGUGCUAUCGUACAUCCACGUUGAUGGAGACUUCAACCCACAAAGGGUAACGGCUGCACGAGUCCACGAAGGACUCCACCCAAAAAGGGUCCACGAAGAAACAACCUUGCCUAUCCCACCAUGGCUGUCACCCACGAAGGACUUGCCUCACUAGCGGUAGAUCCUCACGAAGUAGGCGAUCUCCUUGCCCUUACAAACUCCUUGGUUCAACUCCACAAUCUUGUCAGAGGCUGACACCUAGCCAAUCUAAGAGACACCACUCUCCAAGAAGUAACAAAUGGUGUGUUGAUGAUGAACUCCUUGCUCUUGUGCUUAAAAUGAUAGUCUCCCCAACACUCAACUCUCUCUCACAGGAUUUGGAUUUGGUGGAAAGAAGAUUUGAGUGGAAAGCAACUUGGGGAAGGCUAGAGAUCAAGAUUCAUAUGGUAGGAAUGGAAUAUCUUGGUCUCAACACAUGAGUAGGUGGUUCUCUCUUAAAAAAUGUAAGUUGAAAGUGUAGGUUCGUUCUGAUGGCUCUCUCCAUGAAUGAAGAGGAGGUGGAGGGGUAUAUAUAGCCUCCACACAAAAACUAACCAUUACACACAACUUGCCAAUCUCGGUGGGACCGAAUUGAGAAACUCGGUCGGACCGAUUCAGCAAAUCUAGUGACUGUUAGGAUUUUCGGUGGGACCGACAUGCAACUCGGUAGGACCGAUAUGGUUAGGGUUAGGGCAUAAUGUAAUCUCGGUGAGACUGAUUACACAAAAUCGGUGGGACCGAUUUUGGUAAUAAGCUAACUAGAGAGUUGGUCAGGUAAACUCGGUGGGACCGGUUCACACAUUUCGGUGGGACCGAAAUGUUACAAAAGGGAACCAGAGAGUUUACAUUGCAAUCUCGGUAGGACCGGUUACACAAACUCGGUGAGACCGAUUUUGGUAAUGGACAUACAGAGAGAUUGCAAUCCCAUCUCGGUGAGACCCCUAGGGUUUGUGGCAGUGGCUAUGACAUCUGAACUCGGUAGCGCCGGAUAGAAAGAAUCGAUAGGGUCGAGUUUGACUUGUGGUUUAGGUCAUUUGUGGAUGUGAGAAAGUAGUUGAGGGUUUUGGAGCAUAUCAUUAAGCACUUUGAGCAAGAGCCUCAUUAAGCAACACCUCAUCCCUUCUUGAUAGUAUUGGCUUUUCCUAUAGACUCAAUGUAAUCAUGGAUCACUAAAAUAUAAAAUGUAGAGUCUUGUGCUUGAAGCUUGAGCCAAUCCUUUGUCCUUAGCAUAUUGAAGGGUUUCCACAUCCUUUAGUCCAUGCCACUUCAUUGUUGAACUUAUCUGAAACAUACUAGGUAAAAGUGUUAGUCCAACAAGAAAUAUGUUGACAUUAAUUACCAAAACCACCUAGGGAGCACUUGUGCUUUCAAGUUGCUAACUAGCUCUGCCUCAAUCCACUUGGCAAACUUGUCAACUGCGAACAAAAGGUGAGUCUUCUUAUCUUUACACCUCUUCAACGUCCCAACCAUAUCGAUCCCGCUGGUCUAUGUGAUCCACCUGGUAACCCUUAAAGUGACCAGCAAUAUUAUCAACUGCCUAACGAUAAGCCACCAUAAGCGGGGCUUUAGAAUCCCACUCUCCUGAAACUUGUUGUGCCACUAAAUCUGAGUCGCCCAAACAUCUAACCUAGCUCAAGUUCAUCCCUUGGCCAUUCGGAGUCCAUGGACCAAAGCUUUAUACUCAGCUGCAUUGUUAGUACAAGGGAACACGAGCCCUAAGACAUAACAAAAUUUAUCACCUCAUGGAGAUUCCAAGAUAAAUCCAGCCCCCGAACCUUCCAACUUUCUGGACCCAUCAAAGUGUAUGGUCCAAUAUGUAUUGUCAGGCUUCUCGUCAGGUGUUUGCAGCUCUGUCCAAUCAUUUAUGAAAUCCACCAAAGAUUGAGACUUGAUGGCUAUUCUUGGCACAAACUUUAGGUGAUGCCGCCCAAGCUCAAUUGCCCACUUAGCAACCUGGCAUGUAGCCUCUCUGUUCUGAAUUAUAUCACCAAGUGGAGCAGAACUGACCACCGUGAUUGGAUGUCCAAGGAAAUAAUGCUUAAGUUUAUGAUUGGCCAAGAACACCCCAAAUACCAGCUUCUGCCAAUGCGGGUAUCGCUGCUUGGAUUCUGUCAGAACUUCACUGACAUAAUAAGCCGGCCGCUGGACUGGAUACUCUUUACCUGUCUCCUUGCACUCUACGACCACUGCUACACUGAUGUCAUUAUUAGCCGCCAUGUACAGGAGGAAAGGCUCUUUGUCAAUGGGAGCAGCCAGGAUGGGCGGCUCAGCCAACUGCUUCUUGAGCGCCUCAAACGCCUCAUUAGCCGCAUCACUCUAGACGAAGUGAUCGGUCUUUUUCAUCAUCUGAUACGGGGGAAUUGCCUUCUCUCCAAGGUGGCUUAUGAACCGGCUUAGGGCUGCGAUACGACCUGCCAGGCGUUGAACAUCAUUGAUACAUGUCGACUUACAAAGAGAGGUAAUUUCCUACAUCUUCUCCGGGUUAGCCUCAAUGCCCCUCUCUGAAACUAGGAAACCUAGCAAUUUGCCAGCUGGCACACCAAAAACACACUUGGCCGAGUUAAGCAUCAUUUUGUAUACCUUGAGAUUAUCAAAGGUCUCCUUCAGGUCAUCAAGCAAGGUUUCUUUCUUCCUGGAUUUGACCACAAUGGCAUCCACAUAAGCGUGAACGUUUUGACCAAUCUCCUUAUGGAAAAAAUUCUCGACACAACGUCGAUAUGUCGCCUGGGCACUCUUGAGCCCAAAAGGCAUAGACACAUAAUAGAAAGAUCCAAAGGGGGUGAUGAAAGUUGUCUUUUCCUGAUCUUCCACUGCCAUCUUAAUAUGGUGAUAACCAGAGUAUGCAUCCAGGAAGCACAAACUCUCACAACCUGCCGUGGCAUCAAUUAUUUGGUCAAUGCGAGGGAGAGCAAAUGGAUCAGCCGGACACACCUUGUUAAGAUCUGUGUAAUCAACACACAUACGCCAAGUGGCAUUCUUCUUAAGCACAAGCACAGGGUUAGCCAGCCAUUAAGGGUGGAACACCUUAAUUAUGAACCUGGCAGCUAGGAGCCGGGCCACUUCCUCCCCAAUAGCCUUACGCCUCUCCUCAUUAAAACGACGAAGGAACUGACAGGUUUCAUCUUAGGAUCAAUAUUAAGUCGAUGCUCAGCGAACUCUCUCGGUACACCUGACAUGUGAGAAGGCUUCCAUGUGAAUAUGUCCUGAUUCUCACAGAUGAAUUUGAUGAGUGCACUUUCCUAUUUGGGAUCCAUCCAUCCCUGUCCCAAUGGUGAACUGCUGAGAUGAAUCACCAGGGACAAAAUCAAUUUGCUAUGUGUCCUUCGCCAACUUAAAAUUAAGUGGCGGGUCUGUAUUUGUGGUGGGUUUCUUUAGAGGGGUCAUAUCAGUCGGGUCAACAUUAUCCUUAUAGUACUUGAGCUCCUCCUUGGCACAAGCCGACUUUGCAUAAGCAGCUCUCCUUCGUCGCACUCUAAGGCGUGUUUGCGAUUCCAUGGACUGUGAUUAUCCCCUCUGGCCCUAGCAUCUUAAGCUGCAGAUAGACAUAACAAGGGCGAGCCAUGAACUUAGCAUAAGCCAACCGUCCGAAAAGAGCAUGAUAUGGACUCUUGAUCUUAACAACCUCAAACCAUAGUGUCUUUGCUCUAUAAUUGUACUCAUCACCAAAGGCGACCUCUAGUGAUAUCUUCCCAAUAGGGUAAGCCAACUUGCCAGGCACCGCACCAUGAAAUACUAUAGAGGACGGCCGAAGGUCCUUAUCGGUGAGACCCAUCAUCCGAAAAGUAUCAUAAUACAAUAUAUUGAUGCUGCUGCCACCAUCCAUAAGUACCUUUGUAAAUUUAUAACCCCCUACCUAAGGGUCAACCAACAGGGCUAGAUGACCCAGAUCAUCAACUCGGGGCGGGUGAUCCGCCCAGCUCCAAGUGCUUACCUGCGCUAACCACCUUAAAUAUUGAGGCACGACCGGCUCAACCAUAUUGAUUGCCCGCUUAUGGACCUUCUUCUCACGCUUGCACAUGUUCAUAGUAAACACAUGAUACUGGCCACUAUUAAACUGCUUCGGGUUACUCUGAUACCCUGACUAAUUAUUCUGCUACUGAUGACUCUGACCGGAUUGCUGAUUAUGAUUACCAUGGUUACCUUGACUCGGAUAUCCAGCACCUGAGCCGCCACCACCAAAGCCGGAACUGUGAGACCCGGGGCCUGACCCGCCGAGCAGCCCACCGUGAUGCUAUUGAAACGUCUGAUUUCUAAACACCCGCAUGAUAUUACAAUCCUUUCCAGCCGUGACGAGAUGGCUUAUUAGGAUAACUGUGCUUUGGACAAGGACCAUUAAGCAUUUCCUCCAAACUCUGUGAUGGCCUGCCAUUACCAUUACGAUGUUGAUUCUUUGACCCGGCAUUGGUAUUGGCCAGAAAAUCUGACCCGCCAUCAGAAUACUUACACUUUCCUCCAUUGCCUUGGUUAUUUUGACUGUCGUGCUGAGCCGAGGCGUGUUGCUGUUGGCCCUUGCUACCGCCAUUUUUCUUGCCCUUGCCAGAUUUAUCAUCAUCAAAGCUUGGAUCCUUGGUAGUAUUAGAGUCGCCAUACCUGGUAAGUACAUCCAUAAGCUUGCCCAUGUCUAUGCACUUGUGCUUAAGCCGCCCUAGCUUCUGCUUCAGCGGGUCAAAAUGACAAUUUUUUUCUCCAAAAGCAGCACAGCCUAAGCCACACCAAUACUCUCUGAAGAACGUAUGAUGGUCGCAACCCGGCAUGCCCAAUGAUGAGCUGACUCGUCCUCUCGCUACACACAGUGCUUCAAAUCGACAAUUAUCAUUGGUUUCUUACAAGUUCCUUGAAAUUUCUUGAUAAAGUUGUCCUUCAACUCUGCCCAAGUAUUGAUAGAGUUUGGGGGCAGGUUCUCUAACCAUGUAUGAGACGGUCCCUCCAACAUCAUAGUGAAAUAUUUGGCACAGACUGCAUCAUUGACGUCCAACAUCUCCAUGGCUAGCUCGUAACUCUCAAUCCAAGCCUCUGGGGGAGAUCCAUCGUGUAAUUGGGCACCUUGCUAGGGCCCUUAAAAUCUUUGGGCAAGUGUUCAUUUCGCAAAGAAGGCGCUAAACACAACACCCCAAACAGUCCUGGAACUUGACCCGGCUCCUACAGAGGCUAAAGGGGUCACCGGAGGCUGCUGAUAAGCCCCUGGUUAGCUGCCGCCACCACCUCAUGGUGGGUUCUGGCCUCAUCCACAAGUGCUUGAACCCCAGUCCUCGGAUUAAGGGGCAUAUUAUCGUGGGGCGGGUUACGGUGUUGCUCACUGCUAGAGACCGCGCGCGACUCAACAUGUCGGCUAUAACUACGGCUUGGGAGAGGAGUUGAGUGCAUACGAUCACGGUUGUAUGAGUAGGCAGCCUGUUGCACGAUGGAUGUUUGCAGCAGCUCAACCACAUUCUAGGUCUCUGCUACGACUUUCGAAUUGCAAGGGAUAGGAAUUGCUUCAAGCCGGGUCGCUGCCGCUACCAUGUUAUCCACUGGGUUGGAAAAAUGCCCAAGUGGUGUCAGGAAAUGUUGUGGUGGCGUCUGAAUAGGGGGCGGGUUAGUUCUUGGCUCUUCUCUUUGUGUCGGCUCAGGCUGACGAGGUUGAGUCGCGGCUCGGCUUCCUGGUACAUCCAGGUUUGACUGGGGGAUAACCUGUGUUUCCGGUGUGCUCGGCCUCGCUUCAGGUGUGUCAAACAAGUGCGUCGGGUCAUACACCAAUGGUAAACGACUCUCGUACCUUCUCUGGAAUACGUCAUUAGAUGCGGUCUGGUCCAGAUUUAGAUGCCAAGCCUCUGCCUUCAGGUGUUCUGCCUCUGCAUCAACCUGAGCUUUCAAUGAGGCUGUCUGGAUGUUCUCAGCAUUGAUGUCCUCCUGAGUCUUGGUCAUCUGCUCACGAAUUUUUGCAAUCUCUACAUUGUGUUCUUCUUGAUUUGCAGCAGUAACUUCUAUCGCUAGCAAGGUCGUCAAGGUACCCAUGAGGUCGGAUAGUACCUGAGUCGGCUGCCUAGCUGAGCCAGGCGCUGCAGCAGACGAGUCAGAUGUGACAGCUGCAGUUGUUGAAAAAUUGAGAAUUGACGUCAUCCCAGCCAUAAAGAUGGUAGCUCGGCACGACAGCUCGUAGGGGUUCGGAUUCAUGUCACCAUUAGAACAACCCCCAAGCCCGCCGUCUUGAAUCUGAUAGAUUGACUCUGUCUCACCGGUAGAGGACUCGUCACCUAAGUAGAUGAGAGUCUCUCCUCCAGAUGCAGAAUUUUCCACAAGUUCCAACCCUUGCGUGAAGCCCAUGAAAACAUGCCUCUGCCCGGCUUGGGCCCGGGCGGAUUGCGUGAGUCGAGCCGGCUCGAUGAUGUUGGUGUAGAUGUCCGGCUCAGGCUUUGAUCCAUCGAUCUUGCCGAUGAAGACGUGGAUUCCGCCGAAGGGGACCCGGUACCCAUACUCGAUUGAGACGGCCUCAGGGCCCCAGCCAGUAUCAUGGAUGUAGAGCUUGCCGUGGCGACUCUUGGACAUCCUGCCAACGGCGUAUCCCUCGAUCCCUGGGAAAGAGCCCUUCAAGAACUCGAAACCACCGUCCGUUGGCCCAAUGGUGGGCGCAACUGUCGUGGUUUUGUCACGACAGAUGUCCUAGUGAAAGGAGUUAGGUGUGAGGCCAUCGUGAUAGUGAUUAACUUGUUAGGGUUGAGCAGGAUGAGAGACACAAGUUUACCCAGGUUCGGCCCCUCAUGGUGGAGGUAAAAGCCUACCCCUACUCUUGUUGCUUAUUGCUUGAGUAUCGAUUACAAGGGAGAGGAUUCGCUUGACCUAGCUAUCGAUUGAUUGUAACCUAUCUAUUCUAUGCCGGGAACUCGUCUUUAUAUAUAGGUCGAGGCCACCGGCUUACAAGAGUUCGGGUCGGGUCACGAUCCGUGACCAAUCCUAGCUCUAAGUCGCCUUGCCUUCUGUAACAACUCACCGUAGGACGGCUUACACCUCCAGGCCACGCGUCUUCUUCUGGUCUUGGGCUUUAAGUCGUCUGAGGCUUUAACUUCGUGAGUCGCCAACGGUCUAACCCGACCCUUUCUGGGCGGGUUAUAUCGCGGGGUCAUAUCCCCAACAGUGUGCCAUUGAGAAUAAUUUGUCAUAAUAUUAUCAAGGAGUUUUGUAUCUUCUCCCACUGUAAUCUUCUAUUAUAUAUUUAAAACAUAAGUCAAACAAGACACCACGUUCUUCCACAUAUGUUAAAAUUAUAUGCACCGUUGAUCAGUAAUAAUUACGGCUGAGAUUUAAAAAUAUUACGUUACAUGCCUAAAGCAUGGAUUGAACCGACACGUAUAAGGUGUGUUAAUAAGAAGUUGGAAAAAUAGAUGAGUUAUGAAUCUGCAAGUAACUAGCAGGUACGGAUGCUUUCAGUAAUAAUUCGACUGAGAUUUUUUUUUGUGUUUUUUAUGAGAAGUGGGGGAGAUGAAAAUGACAGGAAAAGGCAAAUAAAAAGUAGAGCAAGUAGAUGUUAAUUUGUGCGAAGGUACUUGAUAUGUUAUGAUGAUGUCUCCCCGGCAACGACACCAGAAAUUGGCAAGUUGACGGGAGACUACUUUGGCGUGAAUCCUCCCCGGCAACAGCACCAGAAAUUCUUCCUUCUACUAGUGAGUUGCGUUGGGAUUUUCCCCGAAGAGGAGGAGAGAUGCAAUAUAGUAGAGAUAAGUAUUUCCUUUAGUGAGAACCAAGGUUUUUCGAACCAAUGGGAGAAUCAUGCAAAGCCUCCUGAACAGCACCUGCACACCCAAAGGCAAAUACUUGCAACCAACGCGGGCAAAAGGGUUAUCAAUCCCCUUGAACUCAUUAAUUGCAAGGAUUAUAUAUCGUGGUGGUAGAUAGAUAAAUUGCCAAACAAAGUAAAAGAAAUAAAAUUGCAGCAAAGGUAUUUUGGUUUUUAUAUAUGAUUAAAGGAGACCCGGGGGGCAUAGUUUUGAGUAGAGGCUUCUCUCUCGAAUACAAAGCAUACACUGGGUAUACAAAUUACUGUUGGGAAAUUGAUAGGAAGGCACAUAAGGCGAUAUCCAAGGCAAUGAUCAUGUAUAUAGACAUCACGUCCGAGACAAGUAGACCGCCUCCUGCCUGCAUCUACUACUAUUACUCCGCCCAUCAAACCGCUAUCCAGCAUGCAUUUAGUGUAUUAGGUUAAUAAAAAUAGAGUAAAAUCUUAAGCAAGAUGACAUGAUUUAGACAAAGUAAACUCAAAUAAUAUGAAUAAACACCAUCCUUUUACCCUUAAUGGCAACAAUACAAAUAUGUGCCUUGUCCCUUUCUGUCACUGGGAUAGAGUAUCACAAGAUUGAACCCAAAGCACCUCUCCCACUGAAAAUAAAUCAAUCUAGUUGGCCAAACCAAACAAAGAGAUUAGAGAGAAAAUACAAAGCUAUAAAAUUCAUGCAUAAUAAAGUUCAGAAAAGACUUAAUUACUUCUCAUGAAUAUUUUAUAUCAUGAACCCACAAUUCAUUGGAUCCCAACAAACACACUGCAAAAGAAGAUUACAUCGGAUAGGACUCCAAGAACAUCAAGGAGAACAUGGUAUUGAAGAUCAAAGAGAGAGAAUAACCCAUCUAGCUACUAGCUAUGGACCCAUAGGUCUAUGUUAAACUACUCAUGCAUCAUCGGAAGGGCGGCAAGGAUGAUGUAGAAGCCCUCCGUGAUUGAUUCCCCCUUCGGCAGAGUACUCGAAAAGGCCUUCAAAUGGGAUCGCAGAAGGACAGAAGCUUGCGCUGGCAGAAAAACUGUUUCGGGUGGCUCCUUUGUUUGAGAAUAUUUGGGAAUUUAUAGGCCUGGAAUUAGGUCAAACAGUGCUACAUGGGGCCCACAAGCUCAGGGGGUGCGCCUACCCCCCUAGGGAGCCCCCCUCGAGCUUGUGGCUCUCUUGUAUCUUGUCUGGUCUCCUCCCAAAGCUUCUAGGGUCCCUUAUGGUCCAGAAAACAUUAAUCCAAAGUUUUUUUUCGUUUGGAUUUCGUUUGAUAUUUAUUUUCUGAAAAGCCAAAAACAAGAAAAAAAAACAGAAACUGACAUUGGGCACUAGGUUAAUAGGUUAGUCCCAAAAAAUGAUAUAAAAUAUCAUAUAAUUGCAUGUAAAACAUCCAAGAUUGAUACUAUAAUAGUAAGGAAUAAUAAAAAAAAUUAGAUACGUUGCAGGCCGAGGGUGCCGCCCGCUGCACGUACGGCCAAACACGCCUCCUCGUCGCAUUCAAAUGCCUCCAUUAACCCCACGUGGAAGCUGAGAAACCUACUUCGGCCACACGUCCAUUAUCGAGCGGCCGACAUUAAACGCAACACCGAGCAGGCUCCACCCGUCCGCCCUCUAUAUAAACCAGGCCAGACGCCAGGCAAGAAUCGCACCACUCCUCCUCUCUCCAUCUCCUCAUUCCACCAUUUUCUCCAAUCUUUCAAUGUCAUCCGACGAGCUAGAAGAGCAGUUCUCCGGCAUAAAAGUCGGCAGCUUGCUGCUCCACCUCCCUCGCCCAGUCCGACGGAGCCUCGCCGGCAUGGCGGGGAGCACGGUGGCACGAUCAUCAACACUGACGUCGAUGACGCCGUGUCGUCCCGCACCUCCCGUGUUUGCGACCCCGCCUCCCGUGUCUGUGACCGUGUCUCCCGCGCCUGCGACCGUGCCAUGGAGGCGGAGAUAGAAACCGGGUGCAUGAAGGUCGUCGAGUCGGUGGCCAGCGCGUCUGAGUCCGCCGCCAUCAUCGAGGAGAAGUAGAACAAGGGAGGGCGCCGUUGCUUGGGACCCAUGAAGGCCACUGCCGAGGCACCGCCGGCAUACAGAGACAGUGUCUUGCCCUCUCAUGGGCCACCGUCUACCCAAAACUCAACCCUGGUCCAUGCAGCGUAGGGACCCUUCCCCUCCGACUGAAGCAUCAGGUGGCGGUUCCACUUUGAUGAGCGGUGGGGAAGUGAGCCGUCCUUUGCGUUGAAGCAUAUACGUCUGGGGCUCACCGCUGCCGGUCACGGGGACGAGUUGGAGACCCGCCGCGCCAGCCGUAGACUAACUCUGCUUCGUUUUUAGUUCAAUGUUCAAAAUGUAACAGUUUUCGUCUGGUUAGUAUGAAAUCCGUCAUGUUUAUAUGAAAUUCGGCCGAGUUUGCAUGAAUUUCAUCGGGUUUGUUAAAAAAAAGUUUGUAAUGUAUGCGACUAGCGUUGGAUGGUGAUCUCCCGCAUCCGAGUUCGUGGACUGGGAUGCGGGAGAAAAUUUACGGAUUGCUGUUAAAGAUGCCCUAAGCAUACAUUGUUGAGGUACAUUUUGGAGUACAAGGAAAGGAUGGGAGCGAGAGAUUGCGGCUAACAAGAUAACUUUCGAGUCUACUCUAUCUCUAGGCCGAAAUUUGAAGAUCAUGGAUCGCGUGGAAAUAUUGAUCUGUUACGUAACCAUGCAUUGUGUACUCCCUCCAAUCAUUUUUACUCUCCGUAUUAGAUCUUUGUCAAGUCAAACAUUACAAAGUUUGACUAAAUUUAUAUUAAAAAAUAUCAACAUCUAUAAUACCAAAUAUAUUUUUUUUUAUAUGUUUGGUCAAAUUAGAGACGCUUUGACUUUGAACAAAACCUAUAUGCAAACUAAAAAGGACGAGGGGUACAUCAAUGAUGUUUAACACAUAACAUGCGAAGCGGUACGGAGGAACGGAGAGCGUUGGAUGGACGAUGGACGGUUACCUAAGCUUCGUGCCAAUGAGCCUUUGAUUCAAACUUAACUGAAGUUCUUCAGACAAGCAUGAAGCGGGUCCUGGAUCCUGACACCGGCUGCCGGGGCCGGCGUCCACGACUGCGUCGAGAAGAGCCGCGCCACCUAGUCCCAACCAUACCACGUGCUCGCGAAGAAGUUGAAGCACAGAGCUAUGGCCGCGGUCGAUUCGCGCACGGGAAGGGGGCCACCGGAGUCCGGAGGGGAGGAAGCAGAGGUGGAAGAGAAGGAGGCGCGGGAUUCCUCGCUGCCGCCGCGGGCCGGUAGCCACUGGCAGCGGGAGCGAGGGAGGGCGCGUCAUGGGGUGGCGGCGGAGGGAAAACCUAAUCGUCCCCCGAGCUGCCACCACUAGUUCGCUAUUUGGUCAGGUAAUUCAGGAUCAAGCACUAGGCGCGUUGUGGGUUUGUUUUGUACUGAAAAGUUUCAAAGGAUUGACUGUUGUAUAUCAUUCAGACUUUCAUGGCUAUGAAAUUGGAAGCGGUGCUCCCACAUUUACAUUUGAAAACAAAUGUCUGCUACUUACUACAACAAACAUUAAACAUAGCCGAGCUACGUUCAGUUGGCAAGCUCCAGGAUCAUAUACAAAAUUUUCUAGGAGAUCCAUCGCUCAUGCACAGAGAUACAACAUACUACUACAUCACGGAGAAAAACCAGC